rnacentral:lncRNA from 1 species
CUUGACGUUCGUCAUCAUAAAGUUGAACAUAUUCGAAAUGAAGUCUCUAUAAAGUAGAGAACACUUAUAUAUGAAAGUAUUUACAUUUAUAGUCAAUUCAGUUGAAUGACUUAUGAACAAGGGUAGGAUGCACUUUAAAGUAGAGAACAAUGACAUUCUCUUGACUCUAACGUAGAGAACUAUGACAUGCUCAUGACUAUGUUGAUAGUGCUAUACUAGUGAAAAGAUUAUCAUGACAUAUGAUUUAGCUUUACCCUUACAUGUUUACAAUCUAGUGAUUACUAGCUCUUGUUACUAUUGGUGUAUUGAAAUUCCGAUCAGAGGAUCGAGGGUAAGAACUUUACAUUGAAAAUAUGAAAAUUGUGACAUGUGGACAAUGGACUUUGCUUGCUUGCCAUCGUGCUCAUUCGCACACGCUUGUGAGGGUAGCUCCCUACCAGCCGGCACUCCGGAGUUGGCCUACGCGACAGUUGCUCGCCCGUGCGGGAUUGGGUGCCGAAGUGGAUUGCCGUGGGGAGUGUAUACUACCACGGGGCCAUUAGGCGCGGCGCAAGCUAGACUACCUUGGGUAGGUCCCUGUGAAUGAAAGGAUAGUACUCAAUGAAAAAGGACAGUAAUGAAUGCUUAUUAAUUAAAGUGUACAGUAGUCACUUUCACGUUUGUGCUUAUAUUCAUGUUUAUGUUCAUGAUUACAGAAAUUGCCAUAUCCCUAUUAUGCAAAUGAUUCAUUACUGUAGAAUGCUAUUACAUGUUGAUUACAUGCUCAUUACUUGUUAGCAUCAUGCUUAUAAAUCAGGCAAUUAUCGUUUUUGCUUUCAAUUAGUACAUCAUGAGCCUAGUGGUGUAAUUCGCCGAGGCUGGCGGCUUACCCACUGGGAACUAUUGUUUAUAGUUCUCACGCCCUUUUGGUGAUUGUUUUUACAGAGCCAUCUGCAGGAGAGGCUAGGGAUCGUGGCAAGGGAGUCGCGUCUAGCUAGUCGUUGCUAGGAGCGUGCUAGUCGAUCACCUUGCUACUCGGGCUACGACCGAGGGUGAUGUCCCUUUGUAUAGAGAAACCACCAUUGUAUCUAUCCUAUUUUUGUAUACUCGUGAUGUAUAUGUACUAUGUCACACCCCGAGCCCGCCUCUUUGGUCGGAUUCGGGCACGCCAACAGACCGCCGAACGGACAGGGUUUCCUCUGCACGCGGACAGAGUCUCCCCUGUACGUUCAAGGCGUCGCAAUCAAUACAAGUACAAGGGGUUCCAAACAGGAACAAUUUUCAACAACGAUUGCAUAAGGAAGGUAUCAAACAACAUAACACAUCCUAUGUUAUUACAAUCAUUCAUCUCAUCAUUUUACAUCGCAUUUUUCAUUACAUUGAUUCUCAACUUCCAAAUAUACAAUCGAUUUCUAAACAUAACAUUACAACAUCGAUUCUUUUCUUUUCUUUUCUUNCCGGAUAUGCUUCCGCUGGUACCCGGGCGUGACAGAUUAUAGUGGUAUCAGAGCCUAGGGUUGAGUCUUAGUAGACCUAGCAAACCUUAGGCUGGUUGGACUAUAAGGAUAGGCACGUGAGAGACGAUGUCUAGUCUAGGUUGUUGUUAGCGAAAGUACUUUGAUUGGGUACUUAUGAACUCCGAAUAGUAGGAGUUUGAUUGGGAUGUGCAAGUACUAACUUUGCAGAGGGUCACGUUGGCGGCCGACAACGUGACAUCGGAAGUUAGUACGCGUUACAUUUCAUUACUUUCGCUUGAUUAGUUGGUUUCUAUCCUCAAUGAGGAUUCGAUAGAAUAGGGUUUAUUGACCUAUGUUUGUUUUUGUGCUGCAGCUUAAGAUGCCGUUAACUCGUUCGCAAGCCGCCAAGGCAGCGGAGGCGGCGAAUGCAGAGGAAGUGGGGACUUCUGUUACUUCGGGAUCUAGUGGGAUCCAUGAGUUGCAGGAUCAGCUUGCGAUGUUGACAGACUUGGUUACUCAGCAGGCUGCGGCAGCACGACAGCAGAUAGAUGCUGCUCGUCGACAGGAGGACAGGAUGAAGAGGUUAGAGGAUCUGUUACUGCGGCAGACGACCGACAGAGAGAUUCCAGAUUCUGUACCUAUAGCACCAGAGAGGGGCACCACAGUGAGAGCACAGUCACCCGUACUUGAUACACCCCCAGUAGCCCCGAGGGUAGAGACCCGACAGGAGACAGUGGUACCACCACCAGUGCAUAUGGCAUCAUCAGGGACAGUGUUACCCGAGAUGGUGGGGGUUGAGGAGCGAGAGCGGAUGAUGGAACGACUGAAUGAAUUCCGUCGCUGCAACCCUCGUGUUUUUGACGGGGAGAAAGCAGAUCACUGGGUGGUCGAGAAAUGGCUAAUGCACAUGGAGAAGCUAUUCUAUGAUACUUUUGUUGAGGAGCGGUAUCGAGUUUGGUUUGCGACACACCACCUUGACGGUGAGGCUUAUAGGUGGUGGGUGGACAUUCGUGAGGAUCCCCGUGCUGAUUUGUCUGCUAUUACGUGGAACAGGUUCAAGAAACUGUUGUUGACUACCUAUUUUCCCCAGAGUAUAAAGAGACAGAUGGAAAGAGAUCUGAGAAACCUGAGGCAGGGGGACAGGACAGUGGCAGAGUACGAGCGAGAGUUCUCCCGAUUACUGCACUGUAUUCCUUUUGUAGUUCGAGAUGAUGAGGACAAGGCUCGCAUUUUUGAGGUGGGUUUGCGACCUGCGAUCUUCAGAUUGGUCCAGGCGUCAAACCUCUCCACUUACCGGGAUGUAGUGAACCGGGCCUUGAUCAUCGAGAAAGGGGCAGAGAUAAUGAAGGAAAGAGAUGUUGUGGAUCGAAGCAGAGGGAAGAGACCUGCAGUUGAGAGCAGUGGUCAGCAGUCCUUUCGGAGACCGCCAAAGUAUCCGAGGGGGCAGUCAGGUCAGUCGAGGGGUCGAGGUUCUUCAGCACCCCGUGGAGCACCCGAGCGUCGACGACCGCCGCGUUGUGUUAUCUGUGGUGGGCCUCACGUACCGCCACAGUGUCCACAGCGUGGGGGCAGGUGCUUUCUUUGCGGCCAGGAGAGCCACUUUCGUUCAGAGUGCCCGAGAGGUUCUUUGCCUGCACCCUCGUCAGCGACUGCACCUGCAUCUUCAGCUCCGAGCCAGGGGACCCCAACAGCGCCUUAUCAGUCUAGGCGACCACCAGGACAGCGGCAGUCGGAGAGUUCGCAGCAGGGUUCGAGUGGGCGGAUGUAUGCCGCCCAGACCGAGGGCGCCGCAGCAGCACAGGAGGUCGUAGCAGGUAUUAUUAUGCUUUAUGAUAUUCGUGUUCGUGCAUUAUUUGAUACUGGUGCUUCGCAUUCUUUUAUUGAUCGGCAGUUCGCCGAGUUGCAUAGCAUUCCUUUAGCACCUACUUUGCAUCUGGGACGAGUGAUUGUACCUGACCAUACCCUAGAUGUUCGUGAGUUUUGCCCUCGCUGCCCAGUUAGGGUAGGCGACUGGAUUAUGCCAGUGGAUUUAUUGGCACUACACAAACUAGGUGAGUUUGAUGUAGUAUUGGGUAUGGAUUGGUUGACACAGUAUUAUGCCACCAUAGAUUGCACGAACAGAACGGUGACCUUUAGGGAACCGGGUCAACAGGAGUUUGUUUAUAAGGGGUGUCAGAGUUCAUUGUUCGCAAUGACCAUUAGCUCUUCGCGAGCACGACAGUUGAUACGGAGAGGAUGUGUAGCCUAUUUGGCUAGCAUUUCUGUGAGUGACGGAGAAGCCGUCAAGAUUGAUGAUAUCCCGGUUGUGCGAGAAUUCGGGGAUGUGUUUCCAGCUGAAUUGCCGGGCAUGCCACCUGAUAGGGAGGUUGAGUUUGUGAUAGAUCUUGUCCCUGGGACUACCCCUAUUUCUAAAGCGCCUUAUAGGAUGGCACCCGCUGAAUUGAAAGAGCUGAAGGCACAGUUACAAGAUCUUUUAGAUAAAGGAUUUAUUCGACCGAGUGUAUCGCCCUGGGGAGCACCGGUGUUAUUUGUCAAGAAAAAGGAUGGAUCUCUUCGAUUGUGCGUGGAUUAUCGAGAAAUCAACAAAGUCACAAUCAAGAAUAAAUAUCCAUUGCCCAGAAUUGAUGACUUAUUCGAUCAGCUGCAAGGAUCGAAAGUAUACUCCAAGAUUGAUUUGCAAUCUGGGUAUCAUCAGCUCAAGAUCAAGCCUGAAGAUGUUUCUAAGACUGCUUUUAGAACACGGUAUGGGCAUUAUGAAUUUACAGUCAUGCCGUUUGGAUUGACUAAUGCCCCAGCAGCCUUUAUGGAUUUAAUGAACCGUGUCUUUAAGCCCUAUUUGGAUAGAUUUGUGGUAGUGUUUAUUGAUGACAUCUUGAUAUAUUCUCGAAGUGACAAGGAGCAUGAAGACCAUUUGAGAGUAGUGUUACAAGUACUUCGAGAAAAGGAACUAUUUGCCAAGUUAAAGAAAUGCGAAUUUUGGCUUCAAGAAGUGGCAUUUCUGGGCCAUGUGAUUUCUGAAACUGGGAUAGCUGUGGAUCCCAAGAAGAUUGAAGCGAUUAAAGAUUGGCCUAGGCCGACCAGUGUCACAGAAAUUCGGAGUUUCCUUGGUUUGGCGGGAUACUACCGAAGAUUUGUAGAAGGAUUUGCAAAGAUGUCUACUCCUCUCACUCGACUCACACAUAAAGGAGCUAAAUUUCUGUGGAAUGAAGCCUGUGAAAGAAGCUUUCAAGAGCUGAAGGAACGGUUGACUACCGCCCCGAUUCUGGCUUUGCCUGUUACUGGAGUGGAUUAUGUGAUUUACAGCGAUGCGUCACUGAAUGGAUUAGGGUGUGUUCUAAUGCAGAAUGGCAGAGUAAUUGCUUAUGCUUCUCGCCAAUUGAAAGAUUAUGAAAAGAACUACCCUACACAUGAUCUUGAGUUAGCAGCUGUGGUAUUUGCUUUAAAGCUUUGGCGCCACUACCUCUACGGCGAGCGUUGCGAAGUUUAUACAGAUCAUAAAAGCUUAAAGUAUCUGUUUACUCAGAAAGAAUUAAACUUGAGACAACGUAGAUGGUUAGAGUUGCUCAAGGAUUAUGAUUUGACCAUCCUCUAUCAUCCUGGAAAAGCUAAUGUCGUAGCAGAUGCUCUAAGUCGAAAAUCGACGGAAAAUUUGGCGAUGUCGAUAACAAUGCAACCACUGUUGGUAAAGGAAAUGGAGCAAUUGAAUUUGGAAGUUGUAGCUCCUGAUACGCCUUGGAGACUUAUGUCAUUAGUGGUGCAACCUACCCUGAUCGAUCGAAUUAAGGAAAAGCAAACUCAAGAUGAAUUCCUGCAGAAGAUUCGAGAUAAGAUCACUGUUGAUCAUGAUAGUGAUUUUCGAGUAGAUGAUCAGGGAUUGUUGAAAUUCGGUGAUAGGCUUUGUGUACCGGCAGAUUCUGGUAUUAAAGAAGAGAUUCUUGCAGAAGCACAUCGGGCCCCGUAUACUGUACACCGUGGAAGUACAAAAAUGUAUAAGGAUUGAAGUUAACUUACUGGUGGCCUGGAAUGAAAAAGGAAGUUGCGGACUUCGUGGCUAAGUGCUUAACAUGUCAGCAGGUUAAAGCUGAACAUCGACUUCCUGCGGAAAAACUUCAGAGCUUACCCAUACCAGUGUGGAAGUGGGAGAGGAUCACAAUGGAUUUCAUCGUUGGAUUACCUCGCUCACAAGCAGGUCACGAUGCAAUUUGGGUAAUUGUCGAUCGAUUGACUAAAUCUGUCCACUUUAUUCCUAUUCAUACAGUGUGGUCGGGGGAAAGACUCGCACAAGUGUAUCUUGAUGAAAUUGUGCGAUUACACGGAGUACCUGCUUCGAUUGUUUCAGAUCGAGACACCCGAUUUGUUUCACAUUUCUGGAAGAGUUUACAGGAGGCCAUGGGUACUCGAUUGGACUUUAGUACUGCUUUCCACCCCUAGAGUGAUGGGCAGUCCGAGCGUACCAUCCAGACCCUUGAAGACAUGUUGCGGGCCUGUGUGAUUGAUUAUCAAGGCAGUUGGCCACAAUUCUUGCCUAUGGCUGAAUUUGCCUAUAACAAUAGUUAUCACGCCAGUAUUCAGAUGGCACCGUUUGAAGUCCUUUAUGGUAGAAAGUGCAGAUCACCACUUCAUUAGAGUGAAGUAGGUGAGAGAUUGGUUUUGGGUCCAGACGUAUUACAAGAGGCUGAAGCUAAAGUUCGGCUUGCACGAGAACGUCUACUGACAGCACAAAGUCGACAAAAGAGCUAUGCGGAUAAACGUCGGCGAGAACUGGAAUUUCAUGUUGGUGAUCACGUAUUCUUAAAAGUGUCACCGACAAAGGGAGUUAAAAGAUUUGGCAUUCGAGGAAAGUUGAGUCCUCGAUUUAUUGGACCCUACGAGGUGUUGGAACGAAUAGGCCCCGUAGCUUAUCGGCUUGCAUUGCCGCCGAAUCUAUCGGGAGUACACAAUGUGUUUCAUGUAUCGACACUUCGAAAGUAUGUUUUUGAUCCGACUCAUAUAUUGGACAGUACUCCAGUAGAAUUACGAGAGGAUUUGAGCUUUGAGGAGCAUCCAGUGAGAAUCCUAGCUCGGGAAGUAAAACGGCUUCGAAAUCGCGAGAUACCCUACGUGAAGAUCCUUUGGAGUAAUCACGAGGAACGAGAAGCCACUUGGGAACUGGAGAGUGCAAUGCAAGAGCAUUAUCCUUAUCUAUUCUCGAUGGAAUCGUGAGGUAAGUGUUUACAAGUUUCGCGGACGAAACUUCUUUUUAGGAGGGGUGAAUGUAAUAUACAGAACUUUUCCAAAUUUCGAAGUUCGAGUGUGUGGAAUGUGAUGUGACACUAACCUACAUGUUUUAAAAGGUUAGAACAAGUUUUUGGAUAAGUUAGAGAAUGAUUGGAAUGCUAAAAGUGAGAAAGUGCAUUGAACUGGCCAAAAUCAGCAUUUUCUGCUUGCUGUACCGGUACAGCCAUCACCUUGUACCGGUACAAGCUGGCAGAUUCGUGGCAGCAAGGCUAUUUUGGUCAUUUCACAUCUUGUUCUCAGCUAUUUGAUCCGAGCACGACUCCUGGAGCUUGCUGGAGUGUGCUGGAGCUCAGAGAAAGGUUCUCCUACCUUCCUCACUCUCUCUCUCUAGGGUUUUUCUCUCUCUACAAAGAAUUCGCCGAUUUCGCUCGUUUCCGUCGCAUCGCGUGUUCUUCGCUGGUUGCGAGCGUUGUGGAGCCUCCGUGGGCGUGUGAGAGAGUGUUUUGGAAGACUCCUUGCUGUCCUGAACUAGUGAGGUGCUGGUUGAAGCUUGAGAAGGUAUGUGACUCGAGUUUUUCCGUUAUCGGCGCUCUAUUAGUCGAUUUGAGGAUCGAUUUCAGGAUUUUGGCUUCCAACUGUUUUAACCUGAGUUUUCAGCAUGUAAAAAUGAGUUAAUUAGCUGUGAAUUAACCUUCUUAGAUCAGGGAUAAGCUACUUUGAAGCUUAAUUGGAAUNAAUGAAUACUCAAGUCAAAUCUGAAGAGACCCACCCGAAGGCUGUCUAUGGCCCUGAGACCCACCCGAAGGCUGUCUGGCCGGUGCCGAGCCUAAUGGCCCCGUGGUAGUCAUCAUCCCCACCCUAGGAAUGAGCCUGUCCCACGGCAAUCCACUUCGGCGCCCAAUCCCGCACGGCGAAUAUGUAUCGCGAUGGCUAUCUCAGGAGUGCCGGCUUGUAGGGAGCGACCCUCACAAGCAUAUGCGAAUGAGCACAAUGGCAAGUAGUCAAACGAUCUGUCGCAAGUACCAAGUCCUCAUGUCUACUAACAUGGAAUGUAUCGAAUGUCCCAAAGGCCUAUCUCUAUGUCAUUAUGUCUCUAACAUAGAAUAUAUAUAGCAGAUGUACAAUGGUCUAUCAUCAUGUCUCUAAGUUGCAUUUUAUAGUUUACUAGUUCCAAGUGCCUCUUUAUGACACUUUUGUUCAACGAGUCCCAAGUAUGGUAUUAAUAUGUUUAUGAUGCAUAGUUCACUCAAUUCUAGCAUGGAGACAUAUUCUCAACCUGCAAAACCAAGCACUAUCCACAAUGCAUGCAAUCUACACAUAUAGCUCUACUAUAUGGAGUACAAAUUUUACGAUACAUGAGGCAUGCAUGUUAAGUGUUCUAAAAUUCAUGUAAAUCAUGUUUAGCAUGAAUUUGCAUUCAAAAAUACUUUAUAAAAAGUUUAGAAGGCAUAGGGGCCAUUUUGCCCCAUUUUCAUGAAGUCAAACCCACCAAAAUCAACUUCUUCGUUUCGCCGAACGAAGGUAUCCACAAGCUCCCUAGUACCCUAGAAACAUCAAAAAUAGGGUCACCCAAACGAAACGAAGAGCAAAUAGCUCAAUCAUUAAGCUCCUCAAGCUAGGGUUGGAGAAAACUUACCGAUUGCGAAGAAGGCUCUCACGAUCUCCAAAUGGGAGUUAGAGUCCUUCCAAACUAACCUAAACAAAGGUUCUAAACCCAUCAAUUAGGUUUCAAAGCCCUCAAAUCCAAAAACCCCCAAAAUAAACCCUAAAUCCCAAAAUCUAGGGUUUCAUCUAGUAAAACCUAGAAAAGUGUCACGCCCCGAGCCCGCCUCUUUGGUCGGAUUCGGGCACGCCAACAGACCGCCGAACGGACAGGGUUUCCCCUGCACGCGGACAGAGUCUCCCCUGUACGUUCAAGGCGUCGCAAUCAAUACAAUUACAAGAGGUUCCAAACAGGAACAAUUUUCAACAACGAUUGCAUAAGGAAGGUAUCAAACAACAUAACACAUCCUAUGUUAUUACAAUCAUUCAUCAUUUUACAUCGCAUUUUUCAUUACAUUGAUUCUCAACUUCCAAAUAUACAAUCGAUUUCUAAACAUAAUAUUACAACAUCAAUUCUUUUCUUUUCUUUUCUUAUACCCCUAAGAAGCCGACUCAGGGUGCUGCUAUCUGGUCUCUGUGGUAGGGCGCUAACUACGGAGCUACGCCCUUUCCUCGUGCCGCCACGCCGCUCGCGUGUGAACCUGUACCCCCAAAAACAACAACACGGGGGUGAGACUAUUGUCCAUAGUCGUCAGUGGGUACAGCCACCCAAGUGAAAAGCUCAACCCACCAGGUCCAAAGGAGGCACUGCAACAUGUUAGUCCAACAGAUAUAUACAUAUAACAUCAUGCAAUACAUGUUCAUGCCUCACGAAUAUGCAAAUUAUGCAACUCUUAGUCAUUCUUUACCAUUAGCCUUUCUUUAGAAUUUGCUAUUCUUUAUCAUUAGCCAUUCUUUACUCUUUAUUCUUUAUUCUUUAUUCUUUAUUCUUUAUUCUUUGCUAAGGGCACUCGCACCUUAGGCUCAUCAUACACAUUUGCCAUUCUUUAUAACAUUAACAAGUCUUUCUCAAUUAUCACUCUUUCCUAAGGUUACAUUUACCUUAGCCAACUUUGCCACUCGACUCGGUCUUGAGUCAAUUCAUAAUGAAUACAAGAUCAACUUUCCAAUUCAUGAUCCCUUUUUGUUCUUUGUUCUUUAAUCUCACGGCUAACCCGGGGGUUUCGCCACAUUAACUUGCUUCACAUUAAGUCCAUCAUCGCAGGAACUCACCAGCUAGGACCGUCCUUACGGGUCUACUCCAACCCGGAUGCCAAACUCCGGAGCGCAUCGCCCGAGGGGGAGCGACCGCCCUCGAGCACGGAACUCAUAGCAAGUAUGAUCAAUCCUUAACUCUAAGGAUAUGUAGUUGGAUCAUGGUUUUACACUAACUCUAGUGUUCUUUACAUCACUUUAUGUUGCCACUCUAGCAAUCAUUGUUCUUUACAUUUCUUUUACUUUUGCUAACUCUAGCAAUCACGUUUUUCACAUUCCUUUACUUUAAGCUAUCUUUAGCUUUCACAUUCUUUAACUUUACACGUUCUUUAUGCCACAUUACAUUACAUUGUCUUUAGCCAUUAUCAUUAUUCUUUACAUCACAUUGCUUUGCCUUGUCUCAAGCCAUUAUCAUUAGGUUCUCACAUUACAUCUCAUGCAUACACAUAGAUUAUUUAGAUUCUUAAUCAUUCUAAUAAGCACGUGUACUCACAUCAUGCAACAUUACAUUAUUAUCAUCACAUUGUCUUACAUUAUCUUUAGCCAUUAUCAUUGUUCUUUACAUCACAUUUAUUCUUUGAUAUCCCACACUAACUCUAGUGUCCACUUUACCAUUUCGAAUGCCACUCAAUCUAUGUUCAACAUGCAUAUAUUUUGUCAUCCAUUGGUAGUCAUUACUUAGCAUUUUAUGCAUUCGUUAACAUUUACUACAUGCAUUCUCGGUUAGUACAAAUCUCAUACUUUCAUUUGACAUCUAUUUAGCAUUUCUAUAAUAUGCACAUAUAAAUUAACAUCAACUCAUGCAUUCAUUUGGCAUCUAUCUUUAUCAUGCAUUCUUAAUUAGCAUACUUUAUCAUGCAUUCUCAAAUAGAAUACUUUAAUCUUUAUCAUGCAUUCUUAAACAGCAUACUUUAUCAUGCAUCAAUAGUAAACAUACUACACUUUAGCAUGGAAAGCGACCUAAUCGCUUCGGUGAGCACAACCCACCUCAUUUCGCAUUCCGAUUGCUUAUCGACACUUGCAAUCGGCCUCCCGCGGCACCCGUAACCCGGUUUGGCCCGAUCUCUCACGCGACCACCCGAACGGCCUCCAAUUCACCAUCCGAAAAUUAAAGAUCUUCGGUUAUGUGCCACGAAGCUUCAAAUCCAUUUUCAUGAAUUUACGAUAUCGCCUCGGCCCUCCCGGCGGACCUGAAGCCUAAACGUUCAUUUCUUUAAUAACUUUGUAACGGCUCGUCGGAUCGCCGAACCGUCUUCGCCAACGCGUUCGUUUACCUAGUAAUUAGGUUUACGGAGGGUCAAAUUAGAUCAAACCCUUACAUUUUACAAAACUCCAUUCGGAGCCCUAAUAUGCUAUUAACCUCAAAAUAAUCCAAAAUUAAAUGGAUCAACAUGCUAACAAAGCUCAUUAGAGGCUAUUAGAAUACUUAAAGCUAAGGAUUAAGCCAAAUCCUAAAAGCUUACCUCAAUGUGAACGCCGCGACGAAAAUACGCCGCUCCAAUGGGCGCUCGAAAGCUCAAUCCGUCGCCUCCAACGCGUUCGCAAGCAUCUUCUCCACCAACCCCGCGAAUUUGAGCGAGAGAUAUAGAGAAAUGAGAGAGAAAUCUAGAGAGAGGAAUGAAGGUUUCUCUCCUAGCACCAUGCGUGCGUGUGUGUGGGUGCUCGGGCUGAAGGAGGGAAGAAGAAGCUUCAGCUUCUUUAUAAUACACCCGACACUAUUCACUCCAGGCAACUUAAAAUCUGAUAUCUUUCGCCGGAGCUCCCUGAAUGUCCGUUUGAGCUCAAACUUGACAGUCAUGUUCGGUUUUACUUAACUUAACAAGCUGACGAUCACUGGUUCAGUUUCGACCCCGUUUGGUCACUGAAAACUGUACCGAACUGCAAUCUUUAUCAGAUAGCUUUCGGAUUUUAUUUCUCACUCUAUGGGUGUCAGAAAAAUAUGAAACCUUAAAUCUAGCCUCAUAAAAAUAUUUCUGACAUCUCCGCCAAUUUUCAUAAUUUUCUGAGACUGUGCAUUUUCUGCUUAUUUUUCUGUCCCGUCUCCAACAGAAAAUUCUAGAUCUUCUGUUUUAAUUCCGAUUUCAGCACAAGUCACCUCUGACUUAUGUUUUACCUCUAUAAAUCUAAUAAAAAUAGUUUCUCACACUAUUUUUAUUUAUUAUUAUUUUUAUACCAAAAUCUGGUAUAUUACAGAUUCGAUCUAUGGCACCCUCGUGGAAACAAAUGGGGAAAGGGAGCCAAAUAAUGAGGGGGGUGUACAGAGAGAAUCUUAUUUAUAUGUAUAUAUCUCUUUCAUAGGAGAAUUAGUCCGAGCAGAGAAGCUGAGAAUUGCUGUAGUGCCACUUGGAUGCAAUGGACUGUGCGAGCUUAGUCGGCGGAUGGGGCUGAUGAUUGCUUCCUUUUAGGAAAGGAGGGGUCGGCAUCAGCUUCACUAAUUAAUGUUGGGACGUGGGGUCGUUAGAAGACACUGAAUUUUAGGAUGACUUGAUUUUACUUGUGAAAGUCUUCUCUUCUGUUCAAACAAUGGCCUGCUCCACCAGGUUAGCAUAGGUUAAAUUGCACCCUUUGCCACAUAUUUUUUUGGUGUAAAUUUCAUUUUAAAUUCAAAAAACUUUGAAUUUAGUAUUUAUAUUUUUAAUUUCUAGGUUGCUUUAAGUCCCUUCCCUUACUAUUUUUAAUAUAUAUAUAUAUAUAUAUAGGAACUAGGCUGGAAUACUAUCAAUAACACUAAACUAUUAGUACUAUUAGGUUUUCGGUCAUCGGAUGAAAAAAAUGUAUGGUUAGGAUGAUGUGGGCCCUCUAGAGUUGAGUGAGUUAUUACUUGAAUAAUAUAAUCUAACGGCUGAAAAUAGUCAAAGAGUAUCUAACGGAGGAAAACUCGCUAGCGCCAAGCACUUGGUGCUAUCGAUAGUAUCCCAACCGAAGCCAAGCACUUGGUGCUAUCGAUAGUAUCCCAGCCGAACUCUCUCUCUCUCUCUCUCUCUCUCUNAAAAGCUGAUGUCUGUACCGGAACAGAAAAUCCUUGUACCGGUACAACAAUGCAAUUUUUACUGAAAAUGUAUUGUUUCGAGUUUUACAAGCUCUUAGAAACCUUCUAAUCAAUUACAACUUGAAAAUAUGAUUCUAAGAUCUAUAAUUAAGUAUGAAUCACCAUAAACAAGAUUUAAAGCUUACCUAAGCAUCGUGAUUCAUGUUUUGCGUGUUUUGCGUCCUUUUCGAUUCUUCGAAGUCUUGGAUUCUUCGAUCUUCAAUAAUUCGCUCCGAACUACUUCAAGACUCCGACUCGACCCACGAAACUUGCCAACACAUAGGACUUAACAGUAGGAAGUGAGCCGAUUUUGUCAGCCGAUCCACUAUAACCCAGAUCGCAUCAUGGCCCCAUUGCGAUCGAGGCAAUUCUGUGACAAAAUCCAUUGUGAUCUGCUCCCACUUUCCACAAUGGUACCGGAAGUGGUUGCAGCUUUCCUACUGGUUGCUGGUGCUCGACCUUCACCUACUGACAUAUCAAGUACUUAGCCAUGUGUUGUGCCACGCCCAAUUUCAUCCCUGGCCGAUUGUGGUACAUCUCGGUUCCGCCGAGAUAAACAGUGUAAGGGAAUCGAUGCGCCUCAGACAAGAUGUCUUUUCUUAGCUCCGUGUCACUGGGCACACACCACCUGCCUCCGAAAUGGAGAAGUCCCCUUUUUUGCCCUGCUCAACAUCUGCUUGCACCUUCUGCAAGUACGGGGCACUCUGCUGUUCGAGCAUGAUCCGCUCUGUCAAUAUAGGCAGCACCAUUAGGAUCACCAAUUGGGCCACGGCCCCAGUGGGAACAACCUCAAUCUCGAGAUGAUGGAACUCCUCCACAAGACGAUCCUGCCUCGUAAUCAUGAAGGACAACGCAGCUAAUGACUGCUUCCGGCUCAAGGCGUCAGCCACUACAUUCGCCUUUCCCGGAUGAUACUGGAUAGCGAGGUCAUAGUCCUUCAAGAGCUCGAGCCAUCGUCUUUGCCUGAGAUUCAGCUCUUUCUAGGUGAAAAAAAUACUUCAAGCUCAUGUGAUCAAUGAAAACCUCGCAGUGUGCCCCAUAAAGAUAAUGCCUCCACAGCUUAAGGGCAAGCACUACUGCCGCGAGCUCAAGAUCAUGAGUCGGAAAGUUCCUCUCAUAGUCCUUCAGUUGACGCGAGGCGUAAGCAAUGACCCGGUCCUACUGCAUGAGUACACACCCCAAACCUACCUAUGAGGCAUCGCAAUGGACCACGAAGUUCUCACCAGGUUACGGUAAGGUCAAAAUAGGUGCACGGGUCAAUCUGUCCUUCAACUUCUCAAAGCUCUGCUGACACUCAGGAGUCCACCAAAUUUUUUCCCCUUUCCUCAUCAACCUGUUCAACGAUGUGCCGAUUUUGGCAAAGCCUUCGACAAAUCGCUGAUAAUAACCCGCCAAACCAAGGAAGCUCCUUAUCUCGGUCCCGGUGGUUAAUAUAGGCCACUUAACCACUGAAGCCAUCUUCUUCUGGUCCACCGUGAUACCCGACUGAGUCACGAUGUACCCUAAGUAGGACACCUUGCGGAGCCAGAACUCGUACUUGUUGAGCUUAGCAUAAAGCUUGUUCUCUCGAAUUAGCUAGAGUACUCGCCGUAGAUGAUCCUGGUAUUCUUCGUCGCUCCGCGAGUAGAUCUAGAUGUCGUCAAUAAAGACCACGACAAACUGAUCCAAGUAUGGCUGGAAUACCCUAUUCAUCAUAUACAUGAAGGCCGCCGGGGCAUUAGUGGGCCCGAACAGCAUCACCGUGAACUCGUACUGGCCGUAAUGAUUUCGAAAAGCUGUCUUCGGCACAUCCUCUGCUCGGAUCUUCAAUUGGUGAUAACCGAACUGCAGAUCAUCUUCGAAUAAACAGACGAUCCCUGAAGCUGGUUGAAUAAAUCAUCGAUCUGAGGAAGAGGAUACUUAUUCUUCACCGUGACCUUAUUGAGCUCCCGAUAGUCGAUGCAUAGCCGCAGACUACCAUCCUAUUUUUUGACGAAGAGGACUGGUGCACCCUAGGGAGAUACACUAGACCUGAUGAAUCCCUUAUCCAGGAGAUCCUCGAGCUGAGCUUUCAGCUCCUUCAGCUCAGUGAAGGACAUUCGGUAGGGGACUUCAAGAUCGGUGUCAUGACGAGGACAAACUCAAUAAAGAAAUCGAUCUCCCGGUCUGGAGGCAUCCCCGGUAGCUCUGCUAGAAAUAUGUCAGGGAACUCCCGAACUACAAGAAUCUCCUCCAACACUGGUGUCACUCGGCGGAUGACAUCCACCAAAGCUAGUUAGGCCAUGCAUCCGCCAUUCAUAAGAUUUUUUGCCCUACCUGAAGAGAUAGUCAUGGCGAAGAAGGAACUCUUAUAUGCUUGGUAGACGAACUUCUCUUCACCGGGCAACUCAAAUGUCACAAUCCUCCGCUUGUAGUCGAUAGAAGCGUGGUGCUUGGUGAGCCAGUCCAUCCUAAGCACCACAUCAAACUCUUUAAUUGGGAUCAGCACCAGAUUCACCAAGAACGCCCGAUUGCCCAAACCAAUGGGGCACGACAUGAUGCAUCUGUCCCCUUCCAGAUCAAUUCCGAGCAUCUCAAUCCGGAGUGCCGAAGAGUGGACUUGAGGAAAAAUCAUGAUCAUGUGCAAACGAAAGCGAUAUGAAUGAGUGAGAUGCUCCAGUAUUGAAAAGAGUCCUAGCACGAAUAGUGUAGAGGGCAGUAAUAGUUGCAAUGACAUCGCCGCUCGUCUCGCCCUCGAGGUGGGACAUAUUAUAGACACGCCCACCAGGUGCCUGGCGCGCCGCCUUAUUCUGGCGUGAGGUUGAGAGGCGCCCAGACGAAGCAGCAACAGUCAGGGCUCCACGAUUCUGGUGCUGUGCAGCUGGAGAUGAAGUAGCACUCUAAAUGGUCCUGCCUUCCCUGGGGCAAUCGGCUUGAAUGUGGCCCGGCUGACCACACCGAAAAUAGUGGUCUCUCCGCUGUGGGCAAGUAGUAACCUGAUGUGCCUGCCCACAGAUCACACAGGGUCGAUCACCCUGUCGCUAGCUGCCAAUGGUGCACUCCUAGCCAACUGCUGAGUGCGCGGAUGCUUUGGUGGCCUUUUAUUGGAGAAAGAGCCACCGCUCGACUUGGAGUAGGAACGCUUCUUGUCCCCGUUCUUCUCGGAUGCAUCAUGUUCGAUUCGUACUUACUUUAUAUCAUUCUGGAUCAUCAGGGCCCUAUCCAGGCACUCGUCGAACGUCAUCACGUCAUGGGACGCAAUCAGAAUCCGGAUGUUGGGUUUCAGCCCUUAGCAAACAUCCGGGCCUUGUGGUACUCAUCGCGGACCACAAAAGGAUCAGUCCCACAAUGCGACAUAAGUCUCGCUCGUACUCCGCCACAGUGCGGUUGCUCUGCUUGAGUCGCUUCAGCUCGUGCUCCAGGCCUUACUUGGUGCUGUCCUUGAAAUACUGACUGUAGAGGGGCUCUCGAAACUCCUUCCCGGGCGGGUACGUCUCGGCAUACUUUUUCUCGAAGAGGCACAACCACCAGAUGUACGCCAUGACAUCCAGGCAGUGACCGGCCAACGGAACCUUAUCAUGUUCCUCGAUACAUAGAUUGCGGAACAGCUUCUCCAUAUGGGCAACCCGGCAUUCAACUGCCCAAUCGUCAUCUUUCUUUCCCGCGAACUUCAGCAGAUCGAACUUUCGGAACUCCGCCUACCUCGCCCUAAUGCGAGCGCCCUCUACUGUAGGGGCAUCAGUUCCCCCAGCGAAAACUGUCGUGGUGGCUGUCGUCACCGCAUAGUGAUGGCUGGAGCCGUAGCAAGCGCGGACGUCGUGGGAGAAUCCACAGUCGCUGGAGUGCCCUGCGCAGGAGGUGGAAUCGGUGCGGCAGCAGCUGCAUCUUGUUGUUGCAAGACCUGCCGAAACAACCAUGAGAGGGCUGUCAGCUGACCCCUCAUAUCGGCUACCUGAGCCAUGAGCUGCUAAGUGCGAGUGUCACCCAGCAGCUCAAUGCCCACCUGCUCCCCACCACCUUCGCCCGUAGGGACCCGCUCUCUCGAGCUGCCAAAUGCCUCCGCACUAGCGUGUCCACCGCCACGACCCGAACGAGGGGGUCUACCACGUGGCAUCUGCAACAAAAAACAUCGUCAAUCGAAUAAUCGACUCGACAAACACAUACCAGGACUCCAGCCCAAACCCCGCACUCAUGUGCCUAUACACCUUAGGUCUCCCUAUAGUCAACCUAACCAGCAGUUCAGUUUAUUAUUGUAAUGACCCAGCCCACUAGCAACAAUAACUUGUUGGGCCCAACCACCGGCCCAAAAUGCUUAAGCCCAGUUAUUAUUACUAGUGUCUAAGCUAUUAUAUACCCAAUCAUAUCCACAUUCCUAUCCAAUGUGGGAUUAUUGGGGGGUGACAGACUUCCCCCGUUAAGGCCCUUAGGUCCUCGUCAGUCCAAUUACACACACAGCCCAAGAUCACCAGGCGAUGUGAGACUCGUCUCGCUAGCCUUGUCGUCCAGACCCUGGCAUAGCCGGUCACCUUGUCAUUCAGACUCCGGCAUAGUCUAUCACCUUGUCUUUCCGACCUUGGCUCAGCCGAGACUUAUCUCACACUUCUAGCUGGUGACUUCUAGCUGGUGAACCGGCUCUGAUACCAAAUGUAACGACCUAGCCCACUAGCAACAAUAACUCGUUGGGCCCAACCACCAGCCCAAAACGCUUAAGUCCAGUUAUUAUUACUAGUGUCUAAGUCUAUUAUAUACCCAAUCACACCCACAUUCCUAUCCGAUGUGGGAUUAUUGGGGUGUGACAAUUAUUUAACAAAAUUUGUGAGUGGUGCUGUGGUUGUAAGCUUGGCUCUGAUACCACCUUAAUCUGUCACGCCUCGGGGUCCCUUCUAAGUAAAAAGAAAGCGGAAGAGCCCAAAAUUUUUUUUUUUUUUUUAAAACCUUGACCCCAGGGGAUGCCAGAUCCACCACAAAUACAGAAAACCCAUUGUUCACACGGACAGAGUCUUCCUUAUAUUUGCACGGCGUCGCAUAAGUACAAGAUACAAUCACAAACAUGCACAGACCAUGUAUUUAUUCUCCACAUCACAAUAUCACGAUUUACAUUAAAUCAAUCACAAGGUUACAAUAUUUAAAUCCACAUCUAUUAUUUAAAAUGUUUGUCAUCCGGAAAUUUAUUUUGAAAUACUAGAAUCACGAAAAGGAAAAAAUUCUUUUUUAAAUCGUUUCCCACACGAAAAUCUUUUUUUUUUUAAAACAGGCUACCACAAGGGGUAGAAAACUAUUUCCAUAAAUCCAUGAAAACUACAAAUACUUUUAUUCAAUUUUCAAAGCCAUAAUAUGAAUGAAAUAAAAGCAAAGUUAAGUUAAUUAAGGAUAAACUGAACCAUAAUAGUCUAAUUCAUUAUUCAAAGCAAAAGAUGGAUGAGUCUAGCUAGAACCGAUGAUAAACAAGUCGAGAACUCUACUCUCGCUACGCAUGUGCCUCACGCCUCAUCCAGACUCGGACCUCCAAUGUCAUCUGAAAUAGGGGAGGGUGAGAAACCAACAGAGGGUCUCCUAGUGGGUACACAAGUCGACGAGGGUGAGUGUACUCACUGGUAACCAAAAAGUAGCUAGGAACAACAAUACAUUAGCAACGUAAAGUGAGGAAACAAGAUAUAUAAAUGCAACUACCGCUACUAUAUAUCAAUAUGUGCCAACCGGAUAAUCACUCCAAAAUACCCAAUCCAGAAUUCGCUAUGUCGGUCUAAGGACCUCAGGCAAAUGCCACGCCGCUCUAAUGGCAUAUGACCCUAGCAUAAGCUCCUGGGCUCACGGGUUAGAAGUCCGACUAUUUUUCCGAAAAAGAACACCAAUGUAGUGGCCAAAUUGCUGGUGUACGUGAAAUGCAUAUGAGCAGUGGCAAUCGAUGCAAAUAUGAUCAAUAGCGGUCAGCAAGUAGGCAACAAUCAACCCCUCAGGGUGUGCCGACCGAAUAGGUCAUCAACCAGAAUCUCAAACCGACCAAUUAACAAGGUCACAAUGAUGUCAUAUCAUGCAUAGAGAUAAUCAUCAACCACUCUACUCUUAAAUCAUGAUAGUCGAGUAUAGAGAUAUAAUCGAGUAGAGUAAUAUGUACUAAAGUCAUAUGGUGCUAGGCUCAAUGGACAGGAAUAAUGCGAGAAACAUAAAGAGAGAGGGUAGAGGGAAUGUCAUCGAGCGUGCACCACUAGACUGACUUCCGGUCGAAAUAUCCACCUAUAUCAGUGUCGCGCCUGUCUCUAAACUAUACGAUACCGUCAACCGGAUCGGGCAGAGAGGGCCAGAGAUCGGCCGGCGGCGGGCGCGCUGGCGGCAGAUGGGUGCGGUCGACGAGAGGAGCUCGACGCUCGCGUUGGCCGAUGGCGGUGGCGGCGGCGGCGCUGGAGCAACCCGAGCCCACACAACUCAGAUCUGGGUCCCCCCUCAAUCUUCGACUAUGGCGUCGGUCGGAACGGCCAGAGGAGGGGCACGGGCCUCCUCUGGGACCAAGAGGAAGGGACGGGGGUGUUCGCCGGCUGCUGGGAAGGCAAUGCAGCAGAGCUUGGCCGCCAACAACCCAAAACUGGCCGCAAGUCAGCAGUAGCCGUGUGGCGGCACUUAGGGACAGCUGCAGUCUACGGGAAGAGAUUGCCGAACGCUCGAGGUGUCGCCGGUGUCGGGCCCGAGGGAGAGAUGCACCCUGCACGACCCUCGGCCAAGAUAGACAGGAAGGAAGGUGGUAGAGAAGAUGGAGAGGAAGGUAAAGAUGGUGCUGGUGGCGGUUGGCCUGUCGGAGCAUGGUAGGUGGUGGCCGGAAGGCACGCGGCGCACGCAGGGGAGGGAGGAAGGACAGCUAGGCGCUCAGCUGAGGGCUGCAAGGCUAGGGUUAGGUUUUGGGUCAUCAAAGCCCUAAUUUGCCUAUAAAUACAAGGUGCACUUUUGCGAAUAAGUCCACUAAAACCCACUAUUUCACAUUGAGUCCCUCACAGCAUGUGUAAAUCACGUGCACGCACCUCUAUGAGUGAUCACACGUGAUUUGGUACAUAAAAUAUAGGGCCUCUUGCAAAAAUUUUGUUUCGCCACAAUCGACCCCUUCUCAAUCCUCAUGCUAUAACAGGAGAUCCAUCCGUCGAAUUUGUGAACGGACUGAGCUAGCGUUUUCGGCACUGUCAAAACAUCGAAACUACAAUUUUGUUUCACCUGAUUUGGUCGCAGAUUCGCAACGAAACCUAUCCUCUCUCCGAUUCUCUAAAACCACACACACACACACACACACACACACACACACACAUAUAUAUAUAUAUAUAUAUAUAGAGUUGGACUGGGCUACUAUUAGUAGCAAAAUCCCAUUGUUGCUACCAGUUUUUUAGCCUUUGGAUCAACUCUUUUCAUUAUUUCUAACCAUUGGAUUAAAUACUAUAAUCCAGUGGGGACCACUCAACCCUAGGGGGACCACUCAACUCUAAUCGACUAAUAUCAUUCUGACCCUACAAUUUUUCAUCUAAAGGUUAAAAACGUGAUAGCAAAAAGAGCGUUUUACUAUUAAUAGUAUCCCAGAUAUAUAUGUGUAUAUAUAUAUAUAUAUAUAUUAAUCCGACCUNACUAUUCAACUAACCACCCACUCAACCCUAGGGAACCACUAUUAUUCUAAUCGGGAACCACUAUCAUCAUAACCGUACAUCUCUUUAUCCAACAGCCAAAAACUUAUGAGUAGAAAGGACUAUAUACUCAUAAGAGUAUAAUAGCCCUAGCCUAUAUAUAUAUAUAUAUAUAUAUCAAAUAAAACUCAAAUUUAAUUUCAAAUUUUGAAGUUUCUCAAUUAAAAGUCUCAGAUAUUACAAAAUAAUAAUAUAUAACACCCAAAACAUAUAACAACUAAAUUAUGGGUAAUAAUUUUAUUUUUCAACAUUUUUUAAGAUAAUAAAUGUGAAAAAUAAGCUAUAUAUAUAUCAAAUGAAACUCAAAUUCAUAUUCAAAUUUUGAAUUUCCUCGAUUAAAAGUCUUGGAUAUUAUAAAAAUGCAACCAACAAAAUCACGAAAUGGCUAUAUUUUCACCCCUAGAGUUGACAAGCAUAUGUUCGUACAACCCGGGAAUAAAGGGCGUGCACAAGGGUUAAAAUCAUUUCAUUCUUUAGGAUCGUCAUCACAAAGUGCACUUUAGAUACUGUCAAUGAUGUUACACCACGUAUUGAUACCCCUAUUAUGCAUUCAAAUGAUGUCUUUGUCCCCUCAGAUGUAGAGCCAAUGGAAGAAUUAAGGGAAACAGGUGUGACCUCUCAACUUUUACACAAUGCUUGCUAUAUGUGUUGCAUUUCUAUAUGAAAAAAAUUUAAACAUAAUAAGUAGAAUGCAAAUUCUUUCUAUAUUAUAAUUUUAUUUAUGUUUUCACUUUCUUAGAUACUAAUAGUGCUCAAAAGAAGAAAAAGGGGUGAGGCAAAAACAAGUGUAAACAAGUUGCAAAACUAAAAAGUGGACAAAAGUUGAAAGUGAAAUUCUAUAACAACCGUGUUGUUGGAAAAAUCUUUGAGCAUUUUCAAGACAAUUGGGAAGAAUUGUGCGUGAUUGCAACAUUUGUCCUCUACGAAUGCACUCAUGAAAGGAAAUCGAUGAUGAAGAGAAAAAACAUGCGGGCCGCUAUGACAGUAAUAUUUUUCGGUUUGAUAUUAAGUUGACUAUAUGAAUAACAUAGAAAUUUUAUACCUGAGGACUUAAUCUAGUAUUAUAUAUGCAGGCUAUAGUCUAUAGUCUAUUUUGUCUAUAUGCAGUCUAUAGUCUAUUAAAUAUGCAGUCUAGUUAUUAUGAAUAAGAAUGCUGAAUGUAAACUGCACAAAAUUAUUUAUAAUUUAUUAUUAAUAAUUUUGUCUAGUUAUUAUAGAAUGAUGAAUGCACGCCAUAUAAAAGGCAACUAACCAUUCCUGGAACUCUGCAACAAAAUGGUGUUGCAGAGAGAAGAAAUAGGACCUUACUAGAAAUGGUUAGAUCCAUGAUGGCACAAGCAAAUCUUUCCAUUUCGUUUUUGGAAGAUGCUUUAUGAACAACAGCUUAUAUAUUAAAUCGUGUGCCUUCUAAAUCAGUUGAAUCUACUCCCUAUGAGUUAUGGACAGGUAGAAAACCUGAUUUAACUUAUUUGCGACCAUGGGAGUCGGCAGCCUAUGUUCAUGAUUCUUCCCACAAGUAUGGAAAGCUAAGUCAUAGAGGGAAGAAAUGUAUCUUUAUAAGAUACUCAGAACAGUCAAAAGGUUAUGUGUUCUUAGGUGAACAUUCUGAAGCAGUCACGUGAUGCCACAUUCAUAUAGGAUGAAUUUUCUAGUAAAGCUAAAACUGACAAGGAAUUUCAAUUACAUGAAAUUGAAGACUUUGUUAAUGAUGAUACACUUGAACCGAGUGGGAGUGAAUAUGAUCCACAUGGUUCAAAAUUGCGAAGAAGCAAUCGUGAAAUCAUUCCUUGACGACGAUUUGAGAUCGAGGGUGAAGUCUUCAUGGUAGCUUCACAUGAUGAAGCUGAACUUAAGAACGUAAGAGGCUUUAUCUUGCCCAUAAAAAGAACAAUGAAAAAUUGCAAUGGAAGAAGAAAUGGAGUCAAUGAAAUCCAACGAUGUCUGGGACUUGGUUGAUCUGCCACUAGGGCGCAAGACUAUAGGGAACAAAUGGGUUUUCAAAAUCAAGCGCAAGGCAAAUGGAUCCAUUCAAAGGUAUAAGGCUUGCCUAGUGGCGAAAGGUUAUACUCAACCAGAGGGUAUUGAUUACGUGGAAACCUUUUCACCAGUACGUUUUACCUCCAUCCGUCUAAUUCUUGCCAUAGUAACUCAUUUAGAUUUGGAGUUACAUCAAAUAGAUGUUAAAACAGUUUUUCUCAAUGGUGAGCUAGAUGAAGAAAUUUAUAUGGAUCAACCUUUAGGUUUUGAAGUUGAUGGCCAAAAAAAUAAAGUUUGUAAACUAAAAAAAAGGUCCAUUAACAGAACAUUACGAACCCAUUAAGUUCAUGUUCAAUUCAUCGUACUCUCCUUUUCCGAAACGAAGAAGAAAAAAAUAGAGCAAUCUUCAUAUUAUUAAUUCUCAUUAUAAGAUUGACAAUACAAGUCAAAGAAUUUAGAAACAAAUUCUCACUUUAGAUUUAAAUCAUGUAUUCAAUCUCAAGAGAAGCAAUUUUAUACAAAUUUCUCAUGUAUAAAAAGAAAGUCAUUCAUAAUAGUUUCUAUCACAGAAAUAAUUCAGAGUUAAAGAUUUGGUUUAAACAUGUUCUUCUACCAAUGAGAUUUCUCUCCGUAUCACUGAAUUCCUAAAGUUUACUCUCUUCUUGGAGGAUUUGGCAUUUGGGUUGUGGAAACUAGUGCAAUUUCUAUUUUUUGAUCUUGCAUUUGAUCCGUUGGAGCGAGUUAUCACGAUCUUCGAAUCAGAAUUGAGGUAUUUUAUAGAUUAAAUUUUACUUUCAUUGGUAUCAGAGCCAAAAUAUUUGUCCUUCUUAUAGCACUUGUAAUGUAAUGACGAUUAUAUACAUCCCUGAAUUUCGAUACCAGAUCACCAUAAGAUAAUAUGAAAUCAUACUUAUUUUUAAAUAUAUUCCACCAAGUUUUAGCCCAAUAAUCUGGUAUUGAAUUUCUCAACACAAGUGCUCUCUGAAAAUCUUUAAUGAUAUAAUCGUCAUUUUCAAGCAUAUUGAACAAGUCGUCUAAAAACGAUAUAUUUUAUUCCAUGGAGUGUGACGGAUUCAUCUUAUAAGUCAUGAUGGGGCGCAAUAGUCUAUCACCACAUCUUCCCCUCAAGACUCUCUUAGUCUGAAUAGUACAUGCCAUAACAAACAAAAAAUUUAACAUUCAUGAACAUGCCAUAUUUAACAAAAUUUAACUAUCAUUAGCUCGUAAAAUUUUCAAUGUAAAUAUUUUAUCUACAAUAUUAUGGCAUCAAUCAAUACAUUAUGAUGUCAAUUAAAUAAAAUAAAUUAAUUCAUAAUUUGCUAAAACUAUACAUGAGUUUAAAAUAAUUGAAGCAUUAUAAAAUAGUCCAUUAAUAAAAUAACCAUUAUAAAAUAGUCCAUUAAAAAAAUAAAAUAGCAAAUUGUUCUAUGCAAGAAUUGAACCCUUAACUUCAUUUAUAACAAAGACUUCACUUUGCUGCAACCAGCCAACAAGUCAAGUGUCAGGAUAUUAAGUACAUACCAACUUUAAUAUAUAUAUAUAUAUAUAGUUUCGGUCGUACCAUAUUAUUACAAUCCAAUAACCCGUUUAUAUUAGAUUGGAUCUUGGAAAAAAAAAGGGUCAAUUAACAGAAUAUUACGAACCCAUUAAGUCCGUGUUCAAUUCAUCGUACUUUUCUUUUCCAAAACGAAGAAGAAAAAAAUAGAGCAAUUAUAACAUGUCUCUGGUUUUUUUAAAAAAUGAAUGUAUAUUUGUCUCAUCUCAGCACGCCUUCUUCGUGUCUGAGGCAGUCGCUUGUGUGAGAAAGCCGACUACAGCCUGGUGACAUAUCUUUUAGAUAUCACAUAUUUUUUGCUAGUAUCAAUGUAUACUCUUCACAUAGAUAAUAGAGUAGAGUGCAAACUUCAUUAAUACAAUGUACUAAUACAACAUUGUAUGAUCAAUCUUAAAGUAUAGUACAUCAUAUUCUACGCAAUCCUAAUGAUUCAACAUGUGAUCUGAACACAUCUCUUGUCAGAGGUUUCGUGAAUGGAUCAGCAACCAUCAGAUGCGUAGAUAUAUAUUAUAGAAACACAUCCUUUUGUGCCAUAAUGUCUCUUAUAAAAUUAUUUUUUAUAUCUAUGUGCUUUGUUCUUCCAUGAUAUUUCGGAUAAUCUAUAAAAUACCUCAAUUUUGAUUCGAAGAUCGUGAUAAAAUAGGAUCAAACCAAACCACUCGCUCCAACGGAUCAAAUGUAAGAUCACAAGAUGGAAAUUGCACUAGUUUCCACAAUCCAAAUGUCAAAUCCUCCAAGAAGAGAGUAAACUUUAGGAAUUCAGUGAUGCGGAGAGAAAUCUCGUUGGUAGAAGAAGAAGCAGAAUGUUAGGAUUUUUCUUUCACGUUACAUUCCUUCUUUUCUCUCUGCACGUUUGUAACUGCACGUACUAGGUGGUUUCCCAACCAACUAAGAAAACCACCUCUUAAUGGGUCGGGUCGGAUUUGUCCAUCAUGGGCGACCGGAAACCCGAUUAAAAAACCAACAAGGAGAUCAUACGAUGUAUCAAGAAAAGAAUGAAGGAAUGUAAAUGUAGCUUGUGGUUGAAUGCAUGCAUGUGAUUAAAAAAUAAUCAUUGUACUUAUAUGGAUGAUUAGUUUAGUACUUUCACUUUUGGCUAUGCUUGCCCUCGUGCAAGCCAUGUAUGUCUAUGUUUCCGCUUAUGCAAUCUAUAUACAUGAUCUAUACUUGUGUUGAGCCUUGGGCGGAUAGGGGAGAACAGUCAGGUGAGGGAGACCGAAGGGUCCCCCACUGGCGUAGGAUUCGCCGAUUGAGAAUAUAUAGGAUUCGCCGAAUGAGAACAAAUAGGGUGAAUUUAUAACUACAGCAAUACAGUUGGUCGGUCGGAGUAUGUGUUUGGUACGGGUGGGCCCCCUGCGGUUGUUAUCUUUGUGAAAGGGUGCUAUGGGUUAUAGUUGGUCGGUCGGAGUAUGUAAGUAAUAAACCGUAUGUAAGUAAUAAACCUUAAAUCUAAUCACCACAUAGAAUAUAGAUAUAACAUAAUAGUAAGAUCCUCAAUUUGGAUUUGUAAAUUUACUGAAAUUGAAACUGUUAAGAGUUAUCUUGUUAGGAGUAAACAAAUAUAAAGAGUUAAAUAAAUUAUCAAGAGUUAAAUAAAUGGCAAGUAGGGGAUAUAAUAAUCCUUAUAUCUUUGUAAGUAAUAUUCUAUGUGAUUAAACUUACUACAAAUUAUCAAAACAUACAAAUCAAUUGUACUUAUAACAUGUUACUUGUCACUUGUUAGUUUACCUUUUGUCAAUUGAUUUGUAUGUUUUGAUAAUUUGUAGUAAGUUUAAUCACAUAGAAUAUUACUUACAAAGAUAUAAGGAUUAUUAUAUCCCCUACUUGCCAUUUAUUUAACUCUUGAUAAUUUAUUUAACUCUUUAUAUUUGUUUACUCCUAACAAGAUAACUCUUAACAGUUUCAAUUUCAGUAAAUUUACAAAUCCAAAUUGAGGAUCUUACUAUUAUGUUAUAUCUAUAUUCUAUGUGGUGAUUAGAUUUAAGGUUUAUUACUUACAUACGGUUUAUUACUUACAUACUCCGACCGACCAACUAUAACCCAUUUGAUAAUAAAUAAUAGUCUAUUCGACAAUUGUCAUUAUAAUUUGCCUCUUAAUAUCCAUAUUGUUGUAAUGGAUGCAAAUAAGAUGUGUACUUGAACCGAUGAAAAAUGACUCAAUUGUUUCAAAUUAUUGAUAAUAUUAUAUUGUUGGUACAAUCUUUUUGAUGCAUAAAUAAGCGAAAUUAUUGCAAUUCAUCUCGAAUGAUUACAAUUUCUUUAUUCUAGUCAAUAUUAAAUGAUUCAGAGUUAAUAAGAGUUCAUCAUGAAGAACAAAUAAUUUCCAGCUGAUCAAAAUAAGAUAUCUGUCUCUUUCGAUAUAGUUUGGCUCCACGAUUUUCCUAUGUAAAAGACAAAUAAAUAGAAUAAAUUAGAACCAAUUACCUAGAAAGUUAUUGUAAAUGAAAUAACAAAGCAACAUACCAUAAUAUAUUCAUUCCAUUCAGCAUCGGUAGCAAUUACUAAAUGAGUUUUAUCAUCCCAGCUAAACUUCGGAUGCUUCCUCAGAUUGCUCACUAUUUGAUAUUCGUUCUUGUAAAAUUUUAGACGCUUUUCCAAAUCAUUAAUAUUGCAUCUCAAACCAGUUGCUUUUAUAAACUUUGCCAUAAUGUCAUGCCAAACAUUUUCUUUAAAGUCUUGUCCCUUUUUGCCACCAUUAAGAGUAUGCUUGACCAUCAAAUCAAGAAGUGUUAUAUCAUAAUUUUUCUCCCAAAUGAUUGAAGGCUGAUCAGUCAUCUUGAUCUUUUUCCUUGAUAAUAUUUUACGAUGCUCUAUGCUAUAAAAAUAAGAAUCAAAAGAGAAGCGAGUCAAUAUACAUUCUUAUCAUUCUAUAUUCUACCAAAAGGGGUAUAUUCAUUCUUGUUCUUAUUUGCUACAAAAAAUUCUAUAAGAACUCCAAGUUAAUUACUGCUAUUGAUAUAGGAAAUAUCAAUUUUCAUUUAAUAAUGAACAACAAAAUGAAUUUUUUAACUAUAAAGUGAUAAACAAAUCUAUAGUUUCCCAAUUUGUUAAGAGUUGAUUACAUUUGAAACUACAAGGCAGCAUGUUAAACAAAAGUUAAAUACAAUAGAUUUAAGAAGAAUCUAACAAUGAACUGAAACACAAAUUUCACUACAUAUAACUCAUUCAAUAAUCAUAAUUUGACUAAAAUCAUUAUGAAUUUAUUACAAAUCACUGAAUAAACUUUUGAUAGCCAUAAAUAGAAAAUACCUUUCAUCUUCUCUCUUUGUCAUCACUUAACCUCUUUUUUGAAAUUUCGAAAGAUAGAUUCUCUCUAUAUAUACAAUUUACAAAUAAUAGAGCAAGUGGCAAAUGGCUUGGUGGUUGGCAUCCGAGACCCAAGUUCGAAUCUUAGUUGAUUUAUAUUUCUAGCUAAGUUUAUUUCUAAAUGAAAUAAACAAAGCAGGUAGCGUGCUACCUAUCCCUCAAAAAAAAUAUUUAGGAAAACAUUAGAUAGACCCUUGGGGUUACUGCAUUCUUUACUUUAGUAUCUUAUGAUUAAUUUUAACUGUAUCUGUUGGCAUUCAGUUAAAUCGAAUCAGGCGCGCCCAUGAUCGAGCUCGAUCCGACGGUUAUUAUGUUGUCUAAUUGGACUAGGGUUAAUCUCGCUUUUAAAUUGGAAAGCUAAUUAGAGAUAAAUUCUAAUCAUAUUAGGAUAACAAUUAAUAACUGAUUUGACUUUAUCUCUUACACACCUAUUAGGAUUUUGGAAUGGCUUAUAAAUACGGGCGAUCUCACAUAAAAGGAAUAAGAGGAAAAAUAAGAAGGAAGAAAAAAAAGAGAAUAAGAAAAUCAAGAGAGAAAAAUAAGAAACCACAUCCUCUAUUAACCUAUUAUUCUAGAGGGUCUUGAACGGUGGAUCGAAGAUCGUGCUCGUUUGUAGUUCGAUCCACCGCGAGUUUGGAGCGAUAGAAUAUUUUUGAGGACGAUCCGAGGACACGUGAAUCAACCUCUACGAUCCGGGCUCAUCGCGUUCUAGCGCGAAUCGCUUCCGCAAAAAGGUACAAAUGAAUACUUCCGCUGCAUUCAACAUUGGUAUCAGAGCCUUAUAAGGUUGAUUUCGUGCCCUAAAUUAUCACUUCAAAAAGAUUGCAUGCGUAGAUUUAAAUCUAUUAUUGUUUGGAUUUUUCUUCUUGCAUGCUUGUGAGCGUUAAUGGCGGUUUUUUCCAGAGUGGAUAUUUUUGCAUGAUUUUUUCACAUCUUGAAGCACCGAUGUUGUAGAUUAAAUUUAAAAAGUUUGAUUUAAUUUGGUUUUGUAUUUUAUGAGAGAAACGAAACCCUAAAUCGAAACUUUGCGAGCGGCUUGUUCGAUGUGUGAUCCAUUGUAAGAUAACGAAUCCUCGACGCGUAAAGCCGAACUUUGGUCGAAAUUGACCGAAGUAUGGUAUUGGACGCUUUAAAGAGGUCCGUUGAGUGUUCCGAGUGAUCGGAAUGACUUCUAGGGGUAUGAGGGACCAAAAGGGACCGUGGAGAGCAAGAUUUGAGAAUUUCGAAAAUUUUUGAAUUUUUGGUGCUCUCGGGGUCCGGACCCUGCAUUAGGGUCCGGACCCCAUACACGGGAAAACGUGGAAAAUUGCAAAAGGGUCAUUUGUGUAAGGGGCUAAGUGCAUUGUGCAAGUGGGAGUGUAUAUAGAUGAGUUUUAUCCUAUUUUCUCUCAUUUCCCCUCCACACCCCAACAAAAGAGAAAACCUUUCUCUCCCUAAACUCUCUCACUCUCUCCUAAGGUGGCUCCAAGAGGUGGAGUUUGAAAGUUUUGAGAAGCCCAAGGAUCUAUCUAGAUUGUAUCUAUCACCUAGAGGGGGGUGAAUAGGUGAACGGCCAAAAACCACAAAUCUCGAUGCAAUAAAAAUAAAUGUGAAAAAUAAAAAGCACACCGAGAUUUACGUGGGAAAACUCCAACUUGGAGAAAAACCCACGGGACCAACACGCGAAAAAAUAAUUCACUAAGAGAAAAGAUUACAAGGUGAUUACCGACUCCACGGACUCAACCUCUCUUAACCUCCUAUGAAUCUUCGCGCUACCCUCCNCACUAGUAAUAAUAACUGGGCUUAAGCAUUUUGGGCUGGUGGUUGGGCCCAAUGAGUUAUUUUUGCUAGUGGGCUGGGUCGUUACAUGGAUUGACUUAUAGGGGUAUGAGAGACCAAAGAGGGCCUUGGAGAGCAAGAUUUGAGAAUUUUGAAAAUUUUCAAAUUUGUGGUGCUCUGGGGGUCCGAAUCCUGCACGUAGGGUCCGGACCCUGUUGGCUUAAAUGGGCCAGCAUCCUGCCCUGUGGCGGGAGGCCAUGUGGGCCGAGUCAUGUUCGAAAUGGCGUGAGGCUUGGUUGGGCCGAGUCAUGUUCGAAGUGGCGUGAGGCCAGGUGGGCCGAGUCACAAUCGAGACCCGUGGGCGCUGUUUCUGUACGCUUUAAGUGAAUUGGUUGCGUAUUUCUAACAGCUCGAGCUUUUGGGAUUAAUGGUUAGCGCCAACGAUCCGACAAGUGGUAUCAAAGCCAGAGGUCACGAGUUUGAUUCCUGCAUGCUGCAAAUGUGUGCAGGUGCUGGAGGGGGGAUUGUUGGCUUAAAUGGGCCAGCAUCCUGCCCUGUGGUGGGAGGCCAUGUGGGCCGAGUCAUGUUCGAAAUGGCGUGAGGCUAGGUUGGGUCGAGUCAUGUACGAAGUGGCGUGAGGCCAGGUGGGCCGAGUCACAAUCGAGACCCGUGGGCGCUGUUUCUGUACGCUUUAAGUGAAUUGGUUGCGUAUUUCUAACAGCUCGAGCUUUUGGGAUUAAUGGUUAGCGCCAACGAUCCGACAGACCCCGUACACGGGAAAACGUGAAAAAUUGCAAAAGGGUCAUUUGUAUGGGGGGCUAAGUGCAUUGUGCAAGUGGGAGUGUAUAUAGAUGGGUUUUAUCCCAUUUUCUCUCAUUUCGCCUUCCACCCUAACAAAAGAGAAAACCUUUCUCUCUCUAAAUUCUUUCUCUCUCUCCUAGGGUGGCUCCAAUUCAGGUAGAGUUUGGUGGAGAGGAGCAGCUUGGAGGUCAAGCCAUCAUCUUCUUCAUUCUAAGCUUGGGAAAAAGCUUGAGUUGAGGUGAGCUUCAUAGCUUUUUAUGAAGAUGUUGGUUAGGGUUUGGUGUAAUCCCUUUUAAUUGAGUUGUAUUGGAACCCUAGGUGAUCCUCAGCUAGAUUAUUGCAUGAAUCAAGAGAUAUUAUGUGUAUUCUUGCAAUAAUGGUUUUUUAGGGUUUCAAGUGUGGGUUUGUGGAUAUGAUGGGGUUUGAUAUAAAUUGACCAAUUGCAAACCUAAUUAAAGGUAAAACCGACAUGGUGGGCAACUCAAAUUGCAGUUCUUACGAGGGUGUGACGAGUCGUUGAAGAAAAGUACAGUUUUCGAUUCGUUUGCGUGGGGUCGAGCCGAAACGCUGUUCAUAAAUCGCGAGGCUUGAGUUCUCGCAUCUUGGCAUCACCAAGAGGUGGGGGGUGCUAUAAGGAAGUGAAUUCUCAAAAUACAAGAGUUGAACUUCGUUUAGAAUCGACUGACUGUCGAUUGGGUACACUUCUAAAAGGCCGAAGGCAUCAAAAACCCAAAAAGUGCAUUGGCGAGGGCCUCGGAGAGCAAGAUGUGAAAAAUCUAUAAUUUUGCAGAUUUUGCUCUCGGGGACCGGUCCCUCCCACCAAGGAGGGACCGGUUCCCGUAAGCAGAAAGUGCUGCAGAAAAGUUCUACGCUCGAUAUUACUCUCGAGGUCCGGUCCCUCGGGAGGGGACCGGUCCUUGAAGGUCCGGUCCCUCAGGCGAGGACCUGUCCCCGUACGCGUAGAAUAGGAGGCAGAGUCCUCUGCCUGCGAGAGUUGCUCUCGGGGACCGAUCUCUCCAGGGACAGACCGGUCCCCGUAGCCCGAAACUGCCCAGGCUAGGGCAGUGUGUAACUUGGAAAGUGAGAGGUGUUUUGUGCAAAUGUGCACUUGUGAAGGGGUAUAGAGGGGAAGUGAGCCCUCUUCUUCUCAUUUCUUUCCCAACCUUACCCCUAACUCCUUCUCUCUCUCUAAACUCCUUUCUCUCUCUUUAGAAGGAGAAGAAGGAGGUGGAUUUGGUGGAGAACAAGAUCAAGGAAAGGAUUAGCAUCUUCUUCUUCCUCCUCUCCACCAUGAGAGCAAGCUUUUUGAGGUAAGCUUUGAGAGCUUUCAUGGUAGAUCCCUCUAGAUGGAUUUUUACCUUCUAGAAUUGGUUUUGUUGGAACCCUAGCUUGCCAAAUAGAAGGUUUAUACUUGAAUCCAGGGAUUUGAGAUGGGGUUUUUGCAAGUUGUAAACCUAGGGCUCCAAAUUGGGAUUUUUGGAAAUGGAAGGUUUGAUCUAAAUUGAUCAUAUAUAAACCUUAUUACUAGGUAUCUAAACGCGUUGGAAAGGUUGGAUCGUCGAUUCGUCGAGCCGGUGCGAAGAUAUCGCCGAAACAAGUGUUCGUGGCUUCGUAUUGACUCGAAGAGUCGAAGCGGCGACCAAGGAUCACGAAAUCAAGUUCCUAGCGUCGCUACGUCGCCUAAAGGUGGGGGGUGUCAUCCCGAAGCAACUGGGCUCCUCCCUAUGUCUAAGUACUUAUAUGUUGAUCAUAUUCCAUAUGUGUAUAUCAUGCAUACUAGGGUGAUUAGAUGUUGCAUUUACUAUUCUUGCAUGCUCCUUAUAGUGUGGUGUAGUAGGCCUGACAAGUAAGAUAGGGUGCAUGAGGAUGAGUUUUGUGACAUAGAACCCUAUAGAGAUAAGUUAAAUAAUAACUUGAUCUUGCAUUGAUGAUAUAUGACUAGUAUAGUCGAGACAUUGCAUCAUGACGAGUGGCAUUUGAACCAAGUAAACAACUUGACGAGUGGCAUUAGGAAUUAGUGUUAAAAGAACACUAGUGACAUGAUGGAAUUAGGGGAUAGAUGAGUCUCCCUACUUGACACCUUGCAUGAGAUCGGUGUCCAUGAUAGUGUUGACCCUAGAGAUAGGGUAUCCUUAGUGGACGAGGAUUGGAUUAUACUCACAUAGUCUGUUCAGCGCUUGUGGCGGUCGCUCCGCACAAAUAGUGCGCUCCGGAGUUUGGCACGUGUAUGAUUGGGAUAGCCUAUUUGGGGUCCCAAGGGAUAGGCUAUUUGGGGUCCUGCAGAUGAUCCCUCGGGUUGUUCGAGUCCCCCAUCAUAGACGGAUUUGAGAUGUGAGUCGAGAGCGUGCCUAUGGGCCAGCCAGAGGAUUGGGUAAUAAACUCAUGAGAAUUAUGUGCAUUGAGCAUAUUGAGCUAGUAGAGUUGCAUCCAUACUUGAUGUUGGUACUAUAGCAUGUCAUUGAUUGCAUGGCUAUCUUGUUCAUUCCUGAAUUUCAAGGCAUAGUAGUAUAGUGAAAUUCUAUCAAUAUGCAUCAGCAUUACUUUCAGAUAUCUAUCUAUCUAUCUAUCUGCUCAUGCUUGCUUAGACCUAGUGGGGAGAUCGGCGGAGUCGGCGGCCGAACCCACUGGGAACUAUGUAUAAUAGUUCUCAUCCUACUUUGUUGCAGGGCCGAGCUCGAGUAUAUCCUGGCGAGGACCGUGAUAAGGGCAUGCGCCCUAGCUUAGUAGCAGCUACCCUAUGCAUUAGAGUACCGAUGUACCCGAGAGUUGGGAUGUAUUUUGAGGGAGUUGCUUAUGUAUUUUGGAUGAACCUUGUAUAUAUUCAUUUUGGAGAGUUACAAACGUAAACCAAAUGUAAAUGAAUGGUUGAAUGGAUGUAAUAGCUAGAUGUAUCUCUCUUUAUUCACUUGUAUUGUAUACUUGUAUCUUGCUCUUACUUGUUAGCACUAGUAGUGCUCCGUGCUUAUCAUGUAUGUAAUUGAAUUGUUCCUGGGCAAUUCUAUGUACAUGAUUCUGUUGUCAAGCCUUGGGCGGACAGGGGAAGUGCUGUCCGUCCCUGUCCGUCCGGCGUCUGUUCGACGCGCCCGAACAGGACCAAAUUGGUAGCGGUCUCGGGGCAUGACAGUUGCUAUCCGAAGCAAUCGGAUUUCCUUUUAUGUCUAAGUUGUUAUUGUUGAGCAUAUAUGUUCAUAUGUUGAUUAUCAUGCAUUAUAGGAUAUGUGAUUAAAUAUAAUUCAAUUCCUGGCAUGCUUCCAUGGUAGAAUAGAAAUCGUGAGUUGAAUACAUGAUUUAGCGGAUGCAUGAGGAUUGGAUCUUAACAUAGAAUCUUAUAGUACCAAGAACAAGUGAUGAACUUGAACAAUUUAAUGACAUAAAAAGAGUGGCAUGUGAAACUAGUGUAGUGGUGACACUUAUGACAUGAAUAUUGGGAUAGGUGAAUUCCCGAGUAUAUUGUUAUCUCUAGUUGGUAGGGAAUCCUCGAGUUGAGAGAAAUAGUGUAGUGGUGACACUUAUGACAUGAAUAUUGGGAUCGGUGAAAUCCCGAGUAUAUUGUUAUCCCUAGUUGGUCAGGUAUCCUCGAGCUGAGAGAAUUAGAUCAUACUCACGUAGUCUGUUCUAGCUUGGCGGUGGUCGCUCCACCCGAGCAGUGAGCUUCGGAGUUGUCACACGAUGGGUUAACGUACUUACCGAGCAGACGGUCUCGAGUGUGCAUAGCGCAGAGUCUCCUCACCUAUGGGAUUUGGUUGUGAGUUGGGGCUUAACCUCUUAGGGUUAGCCAAGAUGAUUGGGUGACAAGUAUAUGAAUAGCAUGAAUUAUGAGCAUAGUAGAGCCUUCAUUCAUAUCGUAUUGUUGAGGCAUAGUAGCAUGAUAGCAGAUUUCAUUACUAUGUUAGCAAAUUUCAAUACUCUAUUUAUAUCUCUACUUAUGCCUGCUUAGACCUAGUGAAAAAAUCGGCAGAGUAGGCGGCCGAACCCACUAGAAACUUUUGUUAGUUCUCGUCCCAUUUUGUUGCAGGGCCUAGCACGAGCGGACAGGCUAAGGAUCAUGGUAAGGGCAUAGCGCCAUAGUUAGUAGCUUCCUUUUCCAUUAGAGUACCAUGUGUAUAUGAGAGACUUGAUGUAUAUUGAGUGAUGUUACUUUUGGAGAGUUGUAUAUGUAUCAUGAGAUGAAACUUGUAUAACAAAUGUAUGUAUUUUGGUGGUUAAAUGAAAGUGAAUGUAAUAGCUAGUACUCUCUCUUGCUCUCGCUUGUAUCAUACUCACAUGAUUCAUGUAUGUUGACUAUAUUUACCUGAGCAACUAAAUGUACACGAUUGAUGUUUAUUGAGCCUUGGGCUGACAUGGGAGGUUCUGUCCGUUCGGCGUCUGUUGGGCGUACCCGAACCGACCAAAUUGGCGGUUGCGGGGCGUGGCAGAUUAAGUGGUAUCAAAGCAUAUAAAGAAAGAAGUCUAGGAUGGACCUAGGAAACCCUAGGACGGUAACCGUAAGGGUCAUAGGUGCGUGAGUGACGUUGACCUAUGACGGGUGACGGAGGUUAAGUCAAUUGGGUGUAAUUGUUAGAAUGUCUCCAAUGGUUGAUAGAGAUGGAUUCAAGUAAUAUUGGUUCUCAACUCAAGGAAGCUGUGUUGGCGGCCGACAACAUGACGCUAAAGGUUGAGAAUGAGUAUGCUUCUGUGCUUCCGCCUAAUUUCGAUGUUGGGUUGCUUAGUUUGUGAAUCACGAGGAGUUCGUGGGUAAAGGUGAUUAACCUAGUUGUUGCGUUUCAGGAGUUAAUGGCACCAAAGAGAUGCCCCGUGACGAGAUCCGCUCCGGGACCACCUCCUGGGGUGCCCAAGCAUUCCGGAUCUGACUAGGUGCGGGAGUUACGAGUGCAAGUCACUGCGAUGGUCGGUGUGAUGCAGCGCCAAGAGGAUCAAAUCGGAAGGCUGCAGGAAUUGGUGGCGCAGUAAGUGGCGGCACAGCAGCAGCCGGCAGCUCAGGCGAAUAUUGAGCAACCUGCGCCCCCUAUAAUAUGAGAGCUUGGUUGCUUGGUUGCUCAUGACGAGGACUUGUAGUGGUUCGGGGCCUUGGUUGCUCCUGGUUGGAGUGUGUGCGAGGUCUCAAAUAAAGACUCCGCCCAGCGAUGAUUGGGCCUAUGCUUGCGAGCGAGAGACGUUGCGUGUAUCGAGAUAGGUUAGGCGGUAGGCCUUCGUGGGAUCGACGGUCUGUGGACCACCCAAGGUAAUUGGGAUAAGCGGUAUAGGCGAACUUCCUCUUUUGUCUAUUUGUAGCCAUAUGAAUGUGUAUAAUUUAUAUGUUGAUAGAGAGAGAUGAUAGCAUAAAAUUGAUGUAUCUAUGAUCUCUAGAUGAUGCUAAACUAGAUUAAAGGAUUCAUCAUGGAUUUGGGGCUUUUGUCCUUAUGAAAUUUGAAACUAAAUUGAUAUCACAAACCUCUAAUUGAAGGUUAGAGAAACACGCUGGACAACCUUAAUUUGAAAAACGGCGAGCUCUUGGUGGCCGAUUAGAGGAAUCGAGCCGAUUUGGGGAGUUUCAUUCAUUAGCGCCGAGAUGUGCUGAAUCGAUGUCGGAAAUCAAAUUGCUUGGAAAUUCUAGUAAUUGGUACUUAAACGAGGUGGGUGGUGCUAUUUGAAAUGGUUGGAUUUCUUUCUAUAUCUAUGUUGCCAUUUUGUUCAUAUGUGUAUAUAUGUGUAGAAAUUAUGCAUUGUAGGGUUUAUUGUGUUUGUGCUUUCAAUUUUCCUUGCAUGCUACCUAAAGUAGAGUUAGACAACUUGGGUUGUGAACUCGGACGUUGAAUGCAUGAGGAUUGGGUCGUUGGACAAUUGGAACCCUAUGGAUGCAAUGAACUAGAAUGUGAAUUUAGAAAACAUUGUAGAACAUUUGUAACAUGAACUUGGUGGCAUCUUGACUAGUUGUUUGGACAUAGAAAACAAAGUGUGGACAUUGGAACAAAGUGAAAUACCAGGUGUCAUUGUGAGUCUAAACAUGAACCUAGUGUGGAAAUAUGGAUUGGGUAUCCUAUUGUGCAAGUAGAAAACAUGAACAUUGUGUCAUGAGUAUUACAUGUGGGUUUAUUGCCAUAGUUGCACAGGAUUUGAGACGAGCAUGCGAGGGAUUGAAAUAGAUCCUCUGGACCAUGCUAGGGAUUGGUAGAUCCCCUGUUGUUGCUACCCUGGUCGAUAGGGUGUCCUCGAGAGGAGAGGACUGGAUCGCACUCACAUUGUCUGUUCGGCUUGUUGGUGUUCAGGCCACCACAAACAGUGAGCUUCGGAGUAGUCACACCAUGGGUUAUCGUAUCUACCCAGCAGACGGCCCUAGAUUGGUGAUAGUCCCCGUGGGUGCUGGUAUUGUGAGUUGGGCUUGACUUCGCAUGAGCCGGUAUGAUUGGGUGAAAGUUAAAAAUGGUAAGCAUCUUGAGCAUAAUAGCAUUUCUUGUUUACCCAGCUUCAUUUUGCAAAGGCAUAGUAGUGUUUAUCCCAGUUUAUGCAUAGUGUAGUUAUUGUACUACUUUCCUGUUCGUUUAUCUACUUAUACCUUGAUAGACCUAGUGGGAAAAUCGGCGAGGUCGGCGGCUGAACCCACUGGGAACUUCUUUUAGUUCUCACCCCCUGUUGUUGCGGAGCCACCAUUUGCGGAGCGGCACCGGACCGAGGCGUAGGCGUUGCGCCCUAGAUAGCAGGGUCACCCAGUUUAGGUCGCCCUACGUACAAGCAAAUAAAUGUAAAUGUAUUUUGAAAAGCAAAUGUAUUAAAGAGCGGAAGUUGUAUUUUGAGGAGUUCAUGUAUUAUAUAAGUGGAAAAAUGUAUGUCAAAUGUGAAUGAUCUAAUGUUGUAAUAGUUAGGUUUAAAUUUCUCGCUCUUGUGAUAUGCUCUCGUGCAAAACUGUUUAUAUUGUUUUUUCCUUGGUGAAAUUCAAUGUACUUGUUUUGUUGAGCCUUGGACGGACAGGGGAGGUUUUGUCCGUUCGGCGAUCUGUGCGCGCGCCUGAACCGACCAAAUAGGCGGUCCCGGGGUGUGACAGGAUCGGUCGUCCGACCUUUCACCGUUGACGUGGGAGGAGUUCCGAGGACUGAUGUUCGCUAAUUAUUUCCCCGAUAGUGAGAAGAAGAAGCUUCAGGAUCAAUUUCGAAAGCUGAGACAAGGAAACCGCCCGGUGGAAGAAUAUAAGCGGGAGUUUUCUCACAUCUUCGUCUGCGUCCCCGAUGUGGUACGGGACGACAAGGAUAGGGCCGAUUGAUUCGAGCGUGGACUUCGGCCGGAUAUUUACAAGGCGGUGCAUAUUCUCAAACUCACAAUCUUUGCGGAGGUGUUAGAUCGGGCAUUGUGGGCAGAGCAUGGUAAUGCCUACGCCCGUGUUGAGCGUGAGGCGUUCGAGAAGGACAGAGGAAAGAAGCGGGCUCCGAGUGGUUCAGGAGGUCAGUCGAAGUCCAAGAAGUCCCCGAAGUACCCGCGAGUGCAGUCCAAGGGUCGUGGGACUCCGCGGUGCGUCAUUUAUGGAGGAGACCAUCAACCGAUGAAUUGCGAGCAGCGCGAGGGGAAAUGCUUCAGAUGUGGUCAGGCAGGACACUUUAGCCGUCACUGCCCGGGAAGGGCCUCGCCUGCCCUAUCGGUUGCAUCAACUCCGGCGACUCCGAGAGAGUAUGGAGGAGUUCCAUCCGCUGCCGCGUCUGCUCGGCGUGCGAUGAUGCCACGUCAGUCUGAGAUGACUCGGCCGGCUCCUAGUGGUCUGGUAUUUGCCGCUCAAUUGGAGGAACCUGCUGAGGUCGAAGAGCGCAAUGUCGUAGUAGGUAUGGUGUUGGUAAACAGAGUUCGAACUAGAGCUUUAUUUGAUACAGGUGCAACUCAUUCAUUCAUCAAUCGACUGUUUGCUGAAAUGUUUGGCAUGUCCAAUACAAGUGGGUAACUGGAUCAUGCCGACACGUUUGCUUGUGCUUAAGCGGUUGAAGGAUUUUGAUUUAAUACUGGGUAUGGAUUGGCUCUCGAAAUACUAUGCGUCUAUUGAUUGCAAAACCAAGGUGAUAACCUUUCGUGAGCCAGGACAAGAGAAGUUCGCCUUUUGAGCAUGCAAGAGUUUGCUCUUCGCCAUGACACUGUCGGCGUCAAGGGCGAGAAAGAUGGUUAGUGGUGCUUGCGCGGCUUAUUUGGCAACCGUGGUGGAGGUCUAUAGGGAGACUCCGACGCUCGAGGAUGUUUCCGUGGUUUGAGAGUUUUCGGACGUAUUUCUCGUUGAGUUACCGGGGAUACCACCGCAUCAGGAAAUUGAGUUCGUAAUAGACUUGGUUCUCGGGACCGCGCUGAUUUCGAAAGCUCCGUAUUGAAUGGUACCGGCCGAGUUGAAGGACUUGAGGGCUCAAUUGCAGGAUCUCCUUGACUCCUUGACAAGGAAUUCAUAAAGCCGAGUGUGUCGCCUUGGGGAGCCCUGGUGUUGUUUGUGAAGAAGAAGGAUGGAUCGUUCCGUCUUUGUAUGGAUUAUCGUGAACUAAAUAAGGUCACGAUUAAGAAUAAGUACCCGUUGCCCCGUAUCGAUGAUUUGUUUGACCAACUACAUGGGUCUUGGGUGUGUUCUGAUGCAGUGCAGAAAGGUUAUUGCUUAUGCAUCCCGCCAGUUGAAAAGCUAUAAGAAGAACUGUCCCAUCCACGACCUGGAGUUAGCUGCAGUGAUCUUCGCACUAAAGUUAUGGAAACACUACUUAUAUGGUGCGCGUUGCGAGGUAUACACGGAUCACAAAAGUCUGAAGUACUUGUUCACUCAGAAGGAAUUAAAUAUGAGGCAACGCCGGUGGUUAAAGUUGUUAAAAGAUUAUCACGUUACUAUACUAUACCACCCAGGGAAAGCCAAUGUAGUGGCUGAUGCGCUUAGUAGGAAAUCAGUAGAAAAUCUUGCAAUGUUAAUCACGCAUCAAAAGUCGUUAUGGAGAGAGAUAUGGCGAUUUGAUCUUGAGAUCGUAGCCUCGGAGUUUCUGGCUAUGCUUGCGGCUCUCAUUGUCCAACCGACCUUGUUCGAGAGGAUUAAGAGCUUGCAAUCCACAGACCUGAGUCUCCAAAAGGUGCGGCGCGACGUCGAGAGUUGGUGCAUUGGUGAUUUCGGCGUACGCACCGAUGGCGCACUGCGGUAUCGGAACCGAUGGUGUGUACCGAAUGAUGAAGGAAUCCGAAAGUUGAUUUUGCAAGAAGCUCAUCGGUCUCCCUAUAGUGUUCAUCUGGGAGGCACCAAAAUGUAUAGAGACUUGAAAAUGCACUAUUGGUGGACGGGGAUGAAGAAGGACAUCGAACACUAUAUGGCGCAAUGUCUUGUGUGUCAACAAGUCAAGGUGGAGCGCCGAUUUCCAGCGGGAAAACUUUAUAGUCUACCUAUUCCCGUCUGAAAAUGGGAGGACAUAGCGAUGGAUUUCGUGGUGGGUUUAUCCCGUUCGUCGGGUGGCCACGAUGCUAUUUGAGUGGUAGUGGAUCGUUUGUGGAAGUCGGCACAUUUCUACCCAUCCACACCACUUGGUCCGGUGAUAAGUUGGCGCAGGUUUACCUCGAUAUGGUGGUGAGGCUACAUGGGGUUCCAAAAUCGAUCGUGUCGGAUCGAGAUCCCCGGUUUCUAUCACACUUUUGGAAAAGCCUACAAAAAGCGCUUGGCACACGGCUUUAUUUUAGCACCGCAUUUCAUCCUCAAAGCGAUGGUCAAUCAGAGAGAACAAUUCAAGUUUUGCAGGAUAUGCUACGAGCGUGUAUGAUCGAUUAUAGGGGUGUUUGGCAUGAGCACUUGCCGAUGGCCGAGUUCGCCUACAAUAAUAGCUACCGAGCGAGUAUAGAGAUGGCACCAUUUGAGACUCUCUAUGGGAGGAGGUGCCGAUCUCCUAUAUAUUGGAUCGAUGUUAGCGAACUGAUGGUUUUUGGUUCGAAUGUUUUGCGUGAGGCGGAGGAGAAAGUCCGCCUUGCUCGCCAGAGACUUUGGACGGCACAAUCUAGACAGAAAAGUUAUGCGAAUAGGCACCGGCGAGAUCUUGAAUUCGCGGUAGGAGACCGCGUCUUCUUGAAGGUAUCACCCAUGAGGGGUGUGAAGCGGUUUGGAGUUUGGGGGACAUUGAGUCCCCAAUAUAUCGGACCGUAUGAAGUGUUGGAACGAAUUGGUGCGGUAGCAUACCGACUCGCUUUGCCGCCCAAGCUUGCGGGAGUUCACAAUGUGUUCCAUAUGUCUAAUCUCCACAAGUAUAUUCACGACCCUAAGCAUGCUCUCUUGUAUGAACCACCAGAACUUCAAGAGGAUAUGACAUAUGAGUUCCCUGUAUCUAUCAUCUUUCAGGAAGUGCGAAAGUUACGGAACCGUGAGAUUCCGUAUGUCAAAGUUCAGUGAAGCAUUCAUGAUGAUCGUGAAGCCACUUGGGAACUCGAGGACGCGAUGAAGGAAUAUCAUCCUCAUCUCUUCGAAGAUUUGAGUUGAGGUAUGAGUUUAAAUUGAGUGGAAUUAGAAACUCUUUUUUAGGAGGGCAAGAUGUAAGAUAACAAAUCCUCGACGAGCAAAACCGAACUUUGGUCCAAAUUGACCGAAGUGUGGUAUUUGACGCUUUAGAGAGGUCCGUUGAGUGUUUUGAGUGAUCGGAAUGUGAUACCCCAAUAAUCCCACAUCGGAUGGGAAUGGGGUUGUCAUUAUCUUUAUAAGAGACUUAGACACUAGUAAUAAUAACUGGGCUUAAGUAUUUUGGGCUGGUGGUUGGGCCCAAUGAGUUAUUUUUGCUAGUGGGCUGGGUCGUUACACGGAUUGACUUAUAGGGGUAUGAGAGACCAAAGAGGGCCUUGGAGAGCAAGAUUUGAGAAUUUUGAAAAUUUUCAAAUUUGUGGUGCUCUCGGGGUCCGAAUCCUGCACGUAGGGUCCGGACCCUGUUGGCUUAAAUGGGCCAGCAUCCUGCCCUGUGGCGGGAGGCCAUGUGGGCCGAGUCAUGUUCGAAAUGGCGUGAGGCUGGGUUGGGCCGAGUCAUGUUCGAAGUGGCGUGAGGCCAGGUGGGCCGAGUCACAAUCGAGACCCGUGGGCGCUGUUUCUGUACGCUUUAAGUGAAUUGGUUGCGUAUUUCUAACAGCUCGAGCUUUUGGGAUUAAUGGUUAGCGCCAACGAUCCGACAAGUGGUAUCAAAGCCAGAGGUCACGAGUUUGAUUCCUGCAUGCUGCAAAUGUGUGCAGGUGCUGGAGGGGGGAUUGUUGGCUUAAAUGGGCCAGCAUCCUGCCCUAUGGUGGGAGGCCAUGUGGGCCGAGUCAUGUUCGAAAUGGCGUGAGGCUAGGUUGGGUCGAGUCAUGUACGAAGUGGCGUGAGGCCAGGUGGGCCGAGUCACAAUCGAGACCCGUGGGCGCUGUUUCUGUACGCUUUAAGUGAAUUGGUUGCGUAUUUCUAACAGCUCGAGCUUUUGGGAUUAAUGGUUAGCGCCAACGAUCCGACAGACCCCGUACACGGGAAAACGUGAAAAAUUGCAAAAGGGUCAUUUGUAUGGGGGGCUAAGUGCAUUGUGCAAGUGGGAGUGUAUAUAGAUGGGUUUUAUCCCAUUUUCUCUCAUUUCGCCUUCCACCCUAACAAAAGAGAAAACCUUUCUCUCUCUAAAUUCUUUCUCUCUCUCCUAGGGUGGCUCCAAUUCAGGUAGAGUUUGGUGGAGAGGAGCAGCUUGGAGGUCAAGCCAUCAUCUUCUUCAUUCUAAGCUUGGGAAGAAGCUUGAGUUGAGGUGAGCUUCAUAGCUUUUUAUAAAGAUGUUGGUUAGGGUUUGGUGUAAUCCCUUUUAAUUGAGUUGUAUUGGAACCCUAGGUGAUCCUCAGCUAGAUUAUUGCAUGAAUCAAGAGAUAUUAUGUGUAUUCUUGCAAUAAUGGUAUUUUAGGGUUUCAAAUGUGGGUUUGUGGCUAUGAUGGGUUUGAUCAAAAUUGACCAAUUGCAAACCUAAUUGAAGGUAAAACUGACACGGUGGGCAACUCAAAUUGAAGUUCCUACGAGUGUGCGGCGAGUCAUUGAAGAAAAGUACAGUUUUCGGUUCGUUUGCGUGGGGUCGAGCCAAAACAACGUUCAUAAAUAGCAAGGCUUGAGUUCUCGCAUCUCGGCAUCACCAAGAGGUGGGGGGUGCUAUCCGAAGUAAUCGGAUUUCCUUUUAUGUCUAAGUUGUUAUUGUUGAGCAUAUAUGUUCAUAAGUUGAUUAUCAUGCAUCAUAGGAUAUGUGGUUAAAUGUAAUUCAAUUCCUUGCAUGCUUCCAUGGUAGAAUAGAAAUCGUGAGUUGAAUACAUGAUUUAGCAGAUGCGUGAGGAUUGGGUCUUAACAUGGAAUCCUAUUGUGCCAAGAACAAGUGAUGAACUUGAACAAUUUAAUGACAUAAAAGAGUGGCAUGUGAAACUAGUGUAGUGGUGACACUUAUGACAUGAAUAUUGGGAUAGGUGAAUUUCCGAGUAUAUUAUUAUCCCUAGUUGGUAGGGAAUCCUCGAGUUGAGAGAACUAGUGUAGUGAUGACACUUAUGACAUGUAUAUUGGGAUAGGUGAAUUCUCGGGUAUAUUGUUAUCCCUAGUUAAUAGGGUAUCCUCGAGUUGAGAGAAUUGGAUCAUACUCACUUAGUCUGUUCUAACUUGUCGGUGGUCGCUCUACCCAAGCAAUGAGCUCCGGAGUUGUCACACGAUGGGUUAAUGUACUUACCCAGCAGACUGUCUCGGGUGUGCGUAACGCAGAGUCUCCUCACCUAUGAGAUUUGGUUGUGAGUUGGGGCUUAACCUUAGGGUUAGCCAAGAUGAUUGGGUGACAAGUAUAUGAAUGGCAUGCAUUAUGAGCAUAGUAGAUCCUUCAUUCAUAUCAUAUUGUUGAGGCAUAGUAGCAUGAUGGCAGAUUUCAUUACUAUGUUAGCAAAUUUCAUUACUCUAUUUAUAUCUCUACUUAUGCCUGCAUAGACCUAGUGGGAAAAUCGACGGAAUUAGCGGCCGAAACCACUGGAAACUUUUGUUAGUUCUCAUUCCACUUUGUUGCAGGGCCUAGCACGAGCGGACCGGCUGAGGAUUGUGGUAAGGGCAUACCGCCCUAGUUAGUAGUCUCCUUUUGCUUUAGAGUACUAUGUGUAUAUGAGAGACUUGAUGUAUAUUGAGUGAGGUUACUUUUGGAGAGUUGUAUAUGUAUCAUAAGAUGAAACUUGUAUACCAAAUGUAUAUAUUUUGGUGGUUAAAUGCAAAGUGAAUGUAAUAGCUAGUACUCUCUCUUGCUCUUAUUUGUAUCAUACUCGCAUGAUUCAUGUAUGGUGACUAUGUUUAUCUAGGCAACUAAAUGUACAUGAUUGAUAUUUGUUGAACCUUGGGCGGACAGGGAAGGUUCUGUUCCUCCGGCGUCUGUUAGACGUACCCGAACCGACCAAAUUGGCGGUUGCGGGGCGUGGCAUGCUUAUCCCAUUAUGAAACUUGCAUGAUUUGGAAGAGCUUCUCAUAAAUUAUCUAUUGAUAUAUUUCUUGCAAAAUUUGGAGUUCUAAAUCCCAAGAUAUGAUUUGUUGAGAUUUAUCUAUCUAUUAAAAAAAAAACUGUUCGGUGUAAUCCACGCCGCUUGGAGUCGCGCGCGGGCCGCGUGGACAACGUGAGCCACACAGGGGCGUGGGCCGUGCGCUGGCCAUGCGCAAACCACGCGCAGGUUGCAUGGGCCGUGCGGGCCAACAGAAUUUUUUUUUUGGUUUUUUUCUUUCGUUUUUUUUUUCUUACCAAUUUUUCUUAAUAAUAAAAUAAAUAAUUUAUUAUGCAUAUUACUAUGUUUUUCUGAUAUAUUAGCAUGCAUUUUAAGUAUUAUAAUGCCUUUUAUGAUGUAUGGAUAAAUUCUUUUGGCAUAAUAUAUUUUUUUAUGCAUAUCUUAUCAAGUGGGAAUAUUUUAAUUUUGAUAGAGUAAAUUAUAUGCUUUUACUCCCAAAUAUUUUGUGCAAAUUAAUUAAAAUUUAAAAUUUUGACUUAUGGUGUGUGAUGUGAUUAUUAGCAUAGCUAUUUUUUUCUUUACAUAUCUAUGAUCUAAUUUUUAAUUUAUUUAAUUAGAGAUGCGGCAAAAUUGAAUACAUGUAUAAUGUGCUAAUCUUAAAAUAUCUUUUUCUACGCAUUGUAUGAACUUAGUGAGAUUAAAUGGCCUCCAAACAAGUUGUUGCGGACUUAAUCAGAGGCGAGAAAUUGGAUGGUGACAAUUAUGAUAUUUGGCAUCAUAAAAUUCAAUAUAUUCUCGCUGUGCAAGAAGUUCUAAAAAACUUGCGUAAUAAAUUGGACCAACCCAUAGAGGGCACUAGUGCCCAGGCUCGCCGAGAUAUAGAAAGCUAUAAUAAUUGGCUUAAAAAGGAUCGUAUUGCUCGCAUCACAUUGCUGAGCGGUAUUCAGAAUGAUCUCUUGUAACGACCUAGCUCAUUAGCAAUAAUAACCAGUUGGGCCCAACCACUGACCCAAAAUGCUUAAGCCCAGUUAUUAUUACUAAUGUCUAAGUCUCUUAUAUACCCAAUCACAUCUCUAUUCCUAUCCGAUGUGGGAUUAUUGGGGUGUGACAGACUCCUCCCGUUAAGACCCUGACGUCCUCGUCAGUCCAAUCACAAACACAAUCCAAGAUCACCAGGCUAUGUGAGACUCGUCUCGCUAGCCUUGUCAUCCAGACCCUAGCAUAGUCGGUCACUUUGUCAUACAGACUCCGGCAUAGCCUAUCACCUUGUCUUUCAGACCCUGGCUCAGCCGAGAUUCGCCACACAUUUCCUGCUAGUGAACUGGCUCUGAUACCAAAUAAAACGACCUAGCUUACAAGCAAUAAUAAUAACUCGUUGGGCCCAAUCACCAGCCCAGAAUGAUUGAAGUGCGGAAUAAUAAUAACUUGUAAUAUACCGGAACUUCAGUAGGUGGCACCGAACUUCAGUCAAAUUGACUGAAGUGCGGAGUGGGACAAGUUAGAGUGGUUCGUUAUUCAUUCCGAGUGUUUCGGAGUGUAAAUUAUAAGUGGUAGCACCUUGGAGAGCAAGCUGGGAAAUUUUUAGCUAACUUCAUGCUGGAAGUGCUCUCGGGGUCCGAACCCUAUGCAAGGUCCGGACCCCGUACGCACAAAAUGCGUGGGUUGUUCAGUACAGUAAUUUGGAGAGGGGUUUAUGUGCAAUUGUUGCUGAGAAGUGCUAUUUGAAGGUUCUACACCCUUCUCUCCUUCAUUUCUCAUUUGUGAACAAAGAGAAAAAGCUCUCUUUCUCUCUCUAAGUAUCUUCUCUCUCUCUCUCUUUCUCUUCCGUUCUCUAGGGUUUGUGAGAGGGUUUGGUAAAGAAGAAGCUUGCUUGGUGGAGAAGCAAACUCUUGAGCUAGGGGUUUUGGAGAAAGCUAGAACUCAAGGUGAGCUCUUGUGUUAUUAAGCUAGGGUUUAUGCUAAUCUCUUCUAGUUGUGGUAUCUAUAUGUGAUUAUGGUGGAUUUGUGUAUGAUUCACCAUAUUUUAGUGAGUAUUGGUGGAUUAGUGGAAACUCUAGGGGUCAAAUUGGGGUUUUACUAUGAAUGAGGUUUAACUAGGGUUUGAUCUCUUGUAACCCUACUCGGUGAGAAAACCGACGCGUUAAGAGACUCGGAUCCGGAUUCCAUUAAGUCUACGCCGAGAUAUUGAAGAAAAACCUCAUUUCAGCUUCGUUUGCCGAGGGUCGAGUGAAAACGGCGAGUAAAAAUAGUGGAACUUGGAUUCUAGCGUAUUAGCAACCCUACGAGGUGGGUAGUGCUUUCUGAAAUCAUCGAAUCUCCUUUUAUGUCUGAAUGUCACCUAUUGAGCAUAUAUGUAUAUGUAGGAUUCAUGCAUUGUAGGGUUAAAAUGAGAAUAUGUUGAUAUAUUGCUUGCAUGCUUUUAAUAUAAAGAUGCAUAUGAGUUGUCAAUGAGUUGUUGAACAAGUGUGAACCCUAUAGAUGUGUGAAUUGUGAUAUGAACCUAGUUGAGGUAAAGAACAUGGUGAUAUCGUGGCAUUAUGAUAAAUGCUUGAGAUAACACUUUGUGGCAUUGAAUGCUAAAAAUAGAACACAUAGUGGGUUGUGGCAUUGGUGAACAUGGCAUCCUCUUAGUGAACAUGGCAUCCUCAGAGUUGUGGAUUGGAUCAUACUCACCUUGUAAUGUACUGAAACUUCGGUCGUGAGUAUCGAACUUUAACCAAAUUGGUCAAAGUGCGAAGUUGAUCAAUUUGGUACGCUUCGGAAAGGCCGAGGGCGUCGAAAAAGGCUUGAGCGCAUUAUAGGAGAUCUUGGAGAGCAAGAAAAUGAAAUUCUGCAAAGUUUCAGACUUUUUGCGCUCUCGGGGACCGAUCUCUGGCGGGAGGGACCAGACCUCGUACACGUAGGAAGUCUGGCAGCACUCUGCAUGCAAAUCUUGCUCUCGGGGUCCGGUCCCUACAUGGAGGGACCGGUCCCCGUACCCGAAAAAUGCCCAGUUUGGGCAGUGAGUUAAGGAGAGAGUUGGGGGGGGGGGUGUUUUGGCAAUUGUUCAUGAGUGGGGUUAUGUGUAGGGGUAGAGAGCUCUUUUUCUCUCAUUCUCCCUUAUCCUCUCACACUAAGGAGCUCUCUCUCUCUCUAGGAUCUCUCUCUCAAAAGGUGAAGCAAGAGAAGGAUUUGGUGGAGAAGAAGGCAAAAAGGGGCAGAGCAACUUCCUCUUCUUCUUCUCUAGCUCAAGGAAAGGAAGCUUAUAGAGGUAAGCUUUGAGCUCUUUAAUGGUAGAACCCUAGAAUGGGAUUAAAAGAACCUAGAAUGGGUUUUAGAUGAACCUCUAGAUGAUUUCAAGCCUGUUUUUGCUUGAUUCAAGUGGGAUUAAGGUGUAUAUUGUUAUAGUGCAAUGUUAGGGCACCCAAAUUGGGGCUUUUGCCCUAGGUUGAUUGCAAGGCAAAUUGAGCUCAUACGAACCUAAUUGCUAGGUAUACGAACACGUUAGUGCGCUCGGUUUGGCAAUCCGACGAGUGUACGCGAAGAUAUUGACGAAAAAGAUUAUUACGGUACAGAUUGCCGCAGGUGAGGAAAUAGACGGCUAAAAUUCAUGAGAAUUGAACCGUAGCACCUAAGUAACCCUACGAGGUGGGUGGUGCACUCCAAACUCUUUGAAUUUUUUUUAUAUCUAAAGUGUCACUUAUUGAGCAUAUGUAUAUGUUAAUCUUCAUGCAUUGUAGGGUGAUUGGGUAUAUGUUAUUGCAUGCUUUGAGUUAAGAUGCAUAUAAGAUAAUUGUGAACCAACAAAAAACUUGUAAACCCUAUGUAUGCAUGAUUGGUGAUAAAAACCUAGAUGAGGUAAAGAACAAUAUGACACGAUGACAUGUAGAUCAAGUGGCAUUAGUAAAUGCAAUGAAGCACUUGAGUUAGUGUGUGGCAUUAAAGAGUCAAGAAUUGCUAGUGUACAAGUGUGGCACUAAUGAACGAAUUGAAUGGUAGAGCAUGAAACACUAGAGUUAGUGUGUAGCAUUAAUGAGAAUUGAAUGCUAGAGAAUUGGGAAUAAAGGACAUGUAGUGUAAAUGACACUGACGAAAGUAGAGAAUGUAGGUACAUGUGAGAGUUGACAAUAUGACAUAACAACCUUAUAGUUAAGGGUCAUAUAAGCAUUUCUUCCUUAUAGUUAAGGAAUGGAUUGAACUUGAAAUCCUUAUAGUUGAGGAUUGGAUCAUACUCGCCUAUAAGUCCUUGCUAGAAAGGUGGUAGCUCCCCCUCGAGCGAUGAGCUCCAGAGUAGUCAUCACUGGGUCGUAGUAUUUUCCCCAGAGGACGGUCCCAUUGGGUCGUAGUAGUCUCCCCGAUACUUAGGAUUAUGAGUUGGUGAGUCUAUUGAGGGCGAAACCUACGGGUUAGCCUAGAGAUUGGGAAUUGGAAAGUGACCUUGCAUUCAUCAUGAGCAUCCUUGUUGAGCAUCCUUAUUGAUAGCAUUGUUUAGGCAUAUUAUCUGCAUUUGUAUAGUUGGUUACCUAUCUAUCUACUUAUUUCUUUUAUUAUGCCUGAGGUAGACCUAGUGGGAAAGUCGGCGAGGUUGGUGGCCGAAUCGACUGGAAACUUUGUUGAAGUUCUCACCCCACUAUUCCCACAGAGCCGGGACCGAGUAAGUCGGCUGACGACCACGGUAAAGGUAUCGCGCCAUAGACAGGGACCACCCGAGUUGGUUCAUUUUUGUAUAGUCGCAUUCCCUUGUAUCAUCUUUUGUCUUUGAUGAUUAUAGAUGUAUUAAUGAUGGUAAAUGUGAAAGCCUAUGUUGGAAGAACUUGUGAUGUAAAAAGAGAUGAUGAAAAGAAUGUAAAUGUAAAUGUGAGAUAUGAAUGUGAAUGAAAAGUGUAUGCAUGUAUGUGGUUAAAAGUAAUCAUAUUACUUGUAUGAUUGUGUAGUUGAGAAUCUUUCACUUUUGGCUAUUGCUUGCCCUCGUGCAAGCCAUAUGUAUGUUUCUGCUUGUGCAUUCUUUCUACUUGAAUUGUACAUGUGUCGAGCCUUGGGCGGACGAGGGAGGUGCUGUCCGUUCGGCGUCUGUUCGACGUGCCCGGACCGGCCAAAGGGAUCGGUCCCGGGGCGUGACACACCUGUAAGUCUUGGCUUGAGGGCGGUCAUACCCCCUUGAGCGAUGAGCUCCGGAGUAGUCAUCACUGGGUUAGAGUUUCCCCAGAGAAUGGUCCCGUCGGGUUGUAGGAGUAUCUCCCCGAUAGCAGGGAUUUGGUUGGUGAGUUUUUGGGGCGAAAAGCCGAGAUGAUUGGGUAAUGAAAAUGGAACUUGCAUGCAUCAUGAGCAUCAUAUAUUGAUAGCAUUCUUGUUAAGGCAUAAUAGUUGCAUUUGUUUAGAAUGGUCAUCUUUCUAUCUGUUUCUUCUAUUUAUGCCGGUUUAGACCUAGUGGGAAAGUCGGGGGGUCGGCGGCCGAACCCACUGGGAACUUUCUUGUAGUUCUCACCCUACUAAUUUUUUUAGAGCCGGGGCCGAGCGAGGUAUCGCACCCUAAAUAGAGACUAUCCGAGUAAAGUUCAUACCUUGUCAUUACUAUCUUUUGUAUAUGAUGAUAGUUGUAAAAAAUGAUGUAAAAAGGCUUAUGUGAUGUAUGUUUUGGAUGAUCAUGUGAUGUACAAAGAAAAGAAAAGAAUGUGAAUGUUUGUAUGCAUGUAUUUGAUCAAAUGUAAUCAAAAUACUUGUAUGUAUGUAGUAGUAGUAGAACUUUCACUUUGGUUGUUGUUUGCCCUCGUGCAAGCCAUGUAUAUUUAUGUUUCUGCUUGCGCAAAAUUAUAUACAUGUUGAUACUUGUGUUGAGCCUUGGGCGGACAUAGAGGUGCUGUCCGUUCGGCGUCUGUUGGCGUGCCCAAACCGGCCAAAUUGGAGGUCGUGGGGCGUGACAUCUCUUGUGUGAGUAUGAACGGUAUCCGACUGCGCAUGACAUGUGGGAGGCUCUCAAAGCUAAAUUUGGUGCCACUUCGACCACAAGGUUGCGCAGUCUGACUAUGCGGUUUGACAGUUAUAAGAAGCAUGUCGAUCAAACUAUGAAACAACACGUGAGAAUAAUGUCUAACAUGAUUCGCGAGUUAAAGUCGACUGGUGGCACCUUAACUGAUGGGCAACAGAUCCAAGCUAUGAUUCACUCACUUCUCAAUUCGUGGGAACAUAUGUUUGUAAAUUUGACACAUAAUGAAAAUGUCAAAACUAUUAAGAAUGUUGCGUGGCAUCUGGAGUUGGAGGAGGAGUGCCUUGAGGCUGUUAAAACUCCAACUACUAAUACUGCUGAGUCAAACUUUUGCAGAACAUCCGAGUUGUCACACCUCGCAACCGCCGAUUUGGUUGGUUCGGGCACGUCAACAGAUGCCGGACGGACAGCACCUCCCCUGUCCGCCUAAGGCACAACAUAAGUAUCAACAUAUAUAUAAUUUUGCACAACGAAAUUUUUGAUAUACAUGGCUUGCACGAGGGCAAGCAACAACCAAAAGUGAAAGUACUACUACUAUUAUCACUUUCACACAUGUAUCAUGAUUACAUUAAACCAUAUACAAGUAUACUAUUCUUUACAAUCACUUAUACAUAAUACAUUUCAUAUCCUCCAAAACAUAUGCCAUUUAUACAACAUUUAUACAUUUUCCUCACAACCAAAAGGUGAACCAAGUACCACUAAUGCAUGGGUGCUGCUAUCUACGGCGCUAUGCCCUUACCACGAUCCUCAAUCGCCUCGCUCGGAUCCGGAUCUGUAAAAAUAGUGGGGUGAGAGCUACAAGAAUUUUCCAGUGGAUUCAGCCGCCGACCCCGCCGACUUUCCCACUAGAUCUAACCAGGCAUAAGUAGAAGAAAACAGAUAGAUAGAUAGAUAGAUAGCCAUUUCUAAAGAAAUGCAGCUAUUAUGCCAGAACAAGAAUGCUACCAAUAUAUAUGUAACACACUGGACCUUUGCAAAUUGCGAGGUUCGAGUGUUCGAUUUGUGUUUCGAAUUUUUUCAGGUAUUCUGGAGGGUCAUUGACAGUGUUCCGACCUAUGGCUUGCAUCACGAGAAUCAAGAUUUAAAACUUAGCACCAAAGUCUCUAAAGUGAAGAUUGUUGGCUGCUCUCGGGUUGGACUCUAUAGAGCAGAGUACCGGUAUAGCAUCGAGCCUGUACCGGAACCAGACCUGGUACCGGUACAGCAUCGGACUUGUACCGGUACCCAGUGUGUUUUUCUGCGAACUCGAGGCUCGGGUUUACGCGUACAGUGGCUUGGUACCGGUACUCUUUCCCGUGUACUGGUACGUAGUGCAGACUGCGAACUGCUUGUUUUUUAGGUGACUUUUGGUUAUUGUAGCUUCUCUACAUAGCAUCCCACGCCCCUUGGUUGUUUCCCUGAGCUUGGAAACACAGGAGAGAAGGUAGGGAAGCCCUCCACUUCCUCCCUUUUGUUUUUUUUUAUUUGUGUUGGGAUUUUUGAGGUUUAAUCACCUCUUCUUGCCUCUUGUUGGUUUUUGGUGCUAUUUCCACCAUUGGAGAAGCUUUGAUUUCGUGAUUGGAGCUUGAUAUAGGAAGGAUCUUCAACCCUAGUUGAUUUCAAGCCUUAUUUGAAGCUUUUAAAGAGGUUAGUUGUUUACUUCUCCUCUCUAUAUCAUGAUUCUCAUGAUUUUUGUAUAGAAACCCUAGAAUGUGAAAUUUAUGGUUUAUUUUGGGGAUUUUUGAUUUGUAGCUUCUCGAACCUAAUUGAUUGGUUUAGAAUCUUUGUUUAGAUUGGAUUUGAAGGGAUUUUACUCUCAUUUGGAGAUUGAGAGAGAUUUUCACCAUACAAGGUGAGUUUUUUGCCCUUUUCUUGGGUUGAUUAAUGUUUGAUCUUAGGAUUUAGCAUUAGAUGGUUUGAUAUCUACUUUUAUUGAAAUACAUAUGCCUGAAAUAGACCUAGUGGACAAAUCGGCGCGGUCGGCGGCCGAACCCACUGGAAACUUUGUUCUAGUUCUUAUUACCACUAACCCUGUAAAUCCGUGUGCAAGCGGGGCGGCGGAGGAUCAAGGCAAGGGUAUCGCGGCGUAGAUAGCGGCCCUCGGUGUAUAGGCAUACCCUACAUUUUGUGUACUCAACUUUUGUAUGUUGAACUAAUGAUGUAAAAGAUGUAGAACCUUAUAUUUUGGUUAAUGGCUAAUGUGAUGUAAAUAUGAAUGAAUGAAAAGAAUGAAUAUAAAUGAUGGUUUACUUGUGUUUGAUUCAAAGGGAAUCAAAUGACAUGUAUGGUGGAUAAAUGCUUAGUUAGUUUCGAUACUUUCACUAUUGUUGUUGUUUGCCCUCGAGCAAACCUUGUAUAUCUUGCAAUCUCCGUGUUAGCUUGCUUGUGUUAUACAUGUUGUUGGAGCCUUGGGCGGACAUGGGAGGUGCUGUCCGUUCGGAGUCUGUUACGUGCUCGAAUCCGACCAAAUUGGCGAGACUUGGGGCGUGACAUCCUUGCUUCCCUACUGUGUUUUUCUUAGAAAUUACUCGGUUUCCUCUCUACUAUUUUCUAGGGUUGGUGUUUCCUUUGUAUGUUCUAAUCUACUUACGAAUCUGGCCAUUUAAUGCCGUCGCGGAACUCCGGUGCGAGCAAUUAACGUCGCCAAAGAGCAAUCACCUCCGGCGUUGUUGGGCCCUUCUUACCACAUAUCUCUUUUUCUCUCUCCCUUGCCACAAGGUUGUUUAGCUAUACAUUUAUUUAUGAAAAAAAAUUAAUGGUAUAUAUUUUGAUGAAGAGUUCUAAAAUAAUAAGCUUUAUAUUAAUUUUACUGAAACCCAUUUUUUCUUGUUUUAAAAAUAUUUAGUGGAAAUUUUGAGGUAGAGUUCUAAAAUUGUAAGCUUUACAUUGAUUUCAUUGGAAACCAAUUUGAUGUUUUGGGUGAAUAAAAUGAGCAGGUAGAGCUAGAGCAAAACCCAACUGGGCCACAUAUUGCAUCAGAAUGAUUUACAUGGUAUGCAAUUUUUCCUUUUUUUUAAUAGGAUUCAUGGAUUACUUCAAUUCGUCAUGUAUUAAGUUGCUCUAAUUUGAUGAUGGUUGAUGGUUUAUAUGUAUAGGAUAUAAUCUCCCCCCGCCUCUCCUUUUGUCUGCUAAUUUCUAUCUUAAAACUGCAAUGUUUUUGAAAUGGAAAAACUUCAACUACCACACUUGUGGUUUUGCACUUUCUCACAUUAGUAACUUGUGGUUUAAAAUGUAUCAAUUUAGUGCCAUAUGGUUUCACAGUAUAGAACAAUCCAAACAACUUGAAUUUUGACAGAAAUUUUUUUUUACUAUUUAGAUAACGUUUGAUAACUUUAAUCAUGAAUUGAAAAAGUUUAACAUCUAUUUUUCACAAGGUUAUUCGUUUUUUACCGUUCAUUUUUCAACUCUUCAAUAAACUUGAUAACGCAUUUUAAAAUUUAUAAAAUUUAGUUUCUGUUGGAACAGAUAGUGAUAAAGGUAUGAAAUAAAAAGAUUAAAAAGGCUUCAAGGCGUGUAGCAAUGCCACUUUCCUUAAAGCUUAAUCCAUCCCCACCGUUCUACCAAUUUGGUGUGCACCGGGUCAAUGAACAACCUCCCAGGAUACAAUGAAGCGUAAACCUCAACUGCGUUUGCACACACAAAGUCGAGCCUUUGAGCACUCACUCGAUUAAAUUGUCAAAAGAAAUAGAAUAUAAAACAAGAAUGGAAUUAUUAUGAAUGGAGACUUAAACUCUUCAACUGUUUUCUGUCUGUGUCCUUCUGCAACCAAUGCUAUAGACUUAUAUAGGCCACGAACGGGUGCUUCAUGAAGUGACUAUUCACGAAAGGGUGUUUCGUGAAGUGACUAUUCAUGAAUAGGUGUUUCGUGAAGUGACCUUUCAAUUGUGACUUUUCAUUUGAUCAUAACUACCAAAUAGUUAUAUGAAUCAAGUUCAAUGAAUAUAACCAUUGAUUCCAACGGACAUAUGUACGAAGAGACACACUAUAAAGAUGUGUCCUUUCAUAUCAUAUUCUUUCACUANUUGACUACCACGGGGCCAUUAGGCACGGCGCAAGCCGGACUACCCACGGGUAAGUCCUACAUGACUGGAAUACUAUUGGACUAAAAUGCAAAGUGGACAUUAGACAAAUUAGUAAACAAUGACAUUUCACUAGAUACAUUUUGGACAUCAUGUUGCUUAUACUUAUGCGUAUUCAUGUUAGAAUAGCAUUUAUACUUAUGUAACUUCAUGCUAAAUAGAGACAUAGUAGAAUUGCAAGUUUAAUCAUGUUUAUCAUACAUGUUAUACAUUCUAGUGAAAAGUUGAAUUUACUACUUUUACCUUUUAGCAUAGUGGUGCAUUUUCGCUGGGGUCAGCAAUUGCCCACUAGGAAUUAUUGUUUAAUAGUUCUCACGCCCCCUAUUUUGUUGUUUUUAUUACAGAGCCUUCCACGCCGGGAGAGGCUCGGGAUCGCGGUAAGGGAGUUGCCUCUAGUUAGUUGUAAGGAGCUUCGUUUUUAGGUGGUUCACCUCUCUAUUUUUGUAUCUAUGUAGAGAGUGAGAGUUUUGUAUCCAUGUAUAGAGACCACCACUAUGAUACAUUUAGCACUUGUAUUUUGGGAUUUCAUGUCGUACUACCUUAUGUUUUUGUUAGUGGAUUAAUUCUUAUAUAUCCUUCUUUAUUCUAGAAUCUAGUGGUUGUAUGCUCUGAUACUCAUAGAUGCUCAUUUAUUAUGGUUUUAUUUAUCGCUUUGUUGUAGACGUCUUAUAUGUUGUAGGCAUAUGGCGGGUCUGAACAGGCACCGGGCGGGCUUCUGCUGGGUCCGGGCGCGUAACAAUAUAUGCUCAUGAUGCAUGCCAAUUACCAUUCUCAAUACUCAAUCCUCUCGGCUAACCCGUAGGUUUCGCCCCAAAACUCACCAACUCAAAUCCCUACUAUCGGGGAGAUACUCGCUACAAUCUAACGAGACCGUCUUCUGGGGAGAUACUCUCUACGACCUAGUGAUAACUACUCUGGAGCUCAUCGCUCGAGAAGGAGCGACCGUCCUCAAGCAUAAGACUUACAGGUGAGUAUGAUCCAAUCCACAACUAUGAGGAUGCUAUGUUCAUUAAUGCCACAAAGUGCUAUUUCAAUUAUUUGUCAUAAUGUCACCAUGUUCUCUAUCUCGGCUAGUUCAUGUCUCAAGUCAUGUCACAAUUCAUAGAUAUAUAGGGUUCACAAUGUCCAUAUCUCAUAACCAACAGAUAUGCAUCUUUAUACUAAAAGCAUGCAAGAUAUAUCAACAUAUUAUCAUUUAACCCUACAAUGCAUGAAUCCUACAUAUACACAUACAUGCUCAAUGGUGACCUUAGACAUAAAGAGAAAUUCAACUGUUUCGGAUAGCACCAUCCACUUCGAAGGGUCGCAAGGGUACUAGAAUCCAAGUUCAAGAAUUUAUGGUUGCCGUUUUUCCUCAACCCAUGGCAAAAGAAGCCGAAAUGGGGUUUUUCCUCAAUAUCUUGGCAUAGACUUAACGGAAUCCCGAUCAGAGUCUCCCAACAGGUCGGUUUCUACUCCGAUCAGGGCUACCGGAGAUCAAACCCAAGUUAGAUCUCAUAUUUAGCAAAACCCUAAUUUGACCCUAGGGUUUCCAUAAACUACUAAAUACCCCAUCUCUCAUGGAGAUUCAUGAAUUAAUCCACCAUACAUCUUCUAGAAACAACAACUAGAAGGAGAUUAACUAAAACCCUAGCUUAAUACCACAAGAACUCACCUUGAUUUCAAGCUUCCUCCUCAACCCUUGCACAAGAGCCAGCUUCACCACUAAGCAAGCCUUCUUCUCUACCAAUCUUCCCUCUUGGAGCAAACCCUAGAGAAAGAGAAGAAGAAUAGAGAAAGGGAGAGAGUAGAGAAAGAACUUUUCUCUUUGCUUGUUGGUGAUGUGGGGAAAUGAAAGGGAAAACCUCAAACACCCUCAUAUAACACUCCCCAUAACACAAUUACACCCAGGCCCUUCUCAAAUAACAGAGUUGGACCAAUCCUACAUUUUUGCGCGUACGUGGUCCGGACCUUGCACUCAGGGUCCGAACCCCGAGAGCGUUUCUAGCACAACUUGAGCUGAAAUUUUCCCAGCUUGCUUUCUAAAGUCCCAACACUCAUCUAAUAUACUGCGAAACACUCGAAACAAUUAACGGACCUCACCAACUAGCACAACACCACACUUCGGUCAAUUUGACUGAAGUUUAGUACAACCUAUUGAAGUUUCGAUCUAUUACAUUCUCUACCCGUUAAAAAUAGUUUCGUCCGCGAAACUCAAUUCCAUACCUUAGCUUAGGGACUCGAAUAGAUGAGGAUAGGUCUUUUGCACUACCUUCUCAAGUUCCCACGUGGCUUCACGCUCAGUAUGAUUGCUCCACUGAACUUUUACAUACGGAAUUGCACGAUUCCGCAACUUUCUUUCUUCUCGAGCUAAGAUGCACACUGGAUAAUCCUCGUAAGUUAUAUCCUAGCGCAACUCCACCGGUUCAUACUCCAAAACGUGAGAGGAAUUGUGGGCAUACUCACGGAGAUUAGACACGUGAAACACGUUGUGAACUCCCGCAAGCUUCGGUGGUAAUGCAAUUCUAUACGCCACCGCACCCACGCGCUCUAAUAUCUCAUAUGGUCCAAUAAAUCGGGGACUAAGCUUCCCUUCGACCCCAAAUCGCUUUACACCACGCAUGGGUGACACCUUCAAGAAAAUGUGGUCUCCAACCACGAACUCAAGAUCCUUUCGACGUUUAUCGGCGUAACUUCGCUGCCGCGACUGCGGUGUCGCAAGCCGUUGACGGGCAAGGCGAACUUUCUCUUUCACCUCCCGCAACACAUAUAGACCAAGGGCAACUCUCUCACCCACUUCACUCCAGUGAAUAGGGAAGCGGCAUUUCUUUCCAUAAAGGGCCUCGAAUGGCGCCAUUGCAAUACUUUCCUAAUAGCUAUUAUUGUACGCGAACUCCGCUAUCGGCAAAUAAUCGUGCCAUCCACUCUUGUAGUCAAGUACACACGCUCGAAGCAUGUCCUCAUGAAUUUGUACUGUUCUCUCCGUUUGACCAUCGCUCUGAGGAUGAAAUGUUGUGCUAAAGCUGAGCCGUGUGCCUAGAGCGUCUUGCAAGCUAUUCCAAAAGUGAGAGGUGAACCUGGGGUCUCAAUUCGAUACUAUGGACGCCGGAUGUCACGCCCCAACACCUACCUAUUUGGUCGGAUUCGGGCACGCCGACAGACCGCCGAACGGACAGAGUCUCCCCUGUACGUCCUAGGCUUCACAAUCCAUACAAAGCACGAGGCCCCAACCAGGGACAGUAAUCAAGCAAGGAUUGCAUAAGGAAGUAUCAAAAACAUAAAUGCAGCUAUGCUAUUACAAGCAUUCGCCCCAUGUUUACAUAUUACAAUUGAUUUACAUUUAACUUCCAAAUACAACCAUCUAUUACAAACCAUUACAAGUUUGUUCUUUCAUCUCUAACCCCUAAGCUAAACCACUUCGGGUAUAAUAUACCGAAAUUCGGUAGUGUAUAUCGAACUUUAGUCAAAUUGAUUAAAGUGUGUGAAAGGAAUAGUUGGAUAAGGUCCAUUUAACAUUCCAACAAUAUUGGAAGGGUUAAAGUUGAGUUCCAAAUAAGUUAGAAAGGUUUUAGCAUUGCUCAGCGCGAAUUGGAGUCGAAACGAUGCGAGAUUGAAAAUCUAGACCUUUUGUUACCGGUAAUGUAUUGACCUUGUACCGGUACCAUGCAUCAGACCGAGAGAAGCAGCUCUCGGGUUUGAGAAAAAAAGGCUGUUGAACAAGUGACACCUCUGGUGUGUACCAAUACCAAGUCAGUUACCCGAGAGAAGCAGCUCUCGGGUUAGCCUCUGCGUGAUCGUGUUACCGGUGACAAAAUCACCUUGUACCGGUACCAAGUGCCCCUCGCAGCAGACUUUGGUCUGCUGCAAAUAUGAAUUGAAGGAGGGUCUUUUUGCAAUUUUGGCAGCCUAUAUAUGACCCCACACCCCUCCAUUCUCUCUUCACAGCUGAGAACCCAUCUCCAUCUCAUUUCUCUCCCUCUCUCUCUCUCUAGAAACUCUCUCCAAGGCUAAGGAGGAGCUCAAGAGGUGAAUUUUGGGAGAAGAUUUGGAGCUUUUGAAGGGUUUGGAGCUCACCUACAAGUAGGACCUUGGAGAGCUAGUGGGCUAAGGUGAGGUUUCUUGUAAGAUUAGGGUUGGGGCUUGGUUUUAUGCCCUAGAUUUUUUGUUUUGAUCUUCUUACAAGUGUAAAAACCUAGUAGAGGCCAUGAACACAUGAAAAUUCAUGUUUUCUUCAUGAGCUCUCAUGGUAGAUUUCUAGGGUUCAUGUUAGAUGCCCUAAGAAUGGUUUGAAUGAUCUAAAAAUGGUUUUAGAGAAGUUCUGAGAUGUUUCUAAGCUAGUUUUUGCUUAGUUCUAAGAUCAAAUUAAGAAAUGAGGCUAUAUAUCAUUGUUAGGGCAUCCAAAAGAGGGGUUGUGCUCAAAUAGAGUUUUGAUCUAAAUUGAGCUCAUACAAACCUAAUUGCUAGGUAUACGAACGCGUUGGUGUGUUCGGUUCGGCAAUCCGACGAGUGUACGCAUAAAAAUCGGAAAAAAAGUCGAUUUUGGUACAGAUUGCCGCAGCACACGGAAUAGGUGCCAAAAAAUUCUAAGAAUUGAACCGUAGCACCUUUACAACCAUAUGAGGUGGGUAGUGCCUUCCGAAAUCAUUGAAUUUUCUGUUAUGUCUAAAGUGUUAUUUUUGAGAAUAUGAAUGUAUACUUUGUUCAUGCAUUGUAGGGUGAGUGGAAUGUGUAUAAUUGCAUGCUUUGAGUAUAAGAUGCAUUUGAGAUAUUAUGAGCUAUUGAUAACAUGUGAAACCCUAUGUACGCAUGAAAAGUGAUAAAGACUUAGAUGAGGUAAAGAACCAAAUUGACAUUAUGACAUAUGAAUUGUGUGGCAUUAGUAAAGAACGAAAGCUAGAGUUUGGACACUUAGUGUGUGUGGCAUCAAUGAGUUUUGAAUGCUAGAGUUGAACACUUAGUGUGGCAUUAAUGAGAAUAAUGAAUGCAUGAAAAUGAGUAUAAAGAACAAGUAGUGUAAAUGACACUAAUGCAAGUUAAAGAAUGCAAGUAAAGAGAGAUAGUUGACAUUAUGACAUAGCAGCUUUAAAGUUAAGCAUCAUAUGAGCAUAACAUCCUUAUAGUGAAGGAUUGGAUUGAACUUGGCAUCCUUACAGUUAAGGAUUGAUCAUACUCACCUAUAAGUCUUGGCUCGAAGGGCGGUAGCUCUCCCUCGAGCGAUAAGCUCAGGAGUUGUCAUUACUGGGUUAUAGCGAGUAUCUCCCCAGAGGACGGUCCCGUCGGAUUGUAGCGAGUAUCUCCCCGAUACUAGGAAUUUGGGUUGGUGAGUGGUUGGUUGAGGCUAAACCUACGGGUUAGCCAAAAGUACCGAGAAUUGGAAUACUUGAUGGUUGAGGUGAAACCUACGGGUUAGCCAAAAGUACCGGAAAUUAGAAAGUGACCUUGCAUUCAUUAUGAGCAUUCUAUUUGAGCAUAAUCAUUGAUUAUAUUGUUCAGGUAUAUUAGUUGUAUUUGUUAGUUGGUUACUAUCUAUCUAUUUUUCUAUUAUGCCUGAUUUAGACCUAGUGGGAAAGUCGGCGACGUCGGCGGCCGAACCCACUGAAAAUUUUGUUGUAGUUCGCACCCUACUAUUUCCACAGAGCCGGGACCGAGUGAGGCGGCCGACGAUCGCGGUAAAGGUAUCGUGCCAUAGACAGGGACCGCCCGAGCGGGCUUUAUUUUAUUUAGUUGCAUACCCUUUUGUAUAUCAUCUUUUGUACUUGAUUAUUAUAGAUGUUUAAAUGAAAGAACAUGAAUGAUGUAAGAGAGUUUAUGUUUAAAUGCAUAAAGUUAUAUUUUGGGAAUAUGUGAUGUAAAAAGAAAUGAUGCAAAAGAAUGUAAAAGAAUUCAAAUGUUGAUUGCAUGUAUGUGGUUAAAAGUUAAUCAUAUUACUUGUAUACAUGUUUAGUUUAGUACUUUCACUUUGGCUAUUGCUUGCCCUCGUGCAAGCCAAGUAUAUUUAUUUUUCCGCUAUUCAAUUUAUAUACUUGCUCUGUACUUGUUGUUGAGCCUUGGGUGGAUAGGGGAGGUGCUGUCCAUUCGGCGUCUGUUUGACGUGCUCGAACCGGCCAAAUAGGACCGGGCUCGGGGCGUGACAUUGGGGUACCACUAUCUCUGGUCUAAUGGUAGGGUGCUAUCUACGGAGCUACGUCCUUUCCUCGCGCCACCGCGACGCCGCGCCGCUCACGUGUGAACCUAAAACCCCAAAACCACGUGGGGUGAGAACUAUUGUCCAUAGUUCCCAGUGGGUACGGCCACCCAAGGAAAGAGCUCGACCUACCAGGUCCAAAGAGGCAGUGCAACAUGUUAGUCCAACAAAUAUCUACAGAUAUAUAUAUAUAUAUAUAUAUAUAUAUCAUCAUGUAUUUAUGCAACUAACAAUUAUCAUGUUCAUGCCUCUCAGCAUGCAAUAUGAACAUGAUGCAACUCUGCAACCAACUAGUAGAUCAAUUGAUACUACUUCCAAUCCUGCUAUUCAUAGCUCAUAUCAUCUAGCCUCUAAGGUUUCUACUACCUCAGUUUCACAGCUCAAGUCCAACUAGCUUCUAAGGUUUCUACCACCUUAGAUCUUGCCAUUUACCCCUAGCUUUUAAGGUUUCUACCACCUUAUCCAAGCUAUCCACUCGACUCGGCCUCGAGUUAAUCAUCCGCGAACUACCGCGUACUGGCUGCUACAACAGCCCACUGCGCUCAUUGACUUAACCAUCUGGCGACGAAAUUGUCGCACACGCCAAACAAUGGCUCAAGUUAAUCCUGGUGGCAUUAUCCACAAACGGGCUUAACUAUCUGGCGGCAAAAUCGUCGCACACGCCGAACAAUGGUUCAAGCCUCCGGGUGGAGAACUCGGCGCACACACCCCCUUCCUCCCUUGGUAUCAGUCUUGGCGGCGAAAUCGUCGCACACGCCCUAGCCUUAAUACCAAGGUCAUCAUGAGUCCUGAGAUUCUGGAAUCCACUUCCACAUCUCAAGGGUCAUAUGCAAACCCUAUAGUGUCGACCUAUCUAGGUUCGUCGACCCAUAAACUUCCUAGUGGCUGCUACUACUAUAGUCCACAACCUAGGUUCAACGACGCUAGGUUCUAUGUCAUCUCUACCUAGAUCUCAACUUCUAGGUUCACUUGUUCAACCUAUGUUUACUAACACUAGGUUCAGUGCGACUCAUAUCCAACCUAUGUUCAUGAUACUAGGUUCAAUGCCACUCGAUCUACUUGACAUUCUACUUGUCCACAUCGAGUAUUAUAGCUUUCAUGUUCUUGGUUUCCAAUGUUGAGUUCUCUAAUCAACCUAGAGUUAUUGACCCAAAUUAACAUCUACUUGAAUCUAGCACAGGCUACAACCUGUCAACAUGCAUACAUAAUCUAACCUGAUCCACAACAUGUCAACAUGCAUUUCAUCUAGCAUAUUCUUCAAUAUGUCAUAAUGCAUUCAUCUAGCAUUUCUACAUUAUGUCAACAUGCAUUCAUGGUAGUCUAACAUAGCAUUCAUAUGUUCUACAACUAGCUACCAUUAUAUGCAUCAAUGAUAAAUCUCACUUCGCAUCGAUAUGGAAGCGAGCUCGCAACGCUUUUCGAUUGCUUGUCGACACUUACAAUCGGCCUCUCGUGGCACUCGUUGUCCGGUUCGGCUCGAACUCGCAAAUGAUCACCAACCGCACGUUGAUCCGUGACCUAGGGUCUUCAAGGGCCCAUCUCUAACCUUCAAUUAGAGAUUAAUUGGGUUUAAUUAGAUCAAAACCCACCAUUUGCCCAAAAACCCAUUCCAAGCCCUAGCCUUAGCAUCAUCUCCAAAUAACCCAAAUCUCAUGGAGAAAACAUGCUAAAAAUGCUUUAGAGGCUACUAGAACACUAAGAAUUAAGGAUUAAAUCAAAUCCCAAAAGCUUACCAAAAUGCGAAUGCCGAGUCGAAAGCACGCCGCUCCAAUGGGCGCACGAAGACUCAAGCCGUCGCCUCCCACGUGUUCCCAAGCUUCUUCUCCUCCAAGAUCUAUAGUUUGGGAGAGAGAUAUAGAGAAAGUAGGGAGUAUUCUGGAAAGAGGAGAGAGCCUUUCUCUCUAACUCCAUGUGUGUGUGUGUUGGUGCUAGCUGGGAGGAAGAAGAAAGGGGGUGUUGGCCCCUUUUUAAAAGCAACCUUCACACAAUUACCAAUCAGUCUCUGCUGUUUCUGGGCAUUUUUCGGGCUCAGGGUCUGGACCCCGUAGGUCCAGAAAAUCAGCAAAUUUCGGACUUAGCCAAAAUUUCAGCCUUUUGCCAUUUCUUCUCUGUUUUCGCUCGUUUUUGCUUCGUGGGUCUCCGAUUCACUUCUAAUCGUACCGAGACCCCCAAAACACAUUUUCGAGCAUGUCUAUACCAUCUUUUCAUCCACGCCUUGCCAGAUUCCGGCCAAGGUCCAAUCUAGCUAUUCGAGUUCCAUUUUCGCGUCUAACUCGCACCGAAAACCAUCGGAUGCACCCGAAUCUCACCGGAACUACUCCAAGAAUAGCUUUCCAAACUAACAUACCCCGUAACUUCAUAACUAUAGAAGUUCGGUAUGCUACACCGGAACCCCAUGCAAUCUCACAACCUCAUCAAGAUAUACCUAUGCCAAUUUAUCCCCGAACCAAGUGGUAUGGAUCAGCAGGAAAUGAGCCGAUUUUGUCAAGCGAUCCACCACCACCCAAAUCGCAUCAUGUCCGGCUUGCGCCACAAACUCACCAACAUCUCUCUUCAUCCCCGGCCACCAAUAAUGCACUUUUAGGUCUUUGUACAUUUUAGUGCCGUCUGGAUGCACAUUAUAAGGAGAUAGAUGUGCUUCUAACAAUAUUGCCUUUCGAAUACCUUCAUCCUUGGGCACACACCAACGGUUUCGAAAUCGAAGUGCACCAUCGGACCCUACGCUGAAAUUACCAGCACGCCCGUUCUCAACUUCACCCCGCACCUUUUGGAGAUAAUGAUCCGAUGCUUGUUGUGCCAUAAUCUUCUCCAACAAGGUUGGUUGAACCACCAAUGCGGCAAGAAUAGUCGGCAUCUCUGGAGCUACUACCUCAAGGCCAAACCGUUGCAUCUCCCUCUGCAAUGACGGUUGGUGCGUAAUUGUCAUAGCCAAAUUUUCCACCGACCCUUUACUCAACGCAUCAGCCACUACGUUGGCCUUUCUCGGGUGGUAAAGAAUAGUGACAUCAUAAUCCUUUAACAAUUCUAACCACCGCCGCUGCCGCAUAUUCAAUUCCUUCUGGGUGAACAAGUAUUUCAGGCUUUUAUGGUCUGUGUAUACCUCACAGUGCUUACAGUACAAGCAAUGCCUUCAUAGCUUCAACACGAAUAUGACCGCAGCUAGCUCAAGGUCAUGUAUAGGAUAGUUCUUCUCAUAGCUCUUCAAUUGCCGAAAAGCAUAAGCAGAAACUCAUCCAUUUUGCAUCAGAACACACCCAAGACCACUAUAUGAAGCAUCACUAUACACCACAAAACUUUCCACCGGAAUUGGUAAAGCGAGUACCGGGGUCGAAGUCAAUUUUUUCUUCAACUCCUUAAAGCUCCGAUCACAAUCGUCGCUCCACACAUACUUCGUUCCUUUGUGCGUAAGGCGUGUUAGUGGAGUAGUUAUUUUGGCAAACCUCUCCACGAACUGCCGAUAAUAAUCCGCAAGGCCAAGGAAACUACGAAUCUCCGCGACGUUCGUCGGACGAGGCCAAUCGCUAAUCGCCUCAACUUUUUUUGAAUCAACCGAGACACCACUCCUAGAAAUCACAUGACCUAAGAAGGCGACCUCACGUAGCCAAAAGUCGCACUUCUUCAGCUUGGCAUAAAGCUUCUCUUUUCGGAGACUUUGCAGCACGGUUCUCAAAUGCUCCUCGUGCUCUUGAUCACUUCGAGAAUAGACCAAUACGUCGUCAAUAAACACCACAACACAUUGGUCCAACAAUGGCCGAAAGACUCGAUUCAUCAAGUCCAUAAAUACUGCAGGGGCAUUGGUACCGAACGGCAUCACCGUGAACUCAUAAUGGCCAUAACGCGUACGAAACGCCGUCUUAUGUAUAUCCUCCGGCUUGAUCUUCAAUUGGUGAUACCCCAACUGAAGAUCAAUCUUUGAAUAUAUCCGAGACCCUUGCAACUAGUCGAAUAGAUCGUCAAUUCUAGGCAACGGCUAUUUGUUGCAGUUGAGCUUUUAACUCUCUUAACUCCGCCGGUGCCAUUCUAUACGGAGCCUUCGAAAUUGGUGCCGUCUCUGGAACUAAGUCAAUGACGAACUCGAUCUCCUGGUCCGGUGGCAAUCCCGGUAACUUCGCCGGAAACACAUCCGAAAACUCGCAUGCUAUCGGAAUAUUCCCAAGCAUUGGGAGCUCCCUUUGAGUCUCCACCACCGUCGGCAAGUAAACCACACAUCCACUUUUGAUCAACUUUCUCGCUCUCGAUGCCGACACUGUCGCCGCGAAGCGCAAGCUCUUUCACGCCCGAUAAACCACUUUCUCCUGGUUGGGCUCACGAAAAGUAAUCACCUUGCUUUCGCAAUCAAUGACGGCAUAAUAUUUUGAGAGCCAAUCGAUUCCAAGGAUCAUAUCAAAGCCCCACAUCCGACUCAGAACAAGCAAGUCCGCCGGCAUAAUCCAAUCGCCGAUUUACACUGGACAAGCCGCACAUUCCUCCUUGACACUAAAGGUAUACUCAGGUGUGUAGACCCACCAAGCAUCCAGACUGUCCGAUAUCUCAAUAUCAUGAGCUCUGGCGACUUAUGCGCCAAUGAAUGAAUGGGAUGCACCAGUGUCAAACAAUGCUCUAGCUCUAGUGCCAUUAAUUAAAAUAAUACAUGCGACAACAUCAUCAGGUAAGGCGGGCUCCUCCACCUGAGCGGCGAAAACCCGGCCACUCAGUGCCGCCCGAGAUCCCUCUGGCUGACGUGGCACUGACGAGCGUCCAGUCGACAUAGCAGGUGGCAGUCCCGCGAGCUGUCUCGCGGUGUACUGAACUGAUGCAAUCGUCUGGGCGGACGAUAUCCAACUCGGGCACUCCCGUAUAACGUGUCCAGCUUGGCCACAUCUAAAACACCUCCCCUCACGCUGUGGGCAGACCGGCGGUCAAUGAUCACUGCCGUAGAUAACACAUUAGGCAGGUCUCCAAUUCUUCGACUGCCGUCGUGGAUAUCGAGGAGGCCUCUUAGGACUUGACCGAUCCCCGGCACCACUCGCAGUCCGCUUCUUUUCUUUGUCCCUUUCUUUUUCCAUAAACUCGCGCUCCCCACGCGCAUAAGCAUUGCCGUACUCCUCCCACAACGCCCGAUCCAAUACCUCUGUAAAGGUCGUGAGCUUGAGGAUAUGCACCGCCUUAUAAAUUUUCGGCCGAAGUCCUUGCAAGAACCAAUCAGCCCUAUCCUUGUCAUCCAGAACCACAUCCGGGACACAGUCAAUAAUAUGAAAAAUCUCCCACUCAUAUUCUCCCACUGAGCGAUUCCCCUAUCUCAGCUUCCGAAACUGAUCCUGAAGUUUUAUUUUUCUCACUAUCGGGGAAGUAGUUUGUGAACAUCAAUCCCCGAAACUUCUCCCAAACCAUAGGCGGAAGGUUGGAAGGUUGAUCUCGCUUCACCUUUUUCCACCACACCUUCGCCACCUUCUCCAAAUAGUGAGUGGCAAGGUGCACUUAUCUUUCUCCAAGGUAUAAAUAUCCUCGAGGAGCGUUUUCAUCGAGUCGACCCACGACUCCACCAUCCAUGGCUCCAUUUUCUCUCCGUCGAACACAUACGGAUUGAACUUCUUAAACAUCACGAGGGCCGCGAGUGCACGCUCCCUCUCCGCCUCCAUCGCCGCAUCUUCGGAAUUUGAGGUCUCGAACCGGCUGCCACUGCCGCGACUGGUAUAGCCACCACGGCCAUGCCUCGGUCGCAUUCGGUAUUACGACAGGGGGCCAGGUCGCCUGAUGCCUGCUUGAGUCGAAGUCGUCUACUGUUGCGCCCAAGCCUCCUGGCGUCGCUUGAUUUGCUCCUCCUGUCGUUGCACCGACUUCACUUGUUGUCGCACUAUUCUUAUAAGUGCAGACACCUGCUCCCAAAGCUCCUCGUUGCCACUCGCUUCGAAUUGCUCGAAAUCUGAACUCGAUUCCUCGGGCGUCGACUUUGUUCGAGGUCUACCACGAGGCAUCGCUUCCUGAAACAUAGCAACCACAUUAGUUACUUGUCUACGACGCUAACGUGCCAAUAUAACAUGCCCCAAACAAAACCAAAUCAGGCAAAAGCAUACAAGUGAAUCCAUUCUCAUCUCUAGGCAUCAUGCCGUCGGCCGCCCAAUAUAACCCUUGGAGUAGAGAAUAAAUAUCAACUUGGAUUAGUCCCUCAUUACCGUUAGACUACCCAAUCCGCAUGGCUUUCGCUAUACAGUGAUUCCACGUCGCUCACGUCCCUAGAUCCUUAAGGUUUCCAUCCUAAGGGUUCCUAGGUCUAUCCUAAACUUUCACUUUUCUAGGUGACUCUGAUACCAUUAUAUCUGUCACGCCCCGCGACCGCCGAUUUGGUCGGUUCGGGCACGUCAAAAGACGCCGGGCGGACGGCACCUCCCCUGUCCGCCCAAGGCACAACACAAGUAUCAACAUGUAUAUAAUUUUGCGCAACGAAAUUUUUGAUAUGCAUGGCUUGCACGAGGGCAAGCAACAACCAAAAGUGAAAGUACUACCACUAUUAUUACAUUCACACAUGUAUCAUGAUUACAUUAAACCAUAUACAAGCAUACUAUUCUUUACAAUCACUUAUACAUAAUACAUUUCAUGUCCUCCAAAAUAUAUGCCAUUUAUACAUCACUUAUACAUUUUCCUCACAACCAAAAGGUGAACCAGUUAUCACUAAUACAUGGGUGUCUGCUAUCAUUUUAGGCGCUAUGCCCUUGCUACGAUUGCACUGAGCCGAAGAAGACUCAGGAGCAACGGACCACGUAGCGAGGAAUCAGAUGGGAUUCGUCGAGUACCGUCGUGUGCUUGCUGGGAGCAGAAGAGUAUACAUGGGGAACAAUUCGAGUAUCGAUGUAUUAGGCGUUGGCACAUAUAAGUUGAUCAUGCAAAGUGGUCAAACCUUGUACUUUCAUGAUGUACUUUAUACUCCAGGAAUUCGAUGAAACUUAUUUUCUAUUCUUGCUAUGCUCCAUUUAGGAUUUUCUUUUAGUUUUGAGAAUGAUAUAAUUAAGAUUCAUCUUGGAACUAUUUAUUAUGGAAGAGCUUUUAUUUCAAAUAGUUUUAUGAUUUUGGACAUUGAUUAUAAUAAUAAUGAUAGUGGUUCUUUUUCCUUACUAUCUUCUAUUGAGAAUGAUCACAAUGUUUGAAUUAAAUGCCAUGCACGUCUUGGUCAUAUUGGGCUGGAUAGAAUGAGUAGAUUAGUUAGAGACGGGCUAUUGAGCUCGCUCACUAAAGUCGACUUGCCCAUAUGUGAACAUUUCUUAGCGGAAAAAGCGACCCGAAAAUCAUUUAAUAAAGCUUCUAGGGCAGAAUUUUCUUUACAAUUGAUCCAUUCCAACAUUUGUAGCCCAAUGAGUGUGAGGGCAAGACAUAGUGCUUUUUACUUCAUCACAUUUAUAGAUGACCAUACGCGCUUCGGUCAUAUUUAUCUGAUCUCCAAUAAAUUUGAAGUAUUGGAUUGGUUUAGACGUUAUAUUAAUGAGGUUGAGAAUCAGUUAGAUAUGAAUAUUAAAACCUUAAAAAAUGAUCGAGGCCGCGAGUAUCUAUCUGAACAAUUUAAGAAAUUGUGUGAUGAAAAGGAAAUAAUCAGACAGUUGACAAUUCCUGGCACUCUACAGCAAAAUGGUGUAGCGGAAAGAAGAAAUCACACCUUGCUUGACAUGGUUAGGUCAAUGAUGGCGCAAGCAAAUUUUCCUAUCUCCUUUUGGGGAGACUUAUUGUUAACUGCUGCCUACAUUCUUAAUCGUGUGCCCUCCAAGACAGUACCUUUCACCUCUUAUGAAUUAUGGACAGGCAGGAAACAAUAUUUUGAGCACCUGUGUCCUUGGAGUUCGACAGCUUAUAUACACAACACUUCUCACAAGCAUGAAAAGUGGGGUCCUAGAGGAAAGAAGUAUAUCUUUAUAAGAUACCGUGAACACUCUAAGGGAUACAUGUUCAUUGGAAAGCAGCAAGAUGAAAGUUUGACUGAGAUUGAGGCAUGAGAUGUUGAAUUCCUCGAGGAGGAUUUUCCUUAUAGAAGUGAGGUUCGAAAUGAAAUUGUGUUCCAUUAGAUGGAUGACUCUGAUGUUGGUGCUUCUAUUCGUUCAGUUGAGGCAAAGGAGGCGUCUCCGAUACCUCUUGGGGAUAGUGUGAACGACUUACCUUUUGUAACAUAUCGAACUUCUAUAAUUAUAAAGUUACUGUGUAUGUUAGUUUAGAAAGCCAUUAGAAUGGUUCCAGUGAAGUUUUGGUGCGUUCGGGUGUUUUCAAUACGCGUCGCGCACGAAAACGGAACCCGAAAAGCUAUGAUUUGACCUUGGCCGAAAUCCGGCAAGGCGUGGAUGAGAAAAUGGUUUGAACACGCUUGAAAACAUGUUUUGGAGGUCUCGAUGCGAUUUGAGCCGAAUCGAGGACCCACGGAGCGAAAACGAACGAAAACGGAGAAGAAAUGGAAAAAGGCUGAAAUAUGCUGAUUUUCUGGACCUACGGGGUCCGGUCCCUCUAGCCAAGGACCGGUCCCCGAGCCCGAAAAAUACACAGUAGCAGUGGCAAACUUGUAAUUAAAUGGUGGGGUGUUGACUUAAAAAGGGGGGUCAUCUCUUUCCUCCAUCCCUCAACCAUUUUUGGCCCUAAAGCAGCACACACACACACAAAUGGAGUAGAGAGAGAAGCUCUCUCCUCUCUCUAGAAUACUCUCUCUUCUCUGUAGAUCUCUCUCUCAAAUUCAGGAUUUUGGAGGAGAAGAACCUUGUGAACGCGUGAGAGGCGACGGUUUGGGCCCUCGCGCGCCCGUUUGAGCGGGGUGCUUCCGUCUUGGCGUUCAGAUUUUGGUAAGUAUUUAGAAUUUGGUUAAAUCCUUGAUGCUUCGUAUUCUAAUGAUCCCUAGGCUAUUAAAUGCAUGUUUCUCCAUGAGCUUGAGGUUAUUUGGGGAAUAUGCUCAUGCUAGGGCUUGGAAUGGGGAUUGGGGAUUUUGUGGGUUUUAACUAAUUAAACCCUAUGUUUCUCUAAUUGAAGGUUAGAGAAGGGUCCCAAACACAUCUAGGCUGCGAAUUAGCAUGCGGUUGGUGAUCGUUUGCGAGUUCGGGCCGAACCGGACAACGAGUACCGCGGGAGGCCGAUUGCAAGUGUCGACAAGCAAUCGGAAAGUGAUUUGAGGUGGGUUGUGCUCACCGAAGUUAUUAGCUCGCUUCCAUGUCGAAGCGAAGUGAGAAUUAUUAUUGAUGCAUGCAUUGUCACGUCCCGCUAUCGCCAAUUUGGUCGACCCGGGCCCGUACACAGACGCCAAACGAACAGCACCUCCUCUGUUCGCCCAAGGCUCAACAACAACGGAUACAUGUAUAAAGAAAUUGAACGAUUCCCAGGAUCACAUUUCAAUAUACAUGGCUUGCACGAUGGCAAGCAAUAAACACAAGUGAUAGUAAAGCUAGCUAAACAUGGAAUUUCACUGUAAUUUAAAACUUCAAACUAAAUUACAUAACUAGAACAUUUAGUUAUUUACAUGUCCUUCAAUACAUUCAUUUAUAUGUCUCUGUACAUCAAAAUAGAUGAUACAUGAACCCAAAAUGGUAUACCACUAGUACUCGGUGUCCACUAGCUAGGCUGCUGGCUCUUGCCUCGAUCCUCGGCCACAAUACUCGCAAUGGAACCUGUAUGAUUAGUGGUGUGAGAACUACAAGAGAGUUCCCAGUGGGUUCGGCCGCCGACCUCGCCGACUCACCCACUAGGUCUACUCAGGCAUAUGUAGGCAAGAAAAGUAAACUGAGAUAGUAACCAACUAUAAUAUGUAACUACUACAAUGCCUGUGCAAAGCUGAAGGAAGUAGUAUACGAAAACUGUAAAUAUGCAUGCAUGAUUUCACUAAAUUUACCCAAUUUACUUGUUAACCCUUUGGUUAACUGCAACUCACCAACUCAAUCCCUGGCGGGCCCUAAGCUGCUUCCCGACGGGACAGACGUUGGUUAACUCUUUGGUUAACAAUAACUCAAUCAAUCCAGCUAACCAAUUGGUUAACUACAACUCACCAACUCAAUCCCUAACGGGCCCUAAGCUGCCUCCCGAUGGGACCGUCUGCUGGACAGAUACUUUAGUCCAUGGGCAGAUACUUUAGCCCAACAUGUGACCACUGCGGAGCUCACUGCCUGAGGGGAGCGACCACCACCAAGCCAAUAACAGACUAUGAGAGUAAGAUCUGAUCCUCCUUUAGAGGAUUCAAUAACUGACAAUGCUACCAUUUAACUUCUAACUAGCUCUUUAUGCUAGUUUCAUGGUUUCAUUUCUCGAUGUUAACCAAAUCUCUAGUCAUGAUGUCACCAAGUUUACUAUUGUCCUGCUCCUUUACAAUUUCAUACAUUCAUAGGGUUCAAUGUUCACAUUCACUGUUCAUAUUCUUACUAUCUAUAGGAAUUUACAUAUUCAUUUAUCACUUUCAUAUACUUUCAAAAUGCCAAUACCCUGUGAGUAAAAUCUAAUCCUCCUUUAGAGGAUUCAAUCAUAACCAAUGUCAUACUUAUCCUCCUUUAGAGGAUUCAUUAACUGGCCAUGCCACAAUUUAAGUCUAACUAGCUCUUUUUGCUAGUUUCACUGUUUCAUUUCUCAAUGCUAUCCAAUUCUCUAGUUAGAAUGUCACCAAGUUCACUAUUGUUAUAGUCCAUACAUUCAUAGGGUUCUAUGUCCGCAUUCUAAUGUUCACAUGUUUUUACUGUUGAUAGGAAUUCACACUUUUACUUGCACAAUGCCAAUACCCUAUAAUGCAUGACUACCAAUAUAAAUAUGCUCAAUGAAUUAUCAUAGACAUAAAAGAUGAUUCAAAGACUUCGGAUAGCACCACCCACCUGUAGGGAUGUCGGAGACUAGAACCAACAUCAAGAACCGUAUAAACAUUAGUCCACGCGACUCGAUGCAAGUAAAGCUAGAAUGAAGCGUUUCUUAAUUUUCGCAUCGUAGGUCCGUCGGAAUGUCAAUUCGAACUUUCGAGCUUUCCAACGCGUCAGUUUUACCCUCUAUUAGGUUUCCACACAAUCAAUUCCAAGCUAGAUCUCAAAUCCUACAAAAAUGCAUUUUCGAGUUAAAGCUUUAUACAAUCUACUACUAAUAAAUCUCACAAAAGCACAUAGAGUAACUCAACUCUAAUCAGCCCAAGUUUUACUUCAACCCAACUUAUAUACACAUGCUGUUUAUAACACCAUUUCUAAGUUCACAUAGCAAUAUCUAACACACAUCUUCUUUCUAUGUUUCAUGGCAACUUCAAAGUCUAGUAAUUAAGAAACCCUUUUAUAGGGUAAAUUCCAUAACUCUAAUAAAGAAACAGCACACUUACUUUGGGUUUCACUACUAACCCUUAGCUCACAUAUAUGAUGUUCACAAUGUAGUUCUCUAUCACUAGGUUCUCAUGGCGAUAGGAGCUCUAGUUUAAUAUAACAUAUUUCUACCCACUUUCUAUAAGAACCUAUAUAGAAAUAAUUCGCUAAGUCAAUACGUUCUGUUAACAAGUUAAAUUAACUUCUAUUUAAUACAAAUGCCCAAUUAAAUACUUCAACUUAAGGUUAAUUAGCUAAUAGGCUAUAUACUAGUGGGAGCACCUCUCAAAAUACAUGCAACGUUUCAUACAUGCCUAUUUGCCAUAAUUAAUUAUCUCCCUCAUGCUAAUAAAGUAAUUAGCAUGCUUCAUUCAUGCUUCGUACAUGCUUCAUACAUGCCAUAAUUAAUUAGCAUACAUGCUUCAUAUAUGCUUCAUACAAUAAUUAUCAUGCGUGCUACAUACAUGCUUCAUUAAUACUUCAUCAGAGGAAGCAUACAUGGUUCAUGCAUGCUUCAUAAUUAGCACGUUUCAUACAUGCCCAUUUCCCAUUUGCCAUAAUUAACUAUCUCCUUCAUGUAGAUAUACAUAGAAUAUGCAUAAUGGUAAAUAUAUUCUAUAGUAGCAGGAGCUUAAUUAAUUAGCAUGCUUCCUUUUCACAUACGAGGGUUGUGGAGUCAAUUACCUUCCAUGGCUAUUUAAUACACCUUUUUCUGUAACUAACUUCGCAGUCGGAGCGUCGGAAACAUCCAACGCGCUCGGAGGAUCGAUCGGCUCGUUGAGUAGUUGAAGAUCCUCACUUCUCUUUUUCUUCUUUUCCUUCUCUUUUUUCCUUUUCUCUUCCUUUCCCUCUCUCUCUCAUGCGUACAGGGUGAAGAGGAAGUGGAUAAGAAUGGUCCCCUGGCAGCUUAGUCACUAAGAAAUGCACAAUUGCCUUUAGGUCCAUAAAUAUUAAGCAUACAAAUUUUAGUCCAACUCAGAAUCUGAUACUUUUCGCCGGAGCCCUUCUAAAUGUCCGUUUUCGCUCAAAUUUGACAGUCAAGCUCGGUUUAACUUAAUAAGAAUAAAGAAAUUUUAAUCUUUCAGUUUCGACCCUUUUUUGUCACCGAAAGCUCUACCAACUAACAUUUUAACAGAUAGCUUAUUUUUCACUUUCCAGGUGUCAGAAUGGUAUGAAACUUUAAAUCUAGCCUCAUAAGAAUAAUCCUGAUAUAUUUCGAGAUUUUCAUAAUUUUCUGACACUAUGCAUUUUCUGCUAAAAUAUCAGCCCCGUUUUUUACAGAAAAUUCUAAUUCUACCGUUUUCACUCCGAUUUCGGCACGAGUCAUUCCAGACUAACGUGGGUACACCAUAAAUUAUCCCCAAGCCUCACAUUAAUUCUUUUAAUGAAAUUUAACAUCGAAAAUCCGAAAAUUCUAUUUACAUUUCGUUUCGCGCCCAAUUUGCGCCGAAACACUUAUUUAUCAUCGGAAUUCAUUCUCACGCGUCCAAAAUCACUCGGGGAUGAUGUCCAACUAGCUCAAUCCGCACUUUGAUCCAAUAGAUCAAAGUUGACAUCGCAGCUCCAAGUUGCCAUAUAUUACAUGCAUUGUAGUUAGUGGUAAAACAUAUGAAUGCUAUGUUAGACUACUAUUGAAUGCAUAAUGACAUAAUGUAGAAACGCUAGAAGAAUGCAUAAUGACAUUUUGUGGAAAUGCUAGAGUAUAUGCAUGUGGACACUUAUGAAUAAAUGUUAGAUGACAUGUAGAUGCAUAUUGGCAUUAUGAGAUUAUGCUAGAUGAAAUGUGCAUAUUGACAUUACGAAAGUAUGCUAGAUGAUGUAUGCAUGUUGGCGUAUUGUAGAAAAUGCUAGAUUCACGUAGAUGUGAACUUGGGUCGAUAAAUCUGGAUGGAUUAGAAAACUCGACAUUGGAAAACAAGAAAAUGAGAUCUGUGAGUACUCGAUGUGGACAAUUAGGAUGUCAAGUAGAUCAAGUGGCAUUAAACCUAGUGUUUUUAAACAUAGGUUGGAUAUGAACCUAGUGUCGUGAACCUAGGUUAGAUAUGAGUGGCAUUGAACCUAGUGUUAGUUAACAUAGGUUGAACAAAUGAACCUAGAAGUUGAGAUCUAGGUAAAGAUGACAUAGAACCUAGCGUGGUUGAACCUAGGUUGUGACUAUAGUGGUAGCAGCCACUAGGAUGUCUAUGGGUCGAACCUAGAUAGGUCGACAUUUUAGAAUUUGCAGAUGACCCUUGAGACAUGGAAAAGGAUUUCGGAAUCCCUAGUGAUGUGGCCGCAGAAGAGGCGGUGGAAACUUGCAGUAGAAUACAAGUGAAUUAGAACUGCGGGUAUGUGUGGUUCUCCUCGCCCGACAGUGAUUCAAUGGGUAUAUGUGGUUCUCCUCGCCCGGUAUAAGCUUGAAAUGGGUAUGUGUGGUUCUCCUCGUCCAUUUAGCUUAUUGGAUGAUGCCGCCAGGAUUGACUUGAGCCAUUAUUAGGUAAGGUGCGAUGAGUUCACCGCCAGAUGGCUAAGUCAAGAGGUGCGGUGGGCUAUGAUGGCAGCCAGGCUGUGGUAGAGAUGCAGCAAGUGCGCGGUAGUCCGCAGAUGAUUAACUCGAGGCCGAGUCGGGUGGAUAGCUUGAUUAAGGUAGUGGAAACCUUAAAGGCUAGUGAUAUAUGGCAAGAUCUAAGGCUGUAGAGACCUUAGAUGCUAGUUGGACUUGAGCUAUGGAACUAAGGUAGUAGAAACCUUAGAGCUAGAUGAUAUGAGCCAUGAAUAGCAGGAUUGAAAGUAGGAUCAAUUGAUCUACUAGUUGGUUGCAUAAUUGUAUGAAUUUCAUAUUGCAUGUCGAGAGGCAUAACAUGUAUUUCAAUACUUGCAUAAAUAUCUGUUGGAUAUAUGUUGGACAAACAUGUUGCAGUGCCUCCUUGGACCUGGUGGGUCGAGCUCUUCCCUUGGGUGGUCGUACCCACUGGGAACUAUGGACAAUAGUUCUCACCCUCGUGUUGUUUUUGGGGGUACAGGUUCACACGUAAGCGGGACGACGGUGCGAGAAAAGGGCGUAGAUCCAUAGUUAGCGCCCUACCACCAAGACCAGAGAUAGCAGUACCCUAAGUCGGCUACUUAGGGAUGAAAGGGAAAUGAAAAGAACAAUGUUGUAAUAAUCAUACUAAAUCGGAUUGUAUUUGGAAGCUAAAAAGAGUUAAAGAAUGCGAAAAUGUGUAUGUAAAAAGCAUGUAUUGUGAAUGCUUGUAAUAGCUUAGUUGUUUUAUAUUUUUGAUACUUCCUUAUGCAAUCUAUGAUUGAAUAUUGUUCCUAGUUGAAACCGCUUGUAUUGUAUUGAUUGUGACGCCUAGGACGUACAGGGAAAACUUUGUCUGUUCGGCGGUUUGUUGGCAUGCCCAAACCCAAGCAAAUAGGCGGGUGGCGGGGCGUGACACGUUUAGAUAAGGAGCCUCAAUUUCAUAGGAGCACACGUGUGAGCAUUCUCCGUCGUGGUUUUGAGAUUGAGGGGGAAGCUUUCAUGGUUGCUGCACAUGAUGAUGAUGAGCCUAGAUCUUUUCAAGAGGCUUUCUCAUCACCUACUCAUAAGGAAUGGUUGGAUGUAAUGAUGGAGGAAAUAGAAUCGAUGAAGUCAAAUCAUGUCUCGGACUUGGUUGACUUGCCACCAGGGCGCAAAACAAUCGUAAAUAAAUGGGUUCUCAAGAUUAAGCGCAAGGCAGAUGGUUCAAUUGAUAGGUAUAAGGCUCGUUUAGUAGCAAUGGAUUUUACUCAACGAGAAGGCGUUGAUUAUGAGGAAACCUUUUCUCCUGCCGUAAGAUUUGCUUCGAUCCGCCUAAUUUUGGCCAUUGGCGCAUAUUUGGAUUUGGAACUUUACCAAAUGGACCUUAAAACUGCAUUUCUCAAUAGAGAACUGGAUCAGAAGAUCUGCAUGGAUCAGCCUGCUAGCUUCUCUGUAAAGGGUGAGGAGCAUAAAGUUUGUAAGCUCCGACGAUCCAUUUAUGAAUUGAAGCAGUCCUCCAGACAGUGGUAUAUUCAAUUUCAUCGAACCAUUACUGAAAAUGGGUUUACGAUGAUUGAAGAAGAUCACUGUGUGUAUGUUAAAUGGUCCAAAAGAUAUUUUCUAAUCCUUUCCUUAUAUGUUGAUAACAUCCUAUUGGCUAGAAAUAAUAAGGAGAUGGUUGUCGCCACUCAGACGUGGUUGUCCUUUAAUUUUGAGAUGAAUGACAUGGGUGAAGCAAAUUAUGUGCUCGGAGUUAAGAUCUUACGAGAUCGUUCAAAGAAACUUUUAGGUCUGUCUCAAGAGACUUACCUAAGAAAAGUUUUAGAAUGAUUUCAGAUGUACAAUUGCAAACCCAUUUACACUCCUAUUGCUAAAAGUGAGAGUCUGAACCUUAAACAGUGCCCUAAAACUUCUGAAGAAAAAAAUAAGAUAAAUCGGAUUCCAUAUGCUAAUGCUGUCAGGAGCUUGAUGUAUGCUAUGAUGUGUACUCAGCCUGAUAUAUGCUAUGCCAUGGGCUUGGUUAGCCGUUUUCAGUCCAAUCCGGGACUGGACCACUAGAAGGCUGUUAAAAGGAUACUUCGUAACCUCAGAGGUGUGAUAGAUUAUGUGCUGUGCUAUCAAGGUACGGAUUAACAUCUCAUCAGUUAUAGCGAUGCGGAUUGGGCUGGUGAGCUAGAUGAGCGUAAGUUGACCUCAGGAUAUGCAUUCUUGCUUGAUAAUGGCGCCAUAUCUUGGAGUAGUAAGAAACAGACCUGCGUAGCUCUAUCUACCAUGGAGGCGGAGUUUAUGGUGUGUUCUGCAGCAGCUCAUGAGGCUAUCUAGUUGAGGAGGAUCCUUCGAGAUAUUGGGGUUGUCACUUGUACUUCCGUUCCUGUGACAAUCUAUUGUAAUAGUAUGGCAGCGAUUGCAUACUCGAAGGAUCCAAAAUAUCAUGGCAAGACUAAGCACAUCAACUUAAAGUAUCACUUUAUUCGUGAGGCAGUGGCGUAGAAAGAAAUAAUCCUGGAACACAUUUCUACGAGUCGCAUGGUUGAAGAUCCUCUGUAAAAGCUCCUGGAUUCCGUAGGAUUUGAUUGUGUAGACAGUCAAUUAUUUUUAGCCAUUUCUUUUAUAAUAUUUUUUUGGUUGUUAUUUAAUUACAAAUUAUUAUUUUGGUAAAAAAUAUUUGGUAAGAUUAGCACACAUGCAUAUAUUUCCUGUAUUGUUGUAGAACGGAUUGAUAGUAUGUCGCAGGCUGAUUGGCCUUCUCACACGAGCAAUCAUUCUUUUCAGCGUUGUAGAGAGCGAGCGAAAAUUGAAGCAUUAAUGGAAGCUGCCUUGGUUGGCACCAAGAUGAGGUCAUUAAUGGGACCGCACACGGAUAGUCCCACGAUUCGUAUGGCAUGUACAUUAAGAGCCGGAUGUGAGCUCACCGUUUGGCGCUUGAGAUAGCGAGCAAAUGGAGAACUCAUGCUAGACACUCCGGGAGUGACUGAGCUAAGAUCCGUAUGACAUUGAGAAAGACAUACGCUAAUUGAGAUUCUCUGUCAUAACAUGUAUUUCAUACUACAUGUGCUAGGCGACAAAAUAAAGAAGAUGAGUGAAUGGAUCCCUACUUUCUCAUCAUGUGAGUUCUUAUGGACAUUAUUUUAAGACGAUGUCCUGUAUAUGUUAUAUGCUAUUAGUGACUUUUGACUAUGUCAUUAAGUGAAAGAAUUGAUGUUGCUAUUUUGACAUGUUUCCUACGGCUAUGAGUGAUGCAGCUUUAUGGGGCAUUGCUGGGAAAGCAAUCAAUUCUCAACUCAGUGGCAUAAGGGCUCAAAGAAGACUAGUUGAAUUAUAUUCAGACACUUUAACUCAUUGUCGACAGGUUGUUUCGCUUUAGUAUAGCGAAACAAUCAUAAGUAUAGUGUCAUUAUGUGCGCAAUAGAGGUUAGCAUGGCUCUUUGAGGGAUUAGAGAUGCUGAACCUGAUGUAAUUUAAUGGUCUAGGGCAUCACGAGUCUAAUAUUUUUUUUUGAGGGUUAAUGUCUCUAUGCUGGCCGUAUGCAGUUUCUAGUAUAGAGCUCCCAAACUGCAGGUUGACUAAACGGUCGCGCUAUUCAUUUCCCUGUAUGAAUAGAAUCAAUAGUGGUCGAAUGUUGAGAAAGUGGUUACGAUGGUAUUGAUCCCGCUAUGUGCGAGUGGGAGAUGUUGGCAUUCGGUUAAAUCUAAUCGGGUGCGCCCAUGAUCGGGAUCGAUUAGACGGUUAUUAUAUUGUCUAAUUGGAUUAGGAUUAAUCUCGCUUUUAAAUUGAAAAGCUAAUUAGAGAUAAAUUUUAAUCAUAUUAGGAUAACAAUUAGUAACCGAUUUGCUUUAUCUCUUACGCACCUAUUAGGAUUUUGGAAUCCCUUAUAAAUACGGGCGAUCUCACAUAAAAGGAAUAAGAGAAAAUAUAAGAAGAAAAAAAGAGAAUAAGAAAAACAAGAGAGAAAAACAAGAUACCACAUCCUCCAUUAACCUAUUAUUCUAAAGGGUGAACGGUGGAUUGGAGAUCAUGCUCGUUUGUAGUUUGAUCCACCACGAGUUUGGAGCGAUAGAAGAUUUUUUAGGACGAUCCGAGGACACGUGAAUCAACCUCUACGAUUCGGGCUCAUCGCAUUCUAGCGCGAAUCGCUUCCGCAGAAAGGUACAAACGAAUACUUCCGCUACAUUCAACAGUAUCAAUUAAAUAUCCUAUGGUUUUAUUUUCGUUUUUUGCUAUACUCCCGUAAUUUUUUCUGUUAAAGUAUCAUAUGUCACGUACGUGAUCAUCAAAAAUGUCACGCAAAGAUCAGCAAGAACAACAUGAGACCCUCUAAGAACAAUCAGGUGAAGCCCAACGAGGUCCCAUAUUGUUUUGAUCAACCGUUGUGGCCAUUUUUGACGAUCAUGUGCUGUCACAUGACACUUUAGCAAUGGAGAUGACAAGAGUUGUAAUGGAAACAUAUUUGCUAUGGUAACUGUAUUCUUACUUAUCCCUAGUAUGACUUAUGGAGUUUCGACAAUUAUUUUGUUCUUUAAGGUCCUGUUAUUCGUGAUUAUCUUGAGAUAUCUUGGAAUAAACUAUUCUACCAAUUUUGGUAAAAUAAUGCUAUUUCAAGGUUUGAUUCAAAGCUUUAUUAAGAUUGUAAAUUAAAUUAAACUAUGUAGACAUGAUAUAUUAUUUAUUAUAAUGCAUUAUUUUUAUUAUAAAAAUUAUUAAUUGUACUAUAUUAAUACACAUUAUUUGUAGGAGUCCGGCUACUAUAUAUGCUAUUAAUAGCACGAAGCACUUGGUGCUGCCAAGUUUUUCACCGUUAGAUCUACCCUUUUGAUGAUUUUCACCCGUUAGAUCAUACUAUUUAACGAACCACCCACUCAACCCUAGGGGGCCUACAUCAUCCUAACCGCACAUCUCUUGAUCCAAUAGCCAAAAAACUUGGUAGCACCAAUGACUUGGUGCUAUUAAUAGUAUAUUAGCCUAGUUCUUAUUUGUAGUUAUAUUUUAUAAUCAAUCAUACUUACGUAUUAUAAUAAAUUAUUCUUAUUAAAUUUAUUUUUAAGUAGAAUUUGAAAAAGAAAAAUAGUAUUAUAUUUUAAAUGUUCUUUUACAUAAUAUAUUUUAUAUCAAAUUUAUUGUGAAAUAUUAAUCAUAUUUUAUAUCAAAUUCACAGCACUUUUUCCACUAUCCUCUAUUAUUCUAUAAAAUUAACCAAACACAAUUUGAGUUAUUCCGAAGAAUCUGUACAAUUCCAUUAAAGGGUGAAUCCUAAACUGGUCUCUCCGUGAUUUCGGAGUUGCAGGUCCCACAAGAUACUAUUUCCCCUAGGGAUGCAAACAAAUCCGGAUUGGUGGAGCUCCCGCCCCGAUCCGCCCCGAAUGGGGCAGUAAACGGGAGAAAAUAAACGAAUUCAGGGCGGGAAAUGGGGUAAUUGUUAUGAUCCGAGACAGAUUCGGGGCAAGAAACAUGACAAAUUUUCACCCGCCCCGAAUCCGCCCCGCCAUGAUUCGCCCCGAAUCCGCCGCGAAAACCAAUUUAUAUUUUAAAGAAAAUAUCCCUAAAAAAUAAUAUACUUACAAAAAAAGUCCAAAAUACAAAUAAGUAGUGCUAUCAUUUCUCAUGUAUUUGAAACUUUUGAAUUUUGCUUUGAAUUGUGAUUGAUAUUUUUGAUUUUAUAAUUGAUGUUGUUAAUUAUAUAUAUAAUAUUUUUAAAAAUAUUAUUUUAUAUUUUAAAAAAUAUGAAUAAUAUUAUAAUUUUAUAAAAAUAUUAGUUGGCGGGGCAGAUUCGAGGUGCCGGCUAGAGUCGGGUUACAAGGCGGGGUGAAUUAUGGGAUAUAUUUUUUAACCCGUCACAGAUUCAGGACGGGAGGCGGGGCGGGGCUCCAGCCCCCAGAUUCACCCUGUUUACAUCCCUAGUUUCCCCUCUCCCAUCCUCUUCUUCGUGAGCCCCUCAUCCCUAUCAUUCCCUUCUCUCCCUCUCUCACCUCUUCUCCUCUCCUCUCACUCUCUCUUUCACCUUCCCUUCUCUUAUGUGAUCCUUCGACUUCUCUGUACUCUUCCACCCCCGUCCGCAGCUGAGGGCGUACUUGCCCCCUCAACGGCUCUAAUUUCUCACACGCUCUCUCUCCAUCGAAACCCUAUGGUUACCUAGAGUUUGUACUCUCUCCCUUUUUGUUCCCUAUCUACACUGGAGGUCCCUAUCUACCACGAAUCUGAGCAUUUAAUGCCGCUACAUAAUCGUACUCCCCGACAUCCUUUGUAACAUAUCACUUCUCCGUAAAAUAUGCCGAGUUCCGUCGAAAUGAGCGGAACGCGGAGUCGGUCAAGUUGGAACAAGUUACAAUGGGUUCUAAGAUCAUUAUGGCCAUUGUAUAGGGUAUAUGGACCCAUGAGAGCAAACCUGUGAAAAUUUGGCUAAGUACCAGAAAUUGUGCUCUCGAGGUCCAGCCCUAGCUUCAGGGUCCGGACCCCAUACGCGUGAAAUGCCCUGCGUGGGCAGACUCGGGUGGAAUUGGUCUCGGGGUCCGGACCUUAGCUUUGGGGUCUGGACCCCGUAUGUGCAAAAUGCCCUGCGCAGGCAGACUGGGUGAGGUAUUGCUCUCGGGGUCCAGACCUUAGCUUCAGGGUCCGGACCCCGUAUGCGAAGAAUGCCCAGUGAGGGCUGAUUGGAAAUAAUGAAUUGAGAGGGGCUUUUGUGCUAAUUUGACAAGAUGAAUGGUUAUAUGGGCUAGGGUUUGAGUGAGAGCUCAUUUGCUCUCACUCCAACACAAAUUUCUCCCUCUCUCUCUCUAAAAACUCUUCUCUUCUCUCUUCCUCUCUCUCUAGAGCUUGGACAAGGAGAGGAUUUGGAGGAGUUUGGAAGUAGAAGAAGGCAAAGUUGAGGGUGUUGCUUGCAAAAGUGCAAGAGAUCAAGGAAAGCUUGGACUCCAAAGGUGAGUUCUCAUGAUUUGAGCUAGGUUUGGGUUUGUAUUCCUUCUAGCAUGUAUCUAGGAGGUGAAUUAGAGGUUUUCCCCUUAGUAUCCAUGCUUAGGGACUAAUUUUGGGAAAGAUGAUAUUGUACAAGGACCUAUACUUAGGGUUUUUGGAUUUUGAGAUCGAAGCUUAGGUUCGAUCUCAUUUUAACCUAACUAGUAGGUCAACGAACGCAUCGGUGCGCUCGGUUUGGCGAUACGACGAGCGUGCGCGAAGAUAUUGAGGAAAGAAGCUAAAUUGAUACAGAUUGCCGCAGCUCGCGGCGAAAGCAUCUAAAAAUCACGAAAACAGGACCGCGGCAUCCUAGCAUACCCAAAAGGUGGGGGGUACUGUCCGGAAACACCGGAUCUCAUUCUAUGUCUAUGUCACUCUAAUUGUGCAUAUUGAUAUUGAUGCAUUCAUGCAUGUAGGGUAGUAUGGUAUGAGUUUGGUUGAAUGCAUUUAAAUGCUUAAAGAAUAUGUGAAUUAACAAAGAACCAUGUAUGAAAGAACCCUAUGUGUAUUGAAUGCGAGAACGGACUAUGACAAUAGUAAACAAAGGUGACAUUGACAUUAGUGAUCAGAUUGGCACCGAGAAUGUAAAUGACUAAACAAGGUUUAGCUUAUUGUGGCUUCGGGACCAUUGUGACUCAGAAUUCGUGGUCUAUAUGGUAUGGUAGAUCCUAUCAUUGGCAUUGAGAUAUUGUGGCAUGAGACAGGUUUGGCUAUACUUCCUCAAAUUGAGGAUGGGAUCAUACUCACAUGUGUUGAUUCCGGCUUGUGUGAGGUAGCUCCUCCUGAAGCGGUGUACUCCGGAGUAUAGACACCACGGGUGAGAGUGCCCAGCGAAGAUCCCUCGGGCGACAGUGCCAUGUGCCUUCCACGGUAGAAGGGAUGGAUCCCUCGGGGGCAUUUUCAAAUGCUAAUCCCAGUAGAUAGGAUAUGUGAGAUGUGAGUUGGGGUGAACUUGAUGAACCCUGGAAAGAUUGGGUAAAGGCCAUGUAAAAAGAGGAAUGGACAUGCAUGCAUCAAAUUCAUGUAUUUGAUUAUCUAUCUAUCUGUUGACAGUUGUUUUGCAGGCAUUGUAUUAGUAAUAGCAUUAGAUGGUUUGAUAUCUACUUUUAUUGAAAUACAUAUGCCUGAAAUAGACCUAGUGGACGAAUCGGCGUGGUCGGCGGCCGAACCCACUGGAAACUUUGUUCUAGUUCUUAUUACCACUAACCCUGUAAAUCCGUGUGCAAGCGGGGCGGCGGAGGAUCAAGGCAAGGGUAUCGCGGCGUAGAUAGCGGCCCUCGGUGUAUAGGCAUACCCUACAUUUUGUGUACUCAACUUUUGUAUGUUGAACUAAUGAUGUAAAAGAUGUAGAACCUUAUAUUUUGGUUAAUGGCUAAUGUGAUGUAAAUAUGAAUGAAUGAAAAGAAUGAAUAUAAAUGAUGGUUUACUUGUGUUUGAUUCAAAGGGAAUCAAAUGACAUGUAUGGUGGAUAAAUGCUUAGUUAGUUUCGAUACUUUCACUAUUGUUGUUGUUUGCCCUCGAGCAAACCUUGUAUAUCUUGCAAUCUCCGUGUUAGCUUGCUUGUGUUAUACAUGUUGUUGGAGCCUUGGGCGGACAUGGGAGGUGCUGUUCGUUCGGAGUCUGUUACGUGCUCGAAUCCGACCAAAUUGGCGAGACUUGGGGCGUGACAUCCUUGCUUCCCUACUGUGUUUUUCUUAGAAAUUACUCGGUUUCCUCUCUACUAUUUUCUAGGGUUGGUGUUUCCUUUGUAUGUUCUAAUCUACUUACGAAUCUGGCCAUUUAAUGCCGUCGCCUGGACUCCGGUGCGAGCAAUUAACGUCGCCAAGAGGACAGUCACCGCUCGCGUUGUUGGGCCCUUCUUACCACAUAUCUUCUUUCUCUCUCCUUGCCACAAGGUUGUUAGCUAUAAUUUAUUUAUGAAAAAAAAUUAAUGGUAUAUAUUUUGAUGAAGAGUUCUAAAUAAUAAGCUUUAUAUUAAUUUUUACUGAAACCCAUUUUUCUUGUUUUAAAAAAUAUUUAGUGGAAAUUUUGAGGUAGAGUUCUAAAAUUGUAAGCUUUACAUUGAUUUCAUUUGGAAACCAAUUUGAUGUUUGGGGUGAAAUAAAAUGAGCAGGUAGAGCUAGAGCAAAACCACUGGGCACAUAUUGCAUCAGAAUGAUUUCAUGGUAUGCAAUUCUUUUCCUUUUUUUAAUAGGAUUCAUGAUUACUUCAAUUCGUCAUUGUAUUAGUUGCUCUAAUUUGAUGAAGGUUGAUGGUUAUAAUGUAUAGGAUAUAAUCUCCCCCGCCCUCUCCUUUUGUCUGCUAAUUUCUAUCUAAAACUGCAAUGUUUGAAAUGAAAAAAACUUCAACUACCACACUUGUGGUUUGCACUUUCUCACAUUAGUAACUUGUGGUUAAAAUGUAUCAAUUUAGUGCCAUAUGGUUUCACAGUAUAGAACAAUCCAAACAACUUGAAUUUGAGACAGAAAUUUUUUUUUAGCUAUUUAAUAACGUUUGAUAACUUUAAUCAUGAAUUGAAAAAGUUUAACAUCUAUUUUCACAAGGUAUUCGUGUUUUUACGUUCAUUUUCAACUCUUCAAUAAACUUGAUAACGCAUUUUAAAAUUUAUAAAAUUAGUUUCUGUUGGAACAGAUAGUGAUAAGGUAUCAAAUAAAAAGAGAUUAAAAAGGCUUCAAGGCGUGUAGCAAUGCCACUUUCCUUAAAGCUUUAAUCCAUUCCGCCACCGUUCUUAAAUACCAAUUUGGUGCACGGUCAAUGAACAACCUCCCAGAUACAAUGGAAGCGGAUAACCCUCAACCUGACGUUUGCACACACAAGUCGAGCCUUUGAGCACUCACCGAUUAAAUUGUCAAAAGAAAUAGAAUAUAAAAACAGAAUGGAUAUUAUUGAUGAAUCGAAGACUUAAAACUCUCAACGUUUCUGUCUGUGUCCCUUCUGCAACCAUGCUAAUAGACUUAUAAUACGCACCCGAAACGGUGCUUCAUUGAAGUGACUAUUCACGUAAGAGUGUUUCGUGAAAAGUGACAUUCAAUGAAGUGUUUCGUGAAGUGACCUUCCCAUUGUGACUUGUUCAUUUGAUCCAUAAUCUACCAAAUAGUUAUAUGAAUCAAGUUCAAUGAAUAUAGACCAUUGAUCUCAACGGACAUUAUUGUAUCGAAGAGACACACAUAUUAAGAUGUGCCUUUUCAUAUCAUAUUCUUUCACUAAAAGUCACAUCCUUUCACUCUAAGAGUCAUACCCUUUGAUUAGAGUUGCAUUCACUCACUAAGGGUUGCAUCCAUUCAGUAAGAGUUGCAUCCAUUCACUAAGGGUUGCAUCCUUUCACGAAGAAUCACAUCCAUUCACUAAAAAUCAAUAAACAAAAUAUAUUAUUUUAAAAAUUUUCUUACAGUUUCUAGCCAUUAUAAAUACUUUAGAUCAAUUUUAACGGUUCCGAUCAUCGAUUCGGAAUCCUUAUCAUCUAAAAUGACUUAGGAGGACGAAAGUCUCUGUUCUCCUAAAAGAAUAGUAGUUGGACUCCAUAUAUAUAUAUAUAUAUAUAUGUAUGUAUGUAUAUAUGGAAAGAGUUGAGCCGGAAUGCUAUCAGCAGCAAACGGACUUUGUUGCCACCCAUUAGUUUUCGAUGAUGGAGCCUCCAAAUCGACGAUGGGCAUAUUUGAACAUGAUCUCUAUCAUUUGAAGCAUGUACAUGAUCUAUAACGGUGUAGAAGAAUCUAAAUUUUUUCAAAUUUUGAUAGAAAAUACUUUAAACUAUCUAGAUUAAGGUUAACAUUUUUUAUCUUGAAUUUAAAAGUCCUAUGCUCAAAUUUUAAAGAUUAUUCAAUUUCUACCGUCCAUUUUGACAUAAUUUAUUUACUAAGUAAACGAUGUCGAAAUAAACUGAAAUUUUAUUCCUAAGAACUUCAUAUACCCUAAAUCAUAUUUAACGAUAUGAAUCGUUAAUUUGAAUACUAUAAGAUCGAAAACACGACUAUAGUACUGGAGCUCCGAUACUAUAGAUAGUAUAGUAGCCUAAUUCUAUAUAUAUAUAUAUAUAUAUAUAUAUACACACACACAUAUAUAUAUAUAUAUAGAGUUGAAUAUAUAUAUAUAAUAUAUAUAAUAUAUAUAUAUAUAUAUAUAUAUAUAUAUAUAUAUAUAAUAUAGUUGGAAGCUUUUUCUUGGCUACUAUUAGUAGCAAAAUCCCAUUUGUUGCUACUGUUUUAGGCCUUUAGAUCAACUAUUGUUAUUAUUUUUAAGAUUGAUAAAUACUAUAAACCCAGUGGGGGAUCCACUCAACGCUAGGGACCAUUCAACUCUUAACUGACUAUUAUCAAUNNNNNNNNNNNNNNNNNNNNNNNNNNNNNNNNNNNNNNNNNNNNNNNNNNNNNNNNNNNNNNNNNNNNNNNNNNNNNNNNNNNNNNNNNNNNNNNNNNNNNNNNNNNNNNNNNNNNNNNNNNNNNNNNNNNNNNNNNNNNNNNNNNNNNNNNNNNNNNNNNNNNNNNNNNNNNNNNNNNNNNNNNNNNNNNNNNNNNNNNNNNNNNNNNNNNNNNNNNNNNNNNNNNNNNNNNNNNNNNNNNNNNNNNNNNNNNNNNNNNNNNNNNNNNNNNNNNNNNNNNNNNNNNNNNNNNNNNNNNNNNNNNNNNNNNNNNNNNNNNNNNNNNNNNAUAUAUAUAUCUUGUAUUCGUCAUCUCCACCAUCUUCAGCUCUUUUGUCAAAUUAUUUUAUCUAUAAUAAAAUACAUUUAAAAUGUAUUUUUACUUAAUUAUUUACUAUUUAUAUUGUAAAAAGUUUAUGAGUAUUAUAUUAAAUUUUAAAAGGUUGGUAAUCUCGGUCAUUCCUUUCGUAGAAAGUGUUCAUAUACUAAAAUUUUCAAAUAACCAAAUAAGUAAAAUAGAAAUGAAUUUUUUUUUUUUCAUUUUGUUCUUACCAACCAAACACACACAUAUAUGAAAAACUAAUUUUCUUUUCGACCGAACCAAACAACAGAAACUUGAGAAUUUCUAUUCCAUAAAAAUCUUUUUUCUUCAGAAAAUAAUUUUUCACUAUUUUUCGAGGAACCAAAUAGGCCAUAAUCUGCAAAACAAAAAAAAAGUAGCCUAUGAUUGUAAAAACGCAGUAGUGGAUUUUUUAUGCAAAUUGGCCAUUAAAUAUAAUCAUAUGAAUUUCAAUAAAAAAUAAAAGUGAUUUAAUUACUUUAAUAAUCAUUUGGACGUAAAGUUAAACAUGCAUUUAUAUCUGAGACCCAAGAUAAUCCUAUAUUUAAGAUCUAAUAGAGCUAAAACUUUUAACACGACUUAAGCAUUUAGUGCAGUGGCUAGGCCCAAGAGAUUAGGAGAGUUAAGCGUGCUAGGACGGGAGUAGUCCUACGAUGGGUGAUUUCCUGGGAAACUGAAGCAUCACAGUUGGUAUUAGAGCUGAUUACCAGCCGGAAGUGUGAGAUGAGUCUCGGCUGAGCCAGAACUAUACAGUAGGGAGAGAUGAAUCUCGACUGAGCCUGAAUUAUAUAGCGGGGAGAGCGAGACUCUCGUACUAUUGACUGUUGUGAGUGGAGCACAGCUCACCACAAGAUCUAUACUUGUGAGUCUGAGCCUGACGAGAUUGUCGGGGCUUAAGAGGGAGAGAAUGACCCCAGGUAAUCCCAUAUAUAAGACAUAAUAGGGCUAAAACUUUUAACCCGGUUUAAGUAUUUUGGGCCGUGACUAGACCCAAGAGUUGUUAUAAUAUGAUGACAUAAUAAGAUUUUUAAGAAAUUACUAAAAAUUUAAAUCUUAUAUAUUAGAAUAAUUAAAGAGAGAAUUAUGGUAAAUAGGAAAUUGAAAUAUCAUAUCUUAAUAUAGAUGUUCAUCAGACAAUUUUAUUUUACGCGGUUUUUUGUUUUUAACGUGAAAAUUCAUGUAUCUAAUCAAAUCGUAUCUUAGCAAAAAAAUAAAAUAUUAAUUUCAAAGAUUAGGAUUGAAUUUUCGAAAAAUCCGAAUGCUGUAAAUACAAUGUACCUAAAGAAAGAUUUGAUUAAUUAAAUGUAAUUUUUCUCUAAAUAUAAUUGUAGUCGUAAUAGAAAAUUUUUUGCCAUUUUUUACAUACAUUAUAUAGAUUGAAUAGCUGUUGAAAUUUUGCUUGUCUUAUCAAGAUCCUGCUUGAUUUUGCGUCAAAUUUUCACUUUUCUUAAAUAUUACUAUGAUAACAUAUAAAUAUGGAAAUUACAAAAAAUUUUCUAAUAAAUAUUUAUUUUUUUUCUUUUUCUUCCUAACUUUUAAAAAUCUAGAUUUUACCAUCUCAACAUUUCAAGUGGUUGCAUUUAGCCCUCCUGAUUCCAUCGCUAUUUCGUCCAUUUCUUAUAAUUUAUACAAAAAUAACCCUCAUAAAUCACAGAAAUAUAUUAAAAUUUUAUUUUUUUCUCUUAUAGAAGAAAUAAAAAUAAUUUGAUUAUUUUUCUCUCUUCAUUAACGUCGUACCUCUCCUAAAAACAUUUCUGAAAUUUUAAAAAGGUAAAAUAUAGGUUUUGAAAGCCAGAGAGAAAAAAUAAAAUAACAGACAUUUUUAAAAGAAUUUUCUGUAAUUUAGCUUAUAAAAAAUCACAAGUUUGAGGAACAAAUUAAGUAAACUUCACUAUCUAGAACAUUAUUGGAGCAAAUUAACUGCGCGUAUUAUUCUAACCAGCAAAAACGUCAAGCAUGAAAGCAAACAUGUUAGGAGGGGCUAAGGAAGAAGAGGACGUACUGGCAGCCGCCGCCACCGCGAAAGCGGAGGAUGAGGUGGAUGAGGGACCUGUCCUCAACACCGCAUUCUGCCAAAGUUUUCUCCUCUCUCAUUUGCCGGCCACGGAAGAUAAGCCUUACCUGGUCUAUUGGGAUGCCGUCUGCCUCCUCUAUCGCGACUGCCACAUCCAAGACUUUGACAGAGCCAUCCACCUCAAAGGUCAUAAUUUUGCCGGUUAACGUCUUCACGAAUAUCUCCAUAUCCCCAUCGACAUAAAGUUCUGAGCCGGCGGCGACCUCCUCUUCUUCGCAGUCCAUGUUAAAUGGCUACCCUUUCAGCUAGUAAUUAACUAGAAUCAGUAUAUGUAAUUAACAUGUACAAACUAACUAAGAAACUUCAUGAUCAGUAAGGACUACAGCGCACCAAUUAAAAUAUAUUGGCCGAUCUAUGGAGAAAGAGAAGACAGAUAACCUCUAUACAACUAGGAGGAUGGACUUAAUCCACAGUAAGAAAAAUAAGAAAGAAACAAAGCGAAUGGAAGAAAGGAGAAAUGAUUAUAUAGCUCUAAUCAUAUCAAGGCCUAUUAAUAAAUGCAACUUCUUUAAGGAUCCUAUGUUGGAGAGAGUAAAGAAUUAAUUAUACCUCGGAAUUGAGAGAAAUAAGGCUCCUUGCGGUGACUCCAGCUGAAAACUUUGGUGCUCUCUGUAUGGUUGGUAAUAAUCCAGCAAAAGGAGAUUACCCGAUCCAGAGAAGGCUUGAUACGUCGUGUGCGUGCUACUUUUGCAAAUAUUAUUUUUCUUCUAGAUAGUUCUAAGAGAUGAAGACCGACGAAUAGCGAGGGCCUUCCCCGUUAAUUGAUAGUUGUUUGAGAGGAAAAACCUAGGUAAUACUAGUCAAAGAGGAAUCGUACCGUGUGGUCCCACGCGUAACUGGUGUUUCCUUGCAUUUUCUUCCUUUAUUAAAAACUCUUCCCUACAUGUUGAUGCCACAUGAGAUCUAUAUAUACUCUCUUAACAAGUCUAUACCAAUUUCAUUGUGCCAAUAUCAGUUUGCAUUAGUUUUAAAAGAAGACAAUUAAUGUACAUGCUAAUUUAAUCAAUACAUGUUGCAUGUGCAGAAUACUUUAUCCAAUGUUAGCGGCGAGUCUUUGUUAAAUUAAGUUUGUUACACCAUUACAUCCAUAAGACUUUUUAAUUAAGCCCUACACACCGACGCAAAUUUUGAUGUCUUAAACUCCAAAUCUAAACACAUUUCGUGUAUUUUAUGGCAUUUAAAAGACUUGGGCAGACGACUCUUUCAAUACGAACUGAAGAGCAGCCUAGCUAGCUUGUUGACUUAGUAUUUUUAUGGAACUUUUAAUUAACUAAUAAUAUUUGAAACCGAUCUUCACAAAAAUAUUUUUAAUUUUACCUCCCAUUUCACACUUCAAUUUUUUUUUUUUUUUUGUAAUUUCUUCAAUAUUUCAAAGUUUGAUUGCUAGAUUAAUUCUUGUUAAACAAAUACAAAGAUCAACCAAAAUCAAGCAAGAAUUGUCUUUUUAAUGCAAGGACUAAAGUGAAGCAAUUUUAGGAAUUCGGUAGAUAGAAUGCUGAACUGUUACGACGGUGAGCCUCCAACAAAUACGUUCUAUAUAUUUGUUAUGGUAUAUAGAGAUCUCCACAAAAAGUAAAAUAAAAAAGAAAAAAAGGGAAGAAGACAAAUCAAAUAAUCUGGUACGUUGUUGCUGACGCAAAGCAAAACAACUUUAUUGAAGAAAAGUUAACAUCUACCCGAGGCAUGUGUUCGUACAUGGUGGUGACGACCACUAAUUAAUUAGCUAGCGCCCGGCUCCGGCUUCAGCUUAAUUAAUACCAGCUUAUCUAUUUAUAACUAAUUACAUAAAAUCCUAUUCUGAUUCGAUUUUAUUUUAAUCACAAUUUAAAUAACCAAAUAAUUUAAUGGAUAAGAUCAAAUAAUAUAAUCCUAAUCUAAUAAAUCAUUAGCAUUAUCUCUNUGAGAAAUAGGUAGCACACCCGCUUCGUUUAUUUUAUUUAGAAAUAAACUUAGCUAGAAAUGUGAAUCAAGUAGAAUUCGAAUUUGGGUGUCAGGUACCAACCACCAAGCCCUUUGCCACUUGCUCUAGGGACGGUCGGUCAUGUGCAGAAUACUUUAUCCAAUGUUAGCGGCGAGGAUAUAUAUAUAUAAGAUCAAAUAAUUUAACAGAUAAGAUCAAAUAAUCUAAUUCUAAUCUAAUAAAUCAUUAGCAUUAUCUCUAACACUCCCCCAUAACGCUAAUACUAGUGUAGUAACCCGCGCGAUGCAGCGGGGAAAAAAUAUUUUAAUAAAAAUUUACAAAUCAAAUAAAUAAAGAUAAAUGUAAAGAAGAAAAAAUAUAUAAACAUAUUUGAUUAGACUUAAUAAUAUGAAAAACACAUUAAAAAAUAUUUAAAAUGGAAUCACAACUCAACGAAAAAUAAUGAAAGAAACCGAAAAAAAAGAAAUUAAGAAUUAUAUGAGAAGAAAAAUUGUUACAUAGAUAUUAUAAAAAAAAAUGUUUGAAAUCUUGCAAGUGAAAGAUAACAAAUAUUAAAGAGCACACUGAAAAGAUUUAAAUUAACAUUUAACAAAUCAAAUAAAUAGAUUCAUUGAUCCGUCCGAUUCUUUUUUUGACGUAAAUCAAAUUUCUCUUAAAAAUCAAUAGUAAAGUGACCCGAGCAUUGUAGCAGAUAGAUACUAUUAAAGUUAAAAAUUUAAAAAUAAUAAAUUAUCAGUAAAAAAAAUAAAAUAUAUUCAUCUUCAUUAAAUUAUCUUAAAUAUACGCAUCGAGUCCAGAAUAACCAAAAAAAUAUAAAACUCACAUAAUAAAAAAUCAUAAAAAACUCCAAAUUAUGCAAAAUUUGAAAUUUACAUAGUACUCACAUAUUAUUCCCUUUGCAAAUUAGUUUUUAUUUAUGGAACAUAGAAUUUGGAGCAAUCAUCUAUUAACUUAAAAUCAAUACCGGAGCAAACAAAAAAAGAAUAAACUAAAAUAUUAUAAAAUAAAAUUUAAAAAGUAAUAAAUAAAGGCCAAAUAGAAAUCAGGAUUGGGAUCGUCGGGGAAGGAGUGGGAGCGAUCGAAGGAGGGGCUUCAAAUGUCACGCCCCGGGACCGGCGAAGGCCCUCCCGGUAGCGUGCCCAGACCCGCCAUAUGUCUACACAUAUAAGGCGUCUACAACAAAAGCGGAAGUAAAGCAGGAGAUAGAACAAAUAAAAGAAGUGAAAUAACUAGCAACUAAUGAUAUCAGAGCAAGUAAAGUUCUAUCAUCUACACCAAAGUAAAGAAAUAAAGCUAGUCAAACAAAGAUAACCAUAAGUAGUACAAUAACCGUCUCUAGUACAAAAAUUGUGGUCUCUAUACAUAUACGGUUACAACUCUCAACCUCUCACAAAAAGAAAACACGAGAGGUAGACCACCUAUCGAACGAUCCCUCGGUAAGCGCGCUAGCCCGAGGCGAUACCCUUUCCGCGAU